AAAGACCCAAAAUUGAAAUUUAACUUUUUUUUUAUUCAUUUGUACGAAUAAAAAAUAAAUUAAAUAUAGAAUAAAUAAACAAAGCUAAUAUUGACUGUUAUUAUUUAAUUCCCGUCAAGAUACUUCUGUAAAACAAAUGUAAAAAAUAUUAAACAAGAUGUGUGAAUAUCAGGGUUCAUUCUCUUUUUAUGUCCUUUCCUAUCACAUCAUGGGCUUAGUUUAUUUGAGUCGCAGUUGUGUUAACCCAAAGGCAAUUACUUCCUACACGGUAUAGUUGCACCAGAUUUCAGUCUAAAAAGACAAAAAUAUCCUUAUAUAAAAUAGUUGUACAUAUAAAAAUACAUUUUGGAUCUCUUUUUUUGAAAUAUGUUUUUAGAUUUUUUUUCCAGAACAAAUAUGUUGUAUUGUAGAAUUGUUUUCGAUGUAAUUUUGAUUUUGGAAUUUUAUUUUAAAACUGGAACACAAUAAUUUCUUUUCAAUCUGCUUUUCUGAAAUGUCUUAUUUUUAAUUCUGGAUUUUCAUUUACUGAAAAGGAUAUUUUUGGAAAUUUAAAAAUGGGCAGAUUCAAAAAGGUUGAGUAUAGAAAGAGUUUGCUUAACCCAAAAUAUGAGGCCCUGCCGUCUCCUUUCAUUUUGUGACCUUGGCCCAUUCAAAUAGCACAUUACUGUUGGCAGACUCUUUCUUCCUGCACCUCCAUAUGUUCUUCUAACACUCCAUAUAAAAUGUGAAAAUAAAUUUUUAUCUUUUUUGUGUCACCUCAUAGAGUAGCUUCCGGAUUAUGUAAUCCGGAUACGUAUUUGUAAAAAGACUUCUGAAUUACAUAAUCCGAAAGCUAAAAAAACCUUCUGGAUUAUGUAAUCCAGAAACUAAUCAUGCAUCUUAAAAAAAACUUCUGGAUUAUGUAAUCUAGAAGCUAAUUACGAAUUUAAAUAAAGACUUUUGAAUUAUGUAAUCCAAAAUAUUAUAGAGGGAUAUUUUUGAAAAUACAAAAAUUUAUAUAGGUGGGAGAAGAUACGGAGGGUGCAGGAAGAAGCUGUUAGCAAGAUAAAACAUAACAAAAUUGAAUAGAAUGACUCAAUUAAAAUAUCAAAAUGUUCAUUAAUUUUGAUUGUUUAGUACAUAAAUCAUAUAAUACAACACGUCUACAUAUAACAGUUUUGGUUGAUUGACUACAAACUUGCCAUUACUGGAUCUUUUAUAUUAGAGUGACUAUUUAUGGACAAACCUAAAUUAAUAAUUAAGAAAUAAGUUAGUGAAUUUAAUUUAUGAGUAUGAGGGUUGAAACCGAUUGAGAUCCAUCUAGAACAUGCUAAGGAAAAUACUAAUUUACCAGCAACAAUUCGCCAUGCUUUGAGUAAAAUGGUUUAGGGUAGAUUUAUGAUCACUCAUAACAGUUUUAUAUAUAAUAGUUGUCCAUAUAUAUAUAUAUGCUAUUAAAAAUCUCAAAGCUAACUCUAACAAAAAAAAAAAUUGCGUCAUUCUUGGUUAGUGGAGGAUGUAGCAAAUUUAAUUUAUUGAGGAAACAAUUUUUUUAAAAUACAACCAAACACUGUGACACUGACACACUGACUCAGAUAAUUGGCUCUCAGACUUGAGUAAUUUUAAAUAUGCAGAACCAAUGUUUAGUAAGAAGAGUCCGUGACUAAUGCACCAUUAUUAUACUCUCACCACACAAACAUACCAAACUGAACCAUCAACAAAGCCAGCUCACUCUUUACUUGCUUCACAAAUUGUGAUUAACAUAUACAAACAUCACAGCUCACUCUUUACUUGCUUCACAAAUUGUGAUUAACAUAUACAAACAUCACACUAACAUUUAGUAAUGCAAGCUAAUUGAUAAUUAACUACUUCAAUUCAAGAAGUGUUCAACAUUAUCACACUGCAUUCAUGGAAACCUUCAUCCCAGAUUCACAGUGACCAGGAUAGUUGCAUAUGAAGUAGUUCUGUCCUCUUGCUAGCUUGAUUUGAUCCUUCCCUGAUCUGAACACUUUUGCACCCGCUGGUGUUUUGCAGCUGUUGUAUCCACUCUUGUCAACAGCAACCACAUUGUGGUUCGUUGAGUCAUAGUUGAAGACUGCAACAAUUACCACAUUGAGCAUGUAUAUUUUUUUUUAACAACUUUGACAAAGUUAACAAAGUGAGAUGAGAGUAAGAAUAUUACAUUUUCUAAGUCUUACUAUUUUGUAAAAAAUUUGUUAAAAUUCUAUAACAUAAGUAAGAUUUGAUAAAUAAGUUAAAACUAGCUUUCUCCAGUGAGGGGAGUGGUAGUUAAAUUUACUUACUUAGGACAUCACCAGCUCUGAACCUUUUUCCACUGGGCCAAGUAUCAGUGUUGAAGGUCCAUCCUCCAGGUCCUCCAACUGUGUAAGUUGCUGCAUUAGCACGUUCUACAAGAACCAACAGACACAGUAGAGAAAUCACAGUGACCAAAACCAAAGAUAAUGCACUGCCUCUUCCCUGAAACAUUCUUGUAAAUUGCAGAGCUUGACAACAGGAAAUUAAACUAAAUUUAGUUGUGUUGGCUUGCAAGGUUGGGUUGAUGCUUAUCCCUUUAAUAAUGGAAUUGGUUGUGUGACAUUAGGGGCCAUUAAGUUGUUUUAUUUAUACAUGGGGACAUAUAAAUCACUUUUCUUUAAUAAUCACAGUCAAUUUAAUAAUCUGUUGAUUAAAGUGGAUGCAACUAAGAGGUAAAGCAUGAUAACAGUUCAACUGCAUGAUGAAGUGGGGUCUAGUAAAUAUAAUAGGUGAAAUAAAGUAAUGUGGAUGUUUUUCUGUUAUAGGUUAUUUGCUAUAUUUAUCAAUCAUACUGUGAUUUGUCUUUUUAUUAUUCUUUUAAUUUUACUCAGCAACACUUUUCAACUUUGACAAUGGAGUCUUUCGUUAUUAAAAAAAAUUCGUAUUUUGUAAGAUUGUUUAAUUAAUACUUUCUAAAAAUUUACAUAAAAACCCUAUAGAAAAAUCCUAUACUUUCUUAAAAUUGUAUAAUGUUGUUUAACUAAAAUUCACUAUAGGAAAGGGAAGAGUUUGAAUAAAUAAAACCAAACAUUAAAAAAAAAUUAUUAAACAGAAAUCAAUUUUAAAAAAAAAAAUAAUUUUUUAUUGAUAAAAUUAAAUACUAUUUAUUUAAAAAAAAUUAUUAGUAUCUAAAUUAGUUUUUAUUAUUAAUAAAUAAUUUUUAAAUUGGUAUUUAAUUAGAUAUCAAUGUUUUAAAUACCAAUUUUAAAAUCUAAAUAAUUAAUUAGGUACCAAUUUAUAAACUAUUUAUCAAUAGAAGAAACUAAUUUAGAUAUCAAUAAUUUUUUUAAUUUUUAAAAUAAUAUUUAAUUUAUUUAAUAUAAAAAAAAAUAAUAUAUUUUUUUAAAAUUUGUUUUUAUUUAAUAUUUUUUUAGUAGUGAAUAAGAUAUCAGUGGAGUUGGAUCAAAAAAUGUAAGGUUCGAUUUUCAGAAAAGAGAGAGAGGUAUGGACGGAAUGAAUAAGUAGGUUAAUAAUAACCAUCAACUGUGUAAUUUAAAAGAAAAAAGACAAAUUAAGGGUCACAAGUUAUUGAUGGAUCCUGUCAAUGAAUGAUACAUCUUCAAACUGGUUUAUGUGUCGCAGUUUAAGUGUGUAUUUGUUUUACUCCAUCCUCAUAUCCCAAACACAUUCAAAGGAACUUUACUCUCACCUUAUUUUGUCGUUCCAUGAAACUUAAACUCAAUUCAAAGCUACCUAAUUAGUCUUUCGGCAUCAAGUUUGAGAUUCUGAACGGUUUAGAAAAGGUUGUAUCUACUGAAAAGUGACUUUCUACUUCUUAUAAUUAAAAAACUAUUGCAUAUGUUUAUUAAAAUAAUUAGGAUUAGAGAUGGUAUUGAACAGUAAUCAGUUAAAUACAAAAUAACAGUAUUUUUAUUUUUUAUGUAGCAAACAAUUUUUUGUAGAUAAGCAAGUGAUAAAUAUUUAGUAUGAAAGAGACAAAGAAAAAUAAUAGUGGCUGUUGUAUCUGGUGGAGAACACUCUAGAAAAGAUGGACACAAUUUACUUGGAAAACCAGUGGCGUGAUUUUUGGAGGCUUAACGGAGGAGAUUAUGCAGAAGGUUUUAGAUAGGAAGAAAUGAUUAAAGCAAUUAAAGUAGGAAUUGGAAUGUUGACUGCAUAAUUUGGCUGAAAAGUUGGUGUAGCCCAAAGCUUUGAUUGGACACCACUUGUGCCAACCGCUCAUAAAUCUUUCUCCUUCAUUUUGGGUUCUUCCAUUGAAAUAUUUGAAUUUCCUGAUAUGUUUUUCUCAUUAACUCUCAACUUUACACUGAUUGUAAAUUCCUAAUACUUCCAAAUUAUAUCGACUAGGAUGAAUGAACGAGUGAGAAGUUCUUUGUUCUUUCAUGUAAACAUGCAGCUAUAUUCUGGUGUUCCUGCCCCUUUGGACUUCCAGAAGGACCUUAACAGAUUAUUUUAACAUUUUUAUAAUAGAAUAUAUUCUCUGGUUUACUAUAGAUGAAUCCAAUCAAAGGCUUAACAAUAAUUUAGAAUAGGUAAUCAAGCUUAGUUAACAAAUUUGCUACAGGAAGCACGGUGAGAGCAACUAUGAAACCAUCCUAAUAAUUUCAAUUGAUAUAUACCUCUUAUUGAUCCUCGAAAGCUUACAAACAGUAUUUAUUUAGUCCAUGUGUUAGGCUGUAAUGUUUUCCUAAAAUUUGGUUCUAAACUUAGAUUUUUUUAAUAAAAAGGAUUAAUUCCUUAAAAAAAAUAAGUUUUAUAUUUUAAGUACAAAUAAUAAUAAUAAUAAUAAAAUAUUUAGUUAUAAGAUUUGAUAUUAAACAUUGUUUAUCAGAAUUUUUUUAAAACAUUUGUAAAAAUUAUUUGAAAUUGUUGUUGUAUGAGGGACUUGGACACUAAAACUACCAACUACCGGGUGAACAAUUGAUUCUUUUUCUUUGAUCGUACUUUUCUUUCCUACUCUUCCUUUCCUAAUGUUUGGAUUUUGACUCUCGAUCAAGAGUACACAUGCAAAAAGUUAUCUAACGUUCAAGUGAGUAUUCAACGGUUUUUUGACCAUGAUGGGAUUAUUUUUUUUGUUUUUACCAAAAUUGGGUCCGUUUAAAAAAAAAUUACAAAUUUAGGCAAGUCGUGCCAAUUCGGCACAACUUCAUAUGCAGAAAUCGUUCAAAUUAGGCAUGACUUCUGCCAUGUCAUACUGAAGUCGUGCCAACUUGACACGACUUCUACCUUGUCAUAUAGAAGUCGUGCCAACUUGACACGACUUCUGCCCCGUCAUAUUUUUAUUUUUUUAAAUUUUAUUGUUUAUAUAUUGGGUAGUAAGUUAUGUAAUGUUAAAAAUUAAUUUGAUACAUAAUUUUCUAAGAGUGUUAGUUUUAAGGAACAAAAAUUUGGAUAAUCGUGUAUGGAUCAUUUUUUACGGUAAUGUAUUACAAUAACUUGAUUAUUUGAUUAAUUAAAAAAUUAAGGAAAUUGUUAUUGAAUUUGUAAAUAAAUAGAUAAAUGAAAAAUUAUUGUAUUUGGAAAAUAAAUAGAGAAUUAUUGUUGUGAAUUUGCAAAAUAAAUAGCUUGAGAAGUAAUGAUUUUACAGAACACGUAAUGAUGAGAAGAAAUUAAUUUUUAACAUUACAUAACUUACUACCUAAUAUAUAAACAAUAAAAUUAAAAAUAAAAUAAAAAAUUAUGACGUGGCAGAAGUCGUGUCAAGUUGGCACGACUUCAAUAUGACAGGGCAGAAGUCGUGCCAAGUUGACACGACUUCAAUACGACAGGGCAGAAGUCGUACCAAGUUGGCACGACUUUAGUAUGACAUGGCAGAAGUCAUGCCUAAUUGGGACGACUUCUGCAUAUGAAGUCGUCCCAAUUAGGCACGACUUGCCUAAAUUUGUAAUUUUUUUUAAACGGACCUCAUUUUGAUAAAAACAAAAAAAAAAUAACUCAUCAUAGUCAAAAGACCGUAUUCAACAGUAUUUAGGUGUAAUUAAUAUUAUAAUAAUAACGUAAAUUUUAUCUUGACUGUUGCAUCUAUGAUGGACCUUUUAACUUUUGGACCUCUAAUUUCCAUACAAUUUAAUAUGUUAAUAUCUUGUUACCUUAAUACAUUUUACACAUAGUGAUCAGUCGAUAUUAUAUACUGAGAUGUCCUGAGACCGUUCGGUCUCUACCGUAUAAAUAUAUUUAUAUUAGUUUAUUUUAAUAAAUUCAUUUGUAUUUGUAUUAUAGUAUUACUGUAUCAUUAUAAGAACACAUUAACUAUUUUUAGCAUGGAUAUUUUAAAGUAAAAUUUAACAAAAUUUUAAAAUAAAUUACCCCUAGUUGACAGAGUACAUUCACCUAAACCCUAAACACCUCAGCAUUCGAAAAUUCAACAUCAAGAUAUAGAAUUGCAUCCUCAACUCAAAUGCCAUUUCAACAAAUUUUUUUAUUUUGAAUUAAAAUUUAAUCAGAUAUUAAACUCUGUGUACAUCCUAAUUGAUUACUCAUAAUAUAGAUUUCACUCAUUUUAAAUUUUAGUCAAUUAAUUUAAAAACAUUGGUUUUAAAUUACUUUAUCUACAAUCAAUGUCAGGGUUUUCUGUCUAUGAAUAAAAUUUGUUAAAAGACUUUUAUGAUGAAAUUUUAUCACAAAAUGUAAUGUAUGUUAAGUUCUUUCAUUUUUAUAAAUGUUAUCUGAUUGCUUGACAGAAAGUUCAUAUUGGAAACUGAAUUCUUAAUUUUUUAUUUAAAAAAUAAAAACAUUUUUAAAUAUUUGGUGAUACUACGGUUCCCAAAUCAAUUAACGAAAAGUUAAAAAAAAAUCUAACUGGCUGAGUUAUAUGUUUGAUUGAUAAAUUUUAUUGAUAAAAAACAUUUAAGUUCCAGUAUUUAACGGUGAUGAUUUCAAUGUAAGUCCAUCUAAUCUUUGGGAAGAAAAAAGAAAAAAGAUACUUUGGAACAAAGCAAGAGAUCCCUUCAUAGAAAAAUUAAAAGAGUGGAAGAAGACCAUUGGAGGCACUGGUGCAAUGUUGGUUGAGAGAGACCAGUUAUUUUGUAUUGGCCUCUUAUUCUUUCUUUCAUCUCUGUGGUGUUCUUCUCUUUCUUUGCUUUGCCCAUUUGUAUGAUUAUGAUGAGCCAUCUAAAUGGAAUUAGAGAUGGGUGAUGUGUGCAAUGGUGGUACCCAAGUGCUUUCGGUUAAUUAGGUCCACAAUUUCAUUAGUUAGUGUUAAAAUAUUUAUGUCCUUAUUAGUUCCUUUAACUAUGUCAAAAAGCAAGAAAUAUACAUCGACAAAUGAAAGAAAUGAGAUCAUACUUUAUAAUGAGAUGCAGGCCGGUGGCCAAAAAAAUUGACACCCCUUGCUCUUGCUUAAUUAAGUCAAAUAUAUAAGCUAAUAAUAUUUAGAUAUAUAUAAUAAUAUAUAAUAAAUAUUUCUGAGGUUAUCGAACAGGAAAUGGCAUUACAAUGUUGUAUGUGUUUAAAACUUUUUCUUUUUAGCUUGUCAAGUGAGUGAGUUUGUUGUUUGUUCUCAUGGAUGUCAUAGGAGGUUGGAACUUAUGAGUUUGUAGUUUUUGUUUAGAUCUUGUUUUAUUUGUUUAGAGAUUCAUAUAUAAUGUCAAUGGAGUUAUAUUAAUUUAUAUUUUUUUAAGGUAGGGUGUGAAAUUUUCAACUUUUAAUAGAGAUAUAUUAUGAUGUGGUUUAAUUAAUGACUUACUAGUUCAACAAUUUACAAUUUACCUACAUACUGGCCAAUUAGUAGAUCUUAGAGAUGUAAUUUGGGUUCAUCAUUUGUCUUAUGAAGCUUAUGUAACCAAAGAAAUGAAGUUGUGUUUAAAGAAUGGAAGAUUGAUGUAAAAGAAAUUUUCAUUUAGCAUAAAUGCAAAAUAAGAGGAAAAUAUCUAAUUUUAGCUUUUCUAUAUUUAUUCUGAUUGGAGCUUAUACCCAUUAAAUUGUUUGCAUUCUUUAAGCUAGAUGUCAGUUCUAUUUGAUUGAAGUGGCGGAAAAGGUGGAGCAGCGACGGUGAAGGCACAUUUGGAGAUGAAAUGAAGAAGAAAAAAAAAUAAGAAAAAUAAUAAGAUAUAAAGAAGAGAUGAGAAAAGUAAUAGAGUGUUUUCUUGUAGUGUACAUAUUAAGAAACAUAAAAAAAAAAAUAGUAUUAUCUCUGGAUUUUUACAUAAGGAUCUGAAUCCGUAAAUAAAUUCAACAUUACCUACGAAUAAUAUUAUCUACGGAUAUUACCCACAAAUUCUGAAUUCAUAGGUAAAUUCAGCAUUAUCUACCAACUAUUAUCCACGAAUCUUAUUACCUGUCAACUUUUAUUUACGGAUAUUUAUUACCUACCAACUAUUACCACGAAUCUCUAUUACCUACAAACUAUCACCUACGGAUCUCUAUUACCUACCAACUAUUAUCAUAAUAAUUAUAUACAUAAUAUUAAAAAUAUUAAUAUAAUAUGAAGAAUUAUAAAAUCAUAAUUAAUAUUCAUAAAUAAUAAUAACCAUAACUAAUUUAUACAUAUUAUUAAUAUUAUAAAAUUAAUAAUAUUAAUAUAAUAAUUUAAAUAAUAUAAUUACUAUUAUAUUAAUAAUAAUAAUAAUAAUAAUAGUAUUAAUAAUAUUAGUAAUAUAACAAAAUUAAUAAUAUUAGUAAUAAUAACAUUAAUAAUAUAAAUACUAUUAAUAAAAAUAUAUAUAAAAUUAGCAUUAUUUAUAAUAUUAAUAAUAUUUAAUAAAAAUAAAAAUAUUUAAUAAUAUUUGAUAAUAUUAAUAAUAUUUAAAAAUAUUAAUAAUAUUUAAAAAUAUUAAUAAUAUUUAAAAAUAUUAAUAAUAUUUAAUAUUAUUAAUAAUAUUUAAUAAUAUUAAUAAUAAUAAUGAUAUUAAAUAUAUGAAGAAUGUUAUUAAUUUUUAUUUUAUUAAUUAUAUUAAUAUUGAUAAUCAUACUCAUAAGUAUAAUAAUAAUCAUAACAUGAUAAUAAAACUUGACUUAUGUAAUGGUUAAAGCUUUUAUGGACAUUUCUGAAGGGACUUGGUUUCGAGUCUCAAAUACUUCACUUUAGUUCUAACAUUAGUUAUGAUUGUCAUAGCAUAUAUAAUAAUUGAAAAUAAAAAACUAUAUUCAAAUAAUAAUUAAAAAUUUAAAAAUAAUUUUAACAUUUCUUACGGAUUAUAGUUGGUGGGUAACUGUUGUUUUCGUUACCCACGGACAAAGUAUCCGUAGAUAAUGUUGAUUUACCUUGUUGUUACAUACGGAUUUCGUGCGUAGAUAAAUUGAAUUUUUCUUGUAGUGAAAUGUUUUGAUUUUAAUUAACAACUUCUACUAAAUGUGUGUUAUGUACUCUUAAUCAAUAACUUUUGGAGUUUAAUUCUUAUCUUAUUAUAUUUAUAUAAUAGAUAGUUUGUAUGUUAAAAAAAUUGGUCGAAAGCUCUUCGAAUCCAAUUCAAUUUUGCUUUGGGGUCUUUAUUUAAGUCAUAUUAAUUAAUUAUGUUCAGCGUGUUAGUGGUGUAAUGUAUUUUAUAUGGAUUAGUUCAUGACUUAUCGUUCUUGAAUAUAUUUAAGGGUUUGUAAUGUGUGGGAAGGACUCACUUUGAAGGACAAAUUUUAAGGAAUUAAGUAUAGAGUUGAGAGUCUCACAUUGACGAAAGAAGAACAAUAUCUAAGGAGAAAAACUUACAAACUCGUUUUAAGGUUUUGAGUUGAAUGUGACAUCAAAUAUCUCAUGAGUUUACUGAGUACUAUGUAGUAGCCAAUGAACUAUGUGGUAAUUCUAAAACAUGUAGGUCUUGAUUCCACAAAUUAGAAAAUACUGACAACAUUGACAUAUUAAAGGAAGAUAUAUCAAAAUAAAAUAGUUGGAUGAGGUCCAAAAUACAAUUUUCAUCCCUGACUACCGUAGGUUUUUCCUACCAUAUUUAAUGAUAGUAGUCAUUAGACUAUCAAAUUAAAAGAAAUUAUAGUUCCAAUGCAAAGACAGUUUAACAAUAGUGUUAAUCCAACUAGCACCAAAGUGAUUAUAGUUUAGAUAUGGUCAAAAUGACUCAAAGUUGUAUCACAAUGAAUUUAAUUAUGAAUUCAGUGAAAUAGAAUUCAAAACUUAUCUGCAAUCAAUAAAAAUUAGCAAUAAUAAUAAAGUAAAAAAGGGAUUGAGUUUGUUCGUCAGAAAUUAUUAAUAGACGAUUAUAAAAAAAGUAAAGAAAGCAGGUUGAUUCUCAAGUUCUUUUAGCAAUGAUUCUUCCUUGGUUUAUAAAUAUGUAUUAUUCAUUCAAUCAUCCAAUAUGAUCGAAUGGAUCAAACAUGAGUUAGCCAAAAUGAUGGAAUCUAAUUCAUGAAACAUGUAUCCACUAAUUCAUUAAAUACCCUACUUGUUCAUGGUCUACUCAUAAGGCUUAUAAUCUUUUACCUCUUGAAUCAUGCAUCCAAGAUAUUUUUCAUAAUAAUGCAAAUUAAAUCAAGAGUUUCAAUUAAAGACAAAAUUGAAUCGUCAACAUGCUUCAAAAACAACUUUUAAAACAAAAAUUAAAACUCAAAAUGACCAAAUUGUCUACUACAGUUAGGUGUUGAAGAACAAAAAUUUAAAUUGUAUAGAACCUCAAAAUUCAUUGAGAAAUUAUAAGGGAAUCAAUUCAAAAGGUUUAGUCUUUCAUGCGGAAGAUGAAAACAAGAAAAUUACAAAAAGGGAAUAAAACUAAGUCUAAAGUGUGUCGCACGACUCUUUGCCUCCCUCUUCUUCCUCUAAUUUUCUUUAUAAUCUUUUUUUUUUCACAAAUUCGAAUUUAUAUCAAGAUAUUUGUUAACAAUUAUCAAAUGUUUCUUUUCUCUGUUUCAACUUAUUAAGCAUAUAUUCUCUUUCCCAAUAAUUUCAUAUCUCGUUCUCGCUUCUCUUUUCAAUGUAUUGUUUCCAAAUUCGAUUCAGAUUUGCAUAUUAAUUAUAAUUAUUAAGCCCAACGCUUUUGCGAGGGUAUUGUAAAAGAUUUACUUGGAUAAUAUAUUUGAAGGAUAUUUGCUUUGUUUUUAACAUGUUUUGCAAAGGAGUUUUAAUUACAAAAAUUGAGAGAAUAUCCUCCUGUAAUAUUGAAUUGGUUUUGGUUUGUGCUUUCUUAGAAUGUAAUAAAAUCAUUGAACUAGUAUCUUCCUUUUCGAGAACUGAGCAUCCCUCUAUCAGUAGACACUUCAAAAAGAUUGUCCCAUGGCUUUAAACAUAAGGAGUGUCGAGUCUUUAAAUAAUCAAACUUUUCAAUCUUCAAAUUGACAUAAUUCUUCAUUCAGAAAUCUUCGCAAAGGAUAACCAAAUUGGAAUCUUUCUCUUCAGAGCUACUUUUCCAGCAAUGGACACUUUAGGGAGACUGUCUAAUGGGUGUGACAGAUAAGAUCGUAUAGUCCUUCCAAACUUCAACACAUUGCAAUUAUUCAUUUGCAUUGUCAUUAAUAAGGUCUAGAAUCUCUGGAGAUUAUCAAGAUCAAGAUCAAGAUGAGAACAAAAUGUAUUUAAAAACCAGAUUUAAGCAACGGUUCUAAUAUGGUCUUGUUUUAUCUAGAUAUAUGAAUUUAGUCUAAAAAUAGUCAAUUUUACUCUGAAUUACUAUUUAAGAAAAUUAUGUUAGACACUUUUAAGAGUGAAUAGAAUUUUACUUAUCAUUGAGUUAUUUCUUCUAGUUGACCAUUUUGCUUGCUGGAUAUACACAAAAUAAAUCCUAAAUUUUAAACUAUGAAUUAAAGGCAUGCCUUUUUAUACAAGGGAAUGACUAUUUGAAAGAGUUCAAAAGGGGUGAGACCUUGUGGUCUAAGAAAAUAUAUUGGGUGUCUAAACAAGAGUAAGGGAUUUAUUUUCUUUGUCUCUUCUUCCAAGCUUAAAAGAGGGGUGAACAUGGUACCAUUAAAAUCUAAAAUAUCAUCUUUGAGGAUUGGAGGAGGAAAACGAUUCAGUGAGGAUGCAUAAGUGUUCUUCAUUGAUGAAGAAGUGUGUUUGGUCUAUGUAGAAGGAGUUGACAUUGCAAAGGAUGAAAACUCACUACAAGAAAAACCACUUUUUUCUUCAGCAAAAAAUGAAUGCAAACGAAUGAAAAUGGAUGAAAAAACGUCAGAUUUCCAUCGACCAUGAAUUCGACGAGAAAAGUGUGGAAACAAAGUUUAUUUUGCGUUAGUCAGCAAAAGCGAUGCAAAUUUAGUGAGCCAUGCCGACGUAAAAUAGACGCAAAUAUCGUCGUCCAACAUAAAGAGGAACGAAAUAAUAUUAGACUUUGUGUCAUUGACGCAAACUAUGUUAAAAAGAAUAUUACAUGGGUCUAGCCCACGUAAAACUGGAAGCGAGAAAAAAUAUAAUAACCAUUUCCUCUCUGUUUGCUUUCCCUUCAAAUGAUAAAAUAAACCAUUCAUCAUUCAGAUAAAAUCAUAAACAACAUAAACAAGAUAAAAUAAAACAUUCACCAUUCACAUAAAAUCAUAAACAAAAUAAAAUAAAUCAUUGAUCAUUCAGAUAAAAUCAUAAUCAACAUAAACAAAAAAAUAAAUAAUGAAUCAAAACCUCAUAAACAAAUUUUGAAAUAUUUAAAAUUACCUUUCACAUUUUAGGUGGAAGAGAAAAUGGAAGUUGGAGUUCAAGCUGGAAGUGCGAUGGGGUGCAGCGGCAGUGGAGGACUUAAAAUAAAGAAUUAAAAAACUUAACAAUAAAUUUCUAAAAAAAUAAAGAAAGAGAAAAAUGUAGAGAAGACCAACGGCGGGACUGCGGUGGCAGAGGCAGUGUGGGGGCGGGAAUGGCCGGCAAAUGUAGUGGGAGCAGAGGCAGAGGCACUAGGGGCGAGACUCACAGGGGCGGAGGCUGAGACACCGGGGCUUGGGACUCGAGAAUGAAGUGAGAGAAGAGAUAAAACUUAGAUUCAUGUUUUUAAUUUGGGAGAAAGUGAUGUGAGAGAGCAAAAUUUUGCUUUAUAUUAAAGAUUUUGCGUCGACUUACCCGACGCAAAAACAACACAAAAUGGAAAGUUGCUUUGUGUCGACUGUGGCCGACACAAAACAAAACGGAUAACAAAUUUACAUCGGUUAGACCAACACAAAUCUACGAUUUUUAGGUUUAAUUUUUAACUUAAAUUUUCAUUACGAAUAUAAUUAAAAAAUAUUACACAUAAAUUUAUAUUUUAUAAAAAAAAUUUCAACUAUUAUUUUUACUAUUUUUUCAAUUAUUUCUUUACUCUAUUAUUAUUUUUCUUUUUUUUUAAAUUAUUUCUUAACUUUUUAAAAUAAUAUUUUUAAAUAUUUUUAAUAUUAAACACUUUAAUCAACUAAAUAAAUUUUAUUUAAUUAACUAAUAUCAAAAUUUUAACUUUACUACAAAAUAAAUUAUUCGAAACUAAUAUAUUUAUUACAAUAUUAUAAAUUCAAUAAAUUUACAAUAAAUAAAUCUAUACACAUAAUAAAAAAAAUUAAAAUGUGGCCGACGCAUCAAAUAAUAUUUUUUUUGACAUGUAGCGUCGGUUACAGCAGAUGCAUAAUUCAAAUUAUUUUUGUUUCUAGCAUCGGUCUAACCGACGCAAAAUAAUAAUAAUUAUUAUUUUUCACUUUUUUUUCGUCCUCAAUGGGUUGGCCCACGUAACAUCAUUUUUGUGUGGAAUUUGCGUGGGUUUGACCAAUGCAGCUCGCAUCCACUCUUGAUCGACGCAAAUUUAACAGAGCUAUUAGAGCGUUUUCUUGUAGUGACUUGAAAAAAAUAAAGAAAGAAAUUACAAAGACUAAAUAAGAGACAAUGGUUUGAGGAAUAUAAAAAAUGAAAAAAAAAAUAGAAAAAAUUUAUAAAUUGAUAGAAGUUUAUGCCUUAAAUGAAAUGCAUGAUUUGAUUUAGUUACAUGAAAGUUGAGAUAAAUUAAAUAGUAAAAUGACUUAUAAAUAUGCCAGUUAAUAAUAUGAUUGAUAAAAGGUGAUAUAUUCACUAAAAUAUUUUUUUUCAAAAGUUCAAAAUCGGAGCCAUUUAUUAUUGACAAAAUAAUUAAUUAAAAAGAUGUAUUGAAAAUAAGGAUUAAUUGAAGGUAAAUAUUUUGACUAAUAUGACACUUCAAGAAAUCAACAUAAUCUUUUAUCAAAAACUGUGAGUGGAAUAUAACUAGAAGGAGGUACCGAAAUAAUGGAUUAAGUAAGUAUCGAUACAAUAUCUCUAUACAUAAAAAAUUCUUUUGUACAAUAAGUGUCGAAGUAAUGUAUUUUUUUAAUGCUUGUUUUACAUAAAGAUUUGGAGUAUAAACAAAUUAUAAUUAAUACAUGUUAUUUUGAAAAAGUGACAAAUAGUGAUGUAGGUUUAAUAAAGAUUGUAACCGAUGACAAUUAUUGAAACAAAUUGUUGUAUAUAGCUUAUUGAAAUUAUCCAUAAAAGCUUUAUUAUUUACAUUAAAAAACACAUAAAUUAAAUCUAAUUAUCUAUUUGUUUUUAUUUGCAAAAAACUGUAUUCAAAACAAUAUUAUAUCCAUUCUAAGUUCUUUAACUCUAACUUUUUUUUAUAUAGUUAAUCGAAAUGUAAAAGGUGUACACAGUGCGACUCCAAUCAACCCACAGAAACCUCACUUCAUCACUAAACCUCCACCGUCCCCAGUUGCAACUCCCAGCUGCUGUUACGUAUAACAUCCAUCUUCUGAUCUUUUAAAGCCGUGCAUGUGUUUCAUUUAGCGUGUUGUACAACAUCCAAGUAGGUUGCAUAUUCCUUCUCGGGUAUCAUCAUGCCUCCAUGCAUUAUCCUUGCAAAAAGAAAACAUUUCCCACAUUUCCAUAGCAAAUUACCAGUUUUAGUUAUCUAUCACAUAUCCUCUGCUCCUACCUCCCAUCCUUAAAAACUACAUUGUUUAUAUUUUCCAGAGGCUCCAGAUUAUUGCAAUCCAAAGACUUUUCAAUAAAAAAUUCAGUUUUUUAUUUUUAUUUUUUACCUUUAUCCACUUAUCACAAUUAGUCUAAACUUUAAAUACUAUGUCAUAAGAUAGGAAUAAGUGUUAGACGGUUUCCAAGUGUUCUAGACAUAGGGGACAAAUUUUAGUGUUUAACUCUAAAUAUGUGAUAAAACUGUUGGAAAUCUCACAUCAACUAGAGAUUAAGACAUUUUAUAGUAUAUAAGUGGGUGCAAACUUCACCUUAUAAGUUAGUUUUAUAGGGUUGAGUUAGGCUUAAAGUCUACUUCUUAAUAUGAUAUUAGAGUUAUUUCGAGUCUAUCUAGCGAGAGUUUGUUGGGUUUAUCAGACCACCCACUAUCAAAUCGUUAUUGGAUCACUCAUAAUAUAUAAUAUCAUGCACGAGAUUGGUAGCCUCAGCGUGAAGGAGAUGUGUUGGAGAUCUCACAUCGACUAGAAAUUAAGACAUAGUAUAUAAGUGGAUGUAAACCUCACCUUAUAAGCUGCUGAUUUUAUAAGGUUAAGUUACUUAAAGUCUACUUUUUAAUAAAAACAUUUAUGAAGCUAUGAUUUUCAUUCAAACAAGCCUCAAAACCAACACAUCUUCAAUAUCUCUCAAUUAUAACUUCUACAAAAACUCUUGUAAUGCUAAUACUAUUUUAAAAAGGUUUGCAUAUAUGUUUUAUGUGUACGCUUUGUGAAAUGCAUGAAAAAUUUAUUCAGCAUUUAUUUUUUUAAUGUUCUAAUGCUUUAUGUAUUUGGAGUUGGGUUCGAAAGAUUUUUCUUACUUCUCAUUUCUCUAAUAAGGAUGAUCUUUUUGCUUUUAUUAAGAGUGAUGGUAGUCCUUUGGUUAAAUUGAUUAAGCUUGUUGUAGUAACUUUUUCUAUUUGGAUGAUAUGGCGUAUGAGGAAUUAUGUUAGAUUUCACGAUAAGAUUGAUUUUUCUACGGCUAUUUCAUUCAUUAAAGAUUUAACUUGUCUAGUGGGAAAUUCAUCAAAAGCUUCAAUGAGAAAUGAUAUGGUAGAUUUCAAUGUCAUUAAGUUUUUUGGUAUUAAUUCUUGGAAUGGUAAAGUUAUUCUUCCUCUUCCCGUUAGAUGGAAGUUCCCUUCGUCAGGCUGGGUUAAAAUUAACAUUGAUGGGGCUGCUAGGGGUUAUCUGAGUCUUUCUACUUGUGGAGGUAUUUUUCGUGGGAGUAUUAGAGACUUUAUUGGUGGUUUCUCUGAUUUUCAAGAAGUGCAGACUUCUUUGAUUAAUGAGUUUUUAUGGAGUUAUACUAUGGAUGAAGCUCAAAAAAUGGGUCUUACUAAUGUAUAGCUUGAAUGUGAUUAUACCUUGGUUUGUGCUGCUUUUGCUACCAUGACUAAUGUUCCAUUGAUGCUUUAAUGGAACACUAGUCUUAAUUAUUGUAGGAAAAUCAGGUUUAGGGUUAAUCAUAUUUUUCGUGAAGGGAAUGCGUGUACGAAUAAACUGACUAGUUUAGGAUCUAUUCAUAGGAAAUUUUUUCAUUGGUAUAAUAGACUUUCAUCUAGUUUGUUCUUAGAAUUCUUUAUAAAUAGGUAUAGGCUAUCUACAUAUCCUUUUUUUUAAUAUAUGGAUUUUGGUUUAACCCUCCAUAUUUUUCUGUAUUUUUUUUUAAUAAUAUCUUUUCCCGUAAUGACAAAUGAUUAUUUUUACUUGAAGUAUCAUCAUAUAUCAUAUGUCAAGUUGCAUAAUAAUAGUUAACAAGUUUAUAAAAAAAUAAAUGUUUAUCUACCAUCAAAUGAAUUUAACAUAUAUUAUAACUUGAGUGUGCUAAAAGUAGUUUAAAAAAUUAAUUUUUGUAAGUGUUGUAAGAUUGAAGAUUGGAUGUGUUUCCAAAUUGACAAAUUAUAUAGGUAAAUAUGUCUAAGAUAGUGGGUGUGACUAGAAGCUAUGAUGUAACCAAUGCUGCAAUUUAAAGAAAAACGUUAAUACUAUAAAACUUAUUUAUACAUUUAAUUAUAGGUUGUUGAUAAAAAAAAACAUUUAAUUAUAGGUUAAAGCAGAAGGAAAAAGCUGGGAUUGGAAUUACAUUAGUGUACACGUGUGAUACUUUGAUUUUGACGCUGAAUUCUACCUCAUUCAUACAAACCAACCUUUAUUUAAUUUUGCACUUCCCAACUACCGCCACUACCUAUUUUAACCUUUAACUGAAAUUCAGGACCUCUUUUACUUCAUGUUCUUCUACACUUCUAGAACAAUGACACACUUUUUAUGCAAGAAUAAAUAUUUCAAAAAUGUAAUACCAUCUAUAAUAUAUUUUAACUUUUUUUUCCUUAAACCUAGAGUUCAAUUUUAUUUGAUUUUUUUUCAAAAAGAGAUUGUUAAAAUUUAUAUUUUUUUAAAUGUGGUCGCUGUCAUUGUUUACUACUAAAGUAACAUGUUACAUCAACAACUAUACAAAGGUGAGAUGGGACAUAUAUAGAUAAAACCAAUAUUUAAAAGAAAAAGUAAAAGUAAAUUUAUACAUUUAAAGGAAUUAAAAAUAUAUUUGAUCUAAUAUAUUAUGUCACGUGUUCUAACUCGACUUCAUAUUUUUGAAAAAUUUAAAUUGAGAAGGAUUUUGUUGGGCAUAAGAACAAUAUGAAGUAGAUUGAAUGAUCUCUUGCAUUUAUAGAUGUGAGCUACGAACAAACUAAAUUUGCAGCGGUCUUACUCGUAGUUGGUUAAUAAUGGACACAUAUUCAAUUCCUCACAUUUUAAAUGAGUUAAUAUUAAGAAUGUUAGUUACAAGUUCAACCCUACCUUCAUCACAAGGAAAAAAAAAAUGGAUCAGUGGGAUUGCGUAUGACUGGCUUGUCUUUUUUUUUCCUUUAAGAUUCGUUAAUAAUAUUAAUUUAAACGUUACUUUUUAGGGGCUUAGUGAUUUUUCAUUUGAGUUUGAGAAUAUACUGUUGCUCGUAUUUUAGCUUGUACAUUAUACAAAUAUUUUUUUUUACUUUUAUAUAAUUAAAAUCAUAAGAAAUAAUUUUUUUAAUAUAUAAAUUAUAUUAUAAUUAAAAUUUAUUAAAAACGGAUAUAUUUUAAUAUGUAAAUUUUAUUUUAAACUUAUGAUAAAAAAUUAAUUUAAAAAUUAAUAUAUAAGGCUAAGAAAAUCAGGAAUAUAAAUAAAAAUAAAAAGCGAGUAAUUGAUGGUAAGGGGAAUUCUUUUUCGGUAAUGGCUACAUGAAAUAAGAAAAGAAAAUACUGAUUAAUAUAUCUUAUGGAGAGAGAACACAACCUAUAAUUUCUCUUUUGUAAUAGAACUGGAUCAUCCAAAAAAAAUGCCUCAUAGUAUUUUUAUUUAUGAUUUAGCUGAAACUAUAUUUUUUUUUAUAAAGAAAAAGGUUUUAGAUAAUUUGGGUUUCAUAAUUUCAUCAAAGUUAGAUCGUGUCCUCAAUGCUAUCAAAACACUUAUAAAAAUACGUAUACUAUUCAUGUUCAUUUAUAUUCACGUUCUUCUUUUUUUAUUAGAAAAAGAAAAUUGAGAUAUUUCAGGAAUACCUCAAUCCUGAUACAAAAUCUUCUAAACCACUCACACAGCCUGAAAAAUAUCAUCAGAUACUUACUAACCUAAUUUUUUAACAACAGACCUUAUGCACACUAGUGGUUCGAGACACCAAUCAGAAUAAAAAAAACACAUGCUAGUCUAACUUUUGCAAUUAUCCAUGACCAAACUUUCAGCUGAACUAUCAUGAAGAUUUCACCAUGAUCUAUAGUACCAUUUCUAAAAAUCUUCUCAUUCCUUUGUUUCCAAAAUUCUUCAACGACUGUUAUCCAUACACAAAAUCAUAUGUUAUUGACGAGUUCACUUUCCUUGGUCAACCUAAACUUGGUGAGUGCUUUUUAGAAUCAUCAUGAACGAUCGAGACCACCCCCACCCAUUCAUAGCAUUUCGCCCACACCAGCCAAACUACCCUACAAGUACAAAAAUAUGUGACAUUGUUUCCUCUUCCUCCCUACACAAACAACAUAUGCUAUUCUCCACUAAAAUAUCUCUCUUCGCCAAAUUUGCUUUAGUUGCUAUUUUAUCCUCCAACACCCUUCAUGCAGUCAAAUGAGCUGAUGAUUGAGCCUUUAUCCUCCAAAACCCCUCAUACACAAAUACUCCUCCCCCUGCUCAUCGUCUUUUAUGAUAUAUGUUGAUUUGACUGUACACUUUGUUAUAUCACUAACCUUCUACACCCACUGAUCCUCCUCUUCCUCGUUGAUACUCUUGCUUCCCAUCAACCUUCUCAUAUCUUGUUCUUGGUAUUUUUCCUGAUCGAACAAGCUCCUCCUCCAUCCUAUCUUCCAUACCCACUGCAAAUUACUAUUUCACUCCCCUCCUUGCCACAACUUAUCACCCUUGCCUAUAAUUUAUAUCCACGUUCUUAUAUAUAGUAUAUGAACUAUUUAAAAAAAUUGGGUAAAAGAGUAGAGAUUAAAUGAAUAACUUUGAUUAAAUUGAAUGAUCAUAUAUAUAUAUACUCUCUUACAUCAAAGUAUGUAAUUUUAUACUUAUAAAAUUUAAUAAUUAUGUACUGUUAAAAAUAUGUACUAAAAGUGAUCGUUUAUAUCAAGUAAUUAUAAUAAAACCCAACACUUAUCAUAUAUGAUGAUGUAUAAUUAAAUUAAAAUAUACCUAUAUUUUCUUAUAUUUAUAUAUCAUACAAAAUGUAUCCAUUUUGUUUAUGCAUUAAAUAUUUUAAUUUUGUUAUUAUACAAUUCACUCAUGGCACAAGGGGUGAUCAAAAUUACAGUUAUUAUCAUUUAAAGAAAUAACAUUAAUUAAAACGCAUAUGAAUUCAUGUUGAAAUUGAGUGAAGUUAUUAGUUUGCUAUAUUUUUCUGAAAGCUGUAUCAUUUAAAUUUACCAGCUCUACAGCAUUUUCUUUAGUUUCCAAACCUUCUAAUUUAAGUUUUCCUAUCUUUCAUUAUUUUCAAUUUGUUAUAUAAUGAUUUAUUGUUGACAUUAGCAAGGAUGUUUAUUUUUGCUGAUAUAUGUCACACCUGUGCAUUUUUUUAAGACUGAUGAGGAAAGGUAAAUCAAUAUUAUAAAUAAAAAAAUAAAUAAAAAUUAUGCGGAGAUUAAAACUAAACUCAUAAUGAAAUAAAAAAAAUACAAAGAUGAAGAAAAAAUGAAACUCAGAAAUUACUUUUAAGAAUUCAAUUCUUAUGAAAGUAUAGGAAGUGAGUCCCACCAAAUAAAAUUUUAAUCGUAAAUAAAAACAUAGUUAACCAAUUUGUUAGUUCAAGAAUUACCUUAUAUAAAGGUAUGUAACAAACGAAAUAACAUAUUCUGGCACACACCAUUUUCCUUCUAUGUAUUAUUUUGCACCAAUUUAGUAGUGAAAUGGAUAUCAAUAUAUAGCUUGCACGUUUUGCAAUAAAGCAAAAAUUUAUUGACAUUUUGAAAUAAUUUGAUUUAAACCUCUUAAUAAUACACACACUAAAAACAUAUUUUAUGCAUUAUUCAUGGCCUAAACACAUCAUUUUUCAAUUCAUACUCCUCCUCUGCCUUAUAUUUUAUUGGCGUGUGUCCAAAUUUAUAGUUAUGACGUCAUUGUUUGAUUUCAGUGACCAUUUUACGUCAGAAUAAGAAUGUCAAGAAUAGGAAAAAAAUAUUUGGGUUGUUGCAUGUCCUGAGGACACAUUGUAUCACUUAUUUGCUGUCCACCAAAUUAACAACCAUUUAUACUUAUAUUUUUAUUUUUAUUCAAAUUUAUUAAAAUUCUUAAAUAGCCACAUUCUUAAUCAACUAUUGAAUCAUGAAUAUUAGAUAAGUUUUAUUCUUUAUCUCAUGAGAAGAAAAACUAGACAAUAGUAAUGCAUAAUAAUCUUGUAAUAAAUAUGAUAGAUGUUAUCUUAAUUUUUUUAGCCUAUAAACAUUAAUAUCUUUCAUGAAAUUAGAUACUUGUGAUGAUUAAAUAGUAACUCUAACAUCAUAUUAUAUAAAAUGAGUUUAAAUCUAAUAAAUCGAUUUGAUUUAUAGAAUCUAGAUGCUGAUAAAAAAUAUAGAAUCUCCAAUAAAUAAAUCUUCCAUAAAUAUCUAUAAAAACAAUUUAUGUACAGCAAUGUAUAUUCAAAAUAUAUAUAUAUAUAUAUAUAUGAAUUUAUCUAGCAGCAAUGUAUAUUCAAAAUAUAAUGAGUUAUUUAUGAAUUAAUUUUCAACUAUUGCAUGUUUAUAAGUCAUAAUAAAUAAAUAAAUAAAUAAAUAGUGAUAUAAUUUAAAACCAUUAAUUUAAUGUAGUUAUAAUUAUCCUAACUAUUAUCAGUGGUUAUCAUAAAAAAAGAAAACAGAAUUACAAAUAAAGCAUAAAAGAGCUUUUGAUACACAAAAUUUAAUCUCAUUACCAACUUACUUUCCUAUAUAAGAUUCUACAAUAAACACAAGCAGCAAUGACUAAGAUUCAGGUAUCAUCAUCAAUCUCGUGAAUUGUUGACCAAGGAAGAGUUAAUGCAUGCAUUGUAUUCAUUAAGAAGAUACACCUACACUUGAUCACAAUCUUGCAAUUAGCAUAUAUAUAUAUAUAUAUAUAUAUAUAUAUAUAUAUAUAAAUGUAUGUAUGUGUGUGGCAUAAAAGAUAGCUGCAUCUGCCACUACUUUUAUUCUUCGUGAGCUUUGAAUCGAAGUUGCCAUUACAUAAAAAGAGACAAGACAUUGCAGUGAUCAAUCUCUGCAAAUUUUGAAUACCUUAUGCGCUUACUAUGUCUAUUCAUAGAGCUCAACCCCAAACCACGCGCAGCAAACGUGUGCCUCACACUAAUCACUGCCCUUAACCAGAUCACAUCAACACUCAAAGCUUUAUUUUUCAGACGGGGACAAGGAAAUAACAUUAAAGUUUUAUAAACAAAAAAAGUUGGAAAAUUUUCACUCUAAACACAACCUGAUGAUGAUAGGCCUCAUCAUAAUUACGAUGGCCUUCUGCAAAACUAUAAACUAGAAUUGCUAUUUGCUAAAUGCUAGAAUUCAUAAUGAAGGGUGAAAACUAGAAAGCUAAUUAAACUACAAUCAUAAAAGUAUCAUACCAAGUUAAAUAAUUAAACCCUUGAUUGGUCAUUAUGAUGAAGAGACACCCACACCAAGAAAAUCAAUGAAAGGAACUUCUUUGGGUUCGAUAAUGGUCUCAUCUUCAGUUGUUUGUUGUUGGUGAUCUUUCUCUGUGGAAGCCUUCAACUUGGUGAAUGUGGAUGAGUUAUUAUCGCAAAAACUCAUCAAAAGGUCCCUCUUUAUCCUUCCAUCAUUAUCAGAACCAAGGAAACUAAAAGGACUUGUUGGAACAACCCUCUUGUAGUUGGGAAGAGAGAAGGCAGGAUUUGGAUAAAUUCUGAGAAACGAUCUAUCUGAGCUUCUGGAACAUUCUGAGAGAUAAACACUAGAAGAGCAAGAAGAACCGUUGAAAUAGUCUCUCCCUCCUUUCCUAUCCACUACUGCAGAACCGUUUGUGGUUGUUGGCACAGAAGCAAAAUUCCAAGACGCCAGAGAACUAGAGGGAGUAGUAUCUGCAACUAUCCUAUUAUUAUUAUUGUUAUUAUCCUUAUUAUUAUCGAGGCUCCGAAAGUCAAAGAAUCUUCCAUUCUCCAAUCCAAAUCUCGUACUAAACAAUAGGUCUUGAUGAGAUUGUGGUGUCCUCUUCUCGAGGAACGUGUUGGAAUCGUUGUAAACAUCUUGGAAACUUCUUUUCCCACAUAACUUCGAUUGUUCCCUCUGCUUUCUUGCCAUUAUAACGUGCCAGUGGUUCUUCACAGCAUUAUCAGUUCGACCAGGAAAAAGCCUCGCUAUGAGGGCCCACUUGUUCCCGUGAAUUCGAUGAGCUGCGAGUAACCUCUCUUCUUCCUCUUCUGUGAACGGUCUUCUGUUGAUUCUUGGGUCAAGCUGAUUGAACCACCUUAAUCUGCAACUUUUCCCUAAGGAACCAAAAUAUGAUCAUAUAAUUAAGGUUUAUUAAUCACAGCUGACACAGAGACAUGCACAAUUUUUAAGCAGAGAAUUAACAAUUUUUAUCUAUAAAUAUGUAUAUAGAUGUUAAUAUAAAGUGCUUAAGGAGUUAAUCUAGUUGGCUCUAGCUCGGUGCAAUAGUAUUAAUUCAAGCUAUAAUUAAUAAGAAACCCUUGAAUUAGAUCUUCCACUGUUCCACUAAGAUUUUUGAUUAACUUGCUAAGAAUUAAUCCGACCUACGAGAGAUUGAUAUAUACACAUGAAUCAUAAAGAUAUAUGUUUAUAUAUAUAUAUAUNNNNNNNNNNNNNNNNNNNNNNNNNNNNNNNNNNNNNNNNNNNNNNNNNNNNNNNNNNNNNNNNNNNNNNNNNNNNNNNNNNNNNNNNNNNNNNNNNNNNUAUACCUGAUCUUCCUUGGAGCUUCUCAGCAAUUGAAUUCCAGUUUUGAGCACCAUAUUGUUCAACAAGUUGUCUAAGCUUUUCAUCCUCAGCAGGUCUCCAGUGGCCACGGGGACAAGUCUUAGGGUCUUCACCUGCUGAAGAAUCCUCCAUGGAAUGAGGAAGAGAUACUGUUACUGUGGAUGGAGGUUGAGGGUAGAGAUAUUGUGGUGCAGCAGCUAGCGGCGAGAAAUCUUGAACAUCAAGCACAGAAAAGAGAAGUCUGAAAGAAGAUAUAUAAGUGGAGGAGGGAGGGGUUGGUUUAGGGUUGUGGAUGGUAAGUCACUUUUGUUGUCUUCACACGACAGAUUGUGCCCUGUGAACAUGUACUUAAAUAGAGACCUUAUCAAAUUCCUCUUUGCUUUUAACAAGAAAAAGAAAACAAAAAGAAAAAAAAGAAAGAAAUGAAAUGCCUAUUGCCGUUCGAUCCUUUUCGAAUUCCCUCAAUUAUUAUAUAAACCAUCGCACCACGUUAAUAAUCAAAUCCACUUGUUUGGUUAUCGUAUAGUUCUUAUUAAAGGGACGUCUCUCCUCGAUCGAAGACUGUGGUUGAUUUCCCACAUCAGGUAAUUGCGACCUUCAUAAAAUGAAGCAGUUUCUAAGCAAUAUCGAUACACUAAGUUGUUGGACAAUUUAUCAUUCUUAAACAAAUUAUAUAUUAUAAUGCAAAAUAAAAUCCUUCCAAAAAAAUUCUUUCUAUCAUAAAUGGUGAUACAAACAACACAGCCUUUUUUGUGUCUUCAACCGGAUCACUUCAAUAUCUGUGUCUAUCCUAAAAUAUUAUCCACUUAUUGUUACUAAUAUGUUGAUUUUGUACUUCUAUUAAAAAAUAUAAAAAAGAAAAGAGUAUUCUAAUCUCUUAAUUUUUUUUAUAAAUAGAUAUCUAAAACUUUAUUUUUAUUAUUAAAUUUUACCUCAUUUUCAUAAUAGAAUUAUGAACUUCAAAUUCUUUUUAGUUAAUCCUUAUUACAUUUCAUAUUUUUUUUUAUAAUAAAUAACUUGAACUUAAACUACAUUCUAAUGGUUCUUAAAAAAAAAAUCUAUAAAUAUUAUUUUAUUGUGUUAGAAUCAAAUUAUUUGCAUUAUAAACCUAUCACUCUUUAAUCCUUUUUUUGUUACAGUUUAUUUUCUCAUAUCUUGAAUAUACCAAAUAUGAGUUCAGAAAAAAAGGUCUUUGUUUCCUUAUUUCUGAAUCUAGUAUAUUCUAAUAAUGUUUGGGAAAGUGAUCUAAUAUAAAUAUAAAACAAAUCAAUUCUAGGGAUUUAAUAAAUAAAAGAUUGAAAUUUUUUCUUUACUAUAUAUAUAUAUAUGUGGUUUGGUCCCAAUUAAUGAGAUACAAUUUGUAAAGGAUAAAUUUUAAGGAUUACAUGAGAUAAAAUUAUAAUUAAUGUAUUUAUUUGUAAAAGGAGAGAUAAAAUGUAAAAUUAAUUGAAAAAAUAGUUUAAGUAAGAUAUUUAUAAAAUGAAGUAAAGUUUAACUAUCAAUUAAGACGCAUUAAAAUUUAAACUAUCAAUUGAAAAGAAAAGUUCUGAAAACUUAUGUUAAAUAUAUUUUUUUCCUCUUAUUUAUAUUUUAAGUUUUAAUUUAGUAUUUUAAAUUAAAAUACUUUAACGCCUUUAAAUUUCUAUGUUGGAAUAAAAUUAUACGAGUCCGUUAGGUUUUUCUUACACUAAUUUGACCAAUUUAAUGGUAUAUGAUAAGAAAUACCAAGUCAAUGGAUUGAUAACUAGUUUUAAAAGUAACAGAAGAACUAAUUUUUUUUCUAAGAGAUAUUACAGAAGACUCAAUGAAACUUUUUAAAUGUAAGGUAAAACUAAAAAUAUUAUUUAACUUUUAGUCUAAAAAUUAACAUCGAAAAAGACACACACAUGCUUAUUUAGGGUGGUUAGAAUUUAGAUGUUUAGUUGAGAAGUUUAUAUUAAACAAGAGUAUACUUAUAAAUUAAAUAAUGAAAUUUAUUGAAUUAAGGUAAACAAAGUUUAAUAAAAUAAAAUAAAAAAAUCACAACAUGUGUACGGUAAUAAUAGGUUGAAUUAAACUCUUUUAAAUACCUCAUAUUGGUAGGUGAGCAAUUUUCUUUUAAUAUAUACUUAGUAAAUAUGCAAUCAAUCUGGCAGGAUAAAACUCAUACACAUUAUACAAAAAUUAAAAGAAUUUUCUUCUCAUCAAAUUGUUUCAUGGUCUCUUGGAAGAAGAUAGAGAAAAUACAUGAAGAGCUGUGAAGAUAUAAUGUGAAGAUAUGAAGUUUGAAGUUUCUCAAUCAUGAAAGAAAUUAUUAUAGAGAUAAGAAUACUUAUUUUGAAAUUGAUGAAAGACUAGAUUUUAAGUGAUUUCAUUAUUUUAUUUUUUAUUAGUUUAGAGUUUUUUUAUAAUAGAUUUUAAGUAUCUUUAUUUUGUUUUGUUUUUGUAUGUUUCUAAUCACGAAUUUGGUUUGACCUCAUAUAAAAAGUUAUGUUGUAUAUAUGAACCCCUAAAAAGAUUUAACAUAAUUGUUCCUCUAUAAUAUUUAGAUAAGAAUAUAAUAUUUAAAUUCAUUCUGUGUAUAAUAAGCCAUUUUUAUACAUGUAAAAAAAGAGACAAGUACCACGUAAGCAAGCAAAAUCUUAUAUAAAUCAUUUAACCAAAUUUUAAUCAAAUAAAAUAAAAAAAAUAACUUAAAAUGAGUGUAUGUUAUAUAAGUUCAACCAAACUCUUUAAAAUACCUCUUUCGUCAUAUUGGUAAGUAAGCAAUUUUCUUCAAGCAAAGAUAAUCAAUUAUGUAAAAUAAAACACGUUUUAUAAAAACAUCCAAAAAGAUGAAGUUAUGAUACGAUUUUGCAUGUGAACCCGUAGAAAAAAUUUAACUUUGGUCUUCCCUGUAAUAUUUAAAUUCGUUCUGCCUAAUAUAUAUAUAUAGUUGAUUCGUUCUCCAAAAUUCCCUUAACAUUACACUGUAAUAUAUAAAUUUUCAUUUUUCUCGUCUUUCUUCACGAUUAAUUGUUCAAAGGGUCUCUUAAUAUGAAUUCUGCACGCCGUGUCGUAUAAGAACAUUAAAAAAUUUCAAUCCAAAUAUUGGAAAAAAAUGGAAGAGGUGUGACAGCAACCAUUUUGAGAGAGGGGCGUUGCUUAUGCUCAUAUAUAGUAUUGCAGGAAUUUUACAUUAAGAAGGCUAUUCACUAGGUUUCUUUUUGAGUUGGUUCAAGUUUUUCACCGUUAGGUUUCACAAACUGAUAUUAAAUUCUUGUAAUUAACCUCAAUAAAUCUGAUCUUGGAGGAGUAAAUUAAUUUUGGUAACCAUUUUUAUGUUGUAGGAGAACAAGCAAGUUGAGAGAUUAAAACCUAUUCUGAUGCGUCCAUUAAUUCUCUUUUUUCAUUCUCUAAAGUACAGCCAUAAAUGGAAAGAAUAUGUUUCCAUUUUUUUGAGUUGCAGAGAGGACUUAUCAAUAAAGUAGUCCCGUAAUUAAAAACGCACGUGAAGGCCAACGAAAAGAAGAAGAGGGAAAUGGAAUGCUUUGCGUAGUUGAUUUAAAUCCGCACAUUAAUUGGAUUCCUUAUUAUCUGCAAAAUACUUAGGUUAUUAAGACAAUGUCUAAUAAUCGUUUCAAGUCCAAAUAGCUAUCUCGAAGAGAAUUAAUCUCCCUAUGAUGUAAGAUUAUUUGAAAAAAUUGUUUUGAAAGCAAAACACGCGAGGUUAACUAGUUUAACGAUACUCUAAUUAUUUAAUUAAUUGAUUAUAUCAAAGAUACAGCAAAACCUGGUAAACAGGACUACAAUUUUGUGAAAAUGUCUGUUAUUAAUUAGUAGUGAUUUUAAUCAGUGAGAGAGAGUGAGAGAGGUGUCAAAAUCAGUUUUUAAUCCUAAGGAUUAAUUGAAAUGGCGUGUAAGUAUAGCAUCAAGAAAAGUACUUCCAAACCGUCUGCCUUAGUUUUUCAUUCUCCAAUUCCAUGCAGAUGGCAAGUCAAAUAAAACAUUGAAACAUAUAGUGAAGUAACUAUUAUUCUAAUGUGUUUCUUAACCGAUUGAGAUUUCAUACCCCACGAAAUCAAACACUUAUCUUCCCAUCAAAAUAUGAAUACAGUUUGUCUGUGAACAUCAUGUUUGUGUUUUGAAGAUAAAAUUACCACACAGAGUUGAAAUUGGUAGGUCUAUCCAUCCAACUGAUGAAUGGUAUCUUAAAACCAAAUUGUCUUCUUUCUAAUAAUUCAACUAAGUAUAAACAAUGGAACACUUCAAUAGCAACAUAUAGGUUUCAUCUCAAACACUCAGGGAUUAGUUCAACCCUCAAAGGAUAUGAUAUAGAGCCGAAUAAAUGCACUUUUCAGAUUGUCUUACAUAUCAGGUUUGAGUUUCGGAAAGGCCAUUCACCAUUUUCCCCAGCAUAUAAUUUUGAUUAUCAGUUUAAUCUAUUCUUUGUUGAUAAAAAAAAAGUGUAUGUUAUUUAAGCUAAAGAUUUUCAUUAAUAAUAAAAUUACUAAGUUGAGGACUACACAGUUGCUACUAAAACUUUACUACAUGUUGGAAGGGAUGGUUGUAAUUCCCUCAUAAUAAAAACUAUUGUUUGGACGUGUCUGGUAUGAAAAUUAGCAGUUGAUUUUGACGAAGAAAAAUGGUAACUGUAAAGGGAAAAUAAAUAUUUAAUAGAAAUCCUAGCUACAGGCAAUUGUUUUCAAUAAAAAAAUCGGAGAAAAAUGAUUUUGGUCUUGCUGUCAUUAUUACGAAUUGAAAUGCUGCACAUAACUAACUAGUAAAAGCUUAUGCCUGGUCACAAGUAAGAACAAGUCCAGCAGUAUUAAUUAUCCCAGUCAUACAGUAUUAAUCCUGCAAACUCUUAAUUGUAAUCAUAAAUUAAUCCUUUUUGUAGCCUUACGCGACUUUUCAUGAAGAUCAUUCUGUCAAAGCAAAAAAAAUUGACCCGUUUCACCAAUAGCAUUCUUGCAUACCACCUGAAGACUCUUCAACUCAAAAACAUUUCUUGGUGUAUGCAAUCUUGAAUAAGUAGAUUUUUUUCUUAUUUUGCUGCUCAGCGAAGAUAAUCAGAUCAAACCAAUUGCAUAUGUAAAGAUGACCCGUCUAAAUUAAAGGGUGUGAACUGUAUAUUAUAGCUAAGCAAAGUUUUAAUAAAGAAGAAAUUGGAAAUGAAGUUGAGGUGGUCUCUCAGAUUUGAAAUGACUACAAUAGAGCCCUAGAAGGUUGAACUCUCAUGAAUGAAAUGCAUUCUUAAACAACCAUAAAAAGGGCAUGGAGUUAAUUAAAGAUGAUAACGCGACAAAGCUUGGUUUCCCCAAAUAGUCUUAAUUAAUAUUUACUCCUGUUGUGUAUUUAUUCCACAUCGCAGUGAUGAUUUAACAGAUAUAGUAUAGGAGGAUUUCUCGUGAUACUUUGUUAGCUGUCAUUCCAAUUUACACUGCAAAACUAUUUAUUUAUAUCGUACACUAAUAUUUUUAGCUAUUACUUAAUUAUAGCACAACUCGAAUAAUUAAUCCGACAACCAUUCAAUCAAAUAAACUUUCUGGUUGAAUGUUGUAAAUGUCAUGUUAAUAAGGUAGAACGUACUAUCGUGCGACAUGUUGUAAAAGUUAACUUUAAUUUAUGCACCACGUCUUUCACAGAAGCUGUUUGUUAAAGGAAUCAUAAGAAGGUAAUAUAUUAUAUUGUUGCUUGAUUCAAAGCAAAAUAUGUGCCACAACAACAGAGAAAUAGACCGUUAAAAUGAUGGUAGCAGUUCUACAUCAUCUAUCUCUUAUGCGUGGUGCGAGUGUGGGGAGAAGCAGGAAUAGAAGGGUUUGAAAUAGCUUUCAAACAGUGAAUGCAAACUUGCACAGCCAAACAUCCAUUUCCUUCAACUGUCUAUAUAUGAAAACCACAACACCUUUUCUCUCUCAUUCACCUUCCACGUAACCUAAGCAACCCACCAUUUUCAUCAUCAUAACCCACACCCUAAAUUUGACAUCAACAGUCCCUCAAAAUCCUCAACAAACUACUUUUGACUCUUCCCAUCCAACUAUUUUUUGUACGCAUUUAUAUAUAUAUGGAUAUCACACACCACUCUCUCUUUCUCUGUAUAAUAACGUAUAUAUAUCAUCAUACAUAUAUAUAUAGAUAGACGCAUUUUUGUGCAGCUUGCAGACCCUAACUUUCCUCAGCUUCCCCUUUUGGUCAUUCUCAUUAAAUAUAUUCUGUUACAACCACGCUAGCUUCAUUAAUUCAAAUGUUGCAAAAGUAGUAUUCCAAAGUUCAGCAAACCCCCGAUUGGACUUUUUACAGACUGAAGAAGGUAGAGUGAAAACCAUACCCUUAAUAACCAUACCAAACUCCAAUUAUAUUUUUUUUCUCCUCUUCUCUUGGACCUAUCGUGAUGUUUUUACAUGCUUUCUUGCAUGAAGAAAUAGUUGGUUGAAUCUAAAUUCACUCCUGCAGCUACAUCAACAGAUUCAUGGAACACUUUGUGUAAUCCGAGGAGAGUGAAGUAACCCACAAGAAUGUACUUGUGUGAUGGACUUCAGUUCCUUGCUUGCUCUCCUAGGCAUACAAUAUAUAUUAUUAUUAUAAGUAUUGAGUGUGGAAUUUUAUUCUAUUAUAAUAGGCCCACUCAGGUAGGGUUCGUUGGCAAAUGAGUAGUUUUCUUUGUUCCUUGUCUCGCAGUUUCAGCCAAAAGCGACAUCCCCAUUCUGCGCUGUGAUAAACCUCCAAAAUGGUAUAGUUAGUGGCAUCAGACAGUGACACUUCACCUACCUACACAGCUACCCUGUUCGUGGUCCGUUUUUACUUUAUCAACGCUUAAAUUCCUUAAACUAAUUAUCAACUAAUGUUUAGUCCAACGUGCUUAGAGUCAAUUCCUCAAACAAUAUUUCUGCAACUUCCCAAUGGGCUUGCAUUAGCAACUACAAGCCCAUAAACAAAAACGCCACCAUUACUGUGUUAGUUUAGAACCUACCAAAGCACACUACCAUUCACCCUAUUUUAUCACGUUUUAAUUAUUUUUACUCAUUUUUAUAACUAUUUUAUCUCUUUAUUAAUUAUAUCAAAUAUCUUAUCUUGUAAUCAUGUGAUAAAGUUAUAUAAAUUGGGUAGAGAUGUGUUUGUUUUUUUUUUCUGUUAUAGUGUGUUUGAAUUAGAGAGGAGAUUUGAAAUAGUGGAUUUGAAGUAAUUUGAUAGAAAAAUGAGGUUGUUUGGAUGGGAGUAUCUUAGUGUAGAUUUGUGAAUAAAGUUUAUUGAAAUUUGUGAGUAAUGUGAUGGUUGUGUGAAAGUUUGUAAGUGACUUGAUAGAUAUAAUAAAUUUAAAAUAAUUAUAAAAAAUUUAAUGUAAAAAAUUUAAAAUUAAAAUUAAAAUAAAUUAAAAAUUGAUAAAUAAUAAUAAAGAUACAUAUUAAUAAUUGAAUUUUAAAUUAUUUUUUAUUUAUUAUUGUAUUAUAAUAUAAAAAUAUAUAUUAAGCAUUAUCUUUAUAUUUAUAUGAAAAUAUAUUUUUUUAUAUAUAAUCAAUUUAUACAUAAUUAAUUUUAAAAAAGCUAACUUUUUUUCACAAAUCUCUUCACAUUAUAAAAGAAAAUUUAAAAGAAUGUAAAUGCAUCGUUUUUUAUAAUUUUCUAUAUUUUUUUCUUCUGUUUUUUCGACUUUCUCUUUAAUACUUUCCUUUAUCACUUUCUUUGUCUUUGUUAUCUUUAGAGACAAACGGACCAUUAGUUAUCCGUUCUCUGUUGGGAACCUAAUCCACGUGAUGGGAUGUUCAAAUCAAAGUCGGUGAAGACUUGUACUAUUUGCCGUCAUUGUGUAGAACUAAGGAUACUACUUUAUCAUUUCAUUCAACAUUUUUUUAGUAUUCGUUGGUUGCUACAAACAGAUCAUGUGACUAGUUGUGCUGUGUACACCAGGCAUGCUUAAUGCCUUUUCUUCCCGUCAACUUGGCCCAGAAAAAUUCAUUGAAAAAUUAUUCUUGCACUAAAAUUCAGGAGAGAGAUAAAAGAAAUAGAAAAUAAAUGGUAAGAUAGGUGAUAUGAUAAAAUAAACAGAAACAGUAUUGUAAAAUUAUUUAGACAAAAAAUAUUUAUACAUUCAGAGUACGUAUAUAUACUUUGUGACUGAAUAAUAGAGUGAUAUGUAUAUUAAUAGUGUAAAGAUAUUAAAGUAGUAUGAUGUUAUUGUGUUGAAUAGAAUGACAUCUUACCUACCGAUUCUUAGAAGGCAUUUAAGAAGGGAAAUAAAAAGAUAUAGUUCUAUACUAACAUGAUUAGUGUAGGCAGAGUGAACUUGAUAUAUAGUGAUGAAUAUUGCAUGUAUGUAAUCAACCUCCCACUAGCUCAAUGGAUAUCAGCUAAUCUCACAUUUUAUUAUAUUCUGCUGACUCUUAUGUCUGUCUAAUCAUUUUCGGUAAAUUCGCAAUUAAGAACAGCUUAUGUGUGUUAACACUGUAUUCAAAUAUCUCAAUGGAGAGAAAUAUAACCUCAAACCAGCUUCUGAAACAGUGCAACAAUGGAACAAACCAGUUACCAAUAGCACUAUAAAAUGAGAUGGUUUAAGUACUAUCCCAACUACAAAUGUGACUUACCAAAAAUUAUUAAAUAAAAAUUAAUUAAUUAUUAUAUUAACUAAAUUAAAUAUUAUUUUAAAAAUUAAAAUAUUAUUAAUAUAGAAUAGUUUUUAUUAUUAAUAAAUAAAUUUUAAAUUGAUAUCUAAUUUCCUACUACUAAAUUUUAACUACUAGUUUUAAAAUCUACAAUUUAGUAACUAAAACAUUAUUAAUUAAUUAAAUAUUAAUUUAAAAAUUAUUUAUUAUUAUAAAAAAUAUUUUAAAUAUUAAUAUUUUUUUAAUUUCUAAAAUAAUAUUAAUUUAAUUAAUAUAAUAAUUAAUAAUUAUUUUUUAAUAAAUUUAAUUUAUAUUUAAUUAUUUUUAUUAAUAUAUAAAUAAUUACUACUUAAUUUUAUAAAACCUUUACAAGGUGUAGGAAUCUACAUAGGAGGUGAGAGACAAAUCAGCCUAAAAGAAAUUUUAUAUACGAAUUGAAAUAACAUUCAAAUAUUCUAAUUUUAUAUAUUAUCAAAAAAUUAAAAUUUUAAUUUGAGUAUUCAUUUUCUGUCAAAACAACAGAAAAUGUCAUAAUAUAUAUAUAUAUAUAUAUUAUUGGUUUGACAACAGUGGCAAAAUUGAAGAGGACAGGAAGAGCAUAAAUCAUUGCCUGCAUAGACUUUAAGAAUUGAUGAUAUUAUAAAGUGAACUGAUGAUGUUUUCGAGAAACGUUACAGUGGUUCGUUGGUCAAACUAUCCCUUCAUCAUAAAACCUAUACAAGAAUAAUCAUCAAGAGGGGAGGGCAAAAAGAAAUUACUUGAAAUUCAUGAUAUAGAUAAAAAGGUAAAAGGAAAAAAAUGUCAAAUUAAUAUUUAUUGAGCGUUCGAAUAUUAUUGAAAACAUAUAGAAAAAAUAUAUGAUCUGCUAUAUUUGAAAUUUUUAAUUAACUUCUAAAUAAAUUUUUUGAAUUAUCAAAUUAUACAGUAUCAUUUUUACCAACUAUUAUACCAUUAAUAUCUCCAUAUUUUAUCAAUUUAAUCAUUAAAUUAUAAAUUUAUAUUAUCUUUACUGUUUUUGUUUUGUAAGACCUAAACAUGAGUGUAUUUCAAAGAAAUUAUAUUACUUUAAUUUUAAUCUAUAACAAGAAAUAGAUGUAAAUUUAAUAUGCAUAGCUUAUAUUACAAAUAUAAUUAUUUUAUGUAUGAGUUAAAGAUCAGAUUUUGAAAAAAUAAUAAUGCUUUUAAAUUAAUUUAUUCACAUAAGUUUGUUAUUUAUUAUUAUUACUAGCCAUAUUUUUAAAAAUAUUUUUAAACUUUAGAUGAAAUUUAAAAUUAUAUUUUAAUUUCUAAAAGCAAAAAAUUAUAUAAAAAGGAAUUAGAAACGUAUUUAAUAUUUUAGGAAUUUUGGAACUGGAACCUGUACUUUAGCCCUUAUUUAUAAUUUGGAUUUUAUCAUCACUUUUAAACCCUUGUCUGUUAUCUUUUGGAAUAACCUCAUCAAGAGUUUGGGUUUUAUCAGAUCAAAGAUAUCUGGGCCUUAGGGCCCACUUUUAUUUAAAAAAAUGUCUUGGUGUUAUAGCUUUACGGAAUUACAGUUUUUUUUCAUUAUUUACAAAUUCUAAUUAAAAUUUAGGGUUCAGAGUUUAAUUAAAAUUCUAGGUUACGUAUCUUAGAGGUAUAACCAAAAUUAGAGGUUUUGAAAAAAAAGGUUGGAGUCUGAAAAUUCUAGACACCUUUAAUUUAAGAAGUCAUAGUAAGUGUUUAAUUUGUAUCAUUUCUAAAAAUUGAUCUUUUUAUUUUCUAAUGAAAAUUAUACUAAAAAUACAAUAGAAAAUAACUUUAAAAAAUCCAAGUUCAAUUUUAGUAAGAUGUUUAUUUAUAAUCAUUUAUCUCUUGACUAUAAAUGAAAAAGAAGUGUGGGACAAAAUUUGCUUAAACAAAUAUUCUCCAAUUUUAGAAGUCUUUACAAGAUAUUUUCUAAAAUUUAAAUAUUUUUUAGAAAUAAAACACGAAAUUUGUAAGGAUAUAGAAAAUAACUUUAAAGUAGCAGGGGUACAUUUUAAGUGACAUCUUUAUUAUUAAAAUAAAAAAAUAAAAAGAGUAUAUAAAUAGAAAAUUCAGUUAUUCAGGUUUCAUUUUAAAAGAACCACCAUCCCUCUAAAAGUUUUCUUUUCCUUUCCUCUCCCUUCUUCCCAAGAUUCUGACCUCUUUUUGUACCCUUUUCCUUUUCUCUCUUUCUCUCUAUGAUUCUAAACCUCAGUUAUCAGUUUGACGAUCGGAGUCUGGGACUCCUGGCAAUACUCUACAAGAUUGUCCGAUCAAAAUUUUAAACAGAGUAAGUUCAUUUUUGUCAGCUUUAAGGUUAAUCUCUGUUAACGGUCCUAGUUAUAUAGUUAGAUUUUGAUUAGGAAUCUGUGGUGCAGGUUAAUUACCUUUAAGCUUUUGAAGCUCUUAGUGAGGUAAGGGAAACUAGUCUUAUUAUUUUCAAUGAAACCCUAGGUUAGAAGAUUCUGGAUGUGGGGAUGACGUGGUUACCAAUUCCAAUUGUUUUUGCUGGUAGGAUUGUCUCUUUUGAACAGUAAAGUAAUAUAUUGACUGGAAUGGUUGAUUUUGAAUCUUUUAUAUUGAUUUUAAGGUGAAUAAUUUGUUGAAAGUGUUUGUGAUUGAGAAUUGAAAGUGUUUGAAUGAUAAUAUAAAUGAGUUGAACUGUUUUUUUUAAUAUUUUGUUGAAUUACUUAAGUGAGAUGUUUGAUGAGAAGUGGUUGUGUGAUUGUAGAUGAUGAUUGAUUUAAAGAGCUUAUCUUUGGAAUUAAUUAUGUGUUUAAGUAAAGUUUGAGAUAUAUUUGGAUUGUUUAGAAAGUUUAAAUAUGAUGUGAUUGAGUGGUGCAUUGAUAUGUUAAAUGAUGCAUGUAAUGAGGUUAAAGUGUGAUCAAGACGUAGUAUUUCAUACCAUGUUGAGAUUAUUAUUAUGGUGUAUUAAUUUGUGAGUCUCCUGUGAAUGAGACGAUCCUAUUCUACAGAUAGAAUGAAAUCACAUAGAUGAAGUUAUUCAGUUGGUGAGAGUCGAAGGAGGUCCAUUUGGCUGAGUCUGAGAUUUGAAAGAAUUUAUCAGAGCAUAUCAAAUGGAUUUACCCUGACAUAUGAAGAUGAUGAGAUAUUGAGAUAAUUAUGUGCAUGGUUGUGUGGGUUUCACAGCAGUAGUAUAACAUGUGCAGGUCUCUGGAUGCUAAUUUCAAUACACGAGUCUUUCGAAAGUAGAGUCAAGUGUCUGAGUAUGUGAAUCAGUAGAAAUAUGACAUGAGUAAUGUGGAUGAUGAACGUGAUAAAACCUUGAUGAACUUGUGAAAAUGUGUGAAUAUUGAUGGUUUAUGUUGAUAUUUAAAGUGUUAUAUUUGAAAUUUUAAAAAUAGCUAGCUUACCAUGUGCUUUGUCUUGUGUUUGUUUUCUAUAAUCUGUGAUGAGUGUUAAUUUAUAUAGGAGGAGAUGAAGUUGCAGGUGAUAGAGCUCUUCAGUGCCAGAGGAACAUAUGUUUUAUGUUGAAUGUUUUGUUUGUAAACUUUUGUGUAAAUAUUAAAAUCCCUAUGAAGAAUGAUAUAUUUUUAAGAUAUAGUUAUGAAAUAGUUAUAUAUAUUCAUAUGUUAAUUAAAUAUUUCUUAUUUUAUUGUUAUUUUAUUAUGUAUAGGUAAAAUUAGGGAUGUUACAAAAUUAAUAACAUUAAAAAAUAUAUUUAUAUCAAAAAAUAGUUUUGAAAUACAUUGCAUACUUUAAAAUAAAAUCGAGUAUCUUAUUUUGAAUAUAAUAAACAUUUAAGUAACUUUAAAUCAUAGAUAUGACUGUCUUACUCUUUACCUUGCUUAGUAAACUACACUAACAUUUUCGAGGUUGCACAAAAUUACACACUUUUUUUUCCACAUUUACAACAAUUCAGUCUAAUAUUUCUCAAACAAUGAAAGGAGAUCAGUAUAAUAUAUAAAAAAAAGUCUAUGAGAUAUUGUUUUUCAAACAAUUAAGCUGUGUUACUUAAGAAUAAAAAAAUAAUAAUAAAAUAUUUAGUUUCGCAAAACCUCAAUAACAACAUAAUUACUCAUCACUUAAUAAACACUCAUUACAUCAUGAAUGUUGAACCUGGAACAGUUGUACUUAUAUACACAAAUAUUCAACAUUUUUCUUAAUUCACAGACAUUUGUUUUAUUACAAACUCUCAUAAAACUUUUUGUUAUGAAGUUUAGAGGUAACACAUAGUAGUUAGCUUUAUUACAUUGCAUUACUUGUCUUGUUAAGGAAGUCAAAUGAACAAAUUAUAAUAAAACAAUAAAAAUUAUUAAUGAAAAGAUUACUGUAUUUUACACCAAUAUUUUGUGAUAAAGAUCAAAUACCCUCUAAUCGUACAGAUUGAACUUUUAAGUUCUUAAGGAAAAAAUGUUGUGUUUUCAAUACUUUUAGUUAAUUGUGUGUUUCUAUAUAGGUUUUUAUUUAAAAGAUAAAGUUUGGAUUUUUUUUAUUAAAUACUCUUUCUAACUGAAUAUAAAAAUAAAAUGCGAUUCAGUUGGCUUCAGUUUAAGUUUAAUAUAAAAUAUAGAUCAAACCAAACUAAUGUUUUAUGUUUUUGAUUUACACUACAAGCCAAUAAACCAAUAUUUAAAUAUACUACAAUAAUUAGUUGCAAAAGUAAUUAAAUUAGAGACCAUUUUAAAUUAUUUUUUUUGUUUUUAAAUUAGUUUAUAUUAUUGUGUAAUAGUUUCUAAAUUGGUAUCUAAUUAACAAUUAAGAUUUAUACUAGCAAAUUUAGAAUCUAAAUAAUUGGUAGUUAAAACCUUGGUAGCUAAUUAGAUACUAAUUUAUAAACUAUUUCACAAUAAUAUAAACUAAUUUAGAAACUUUUUUUUUUAGUUUAUAAAAUAGUUUCUAAUUUAGUUACUAUUGCAAUUAAUUAUUUUGAUCUCUAAGUAUUGGUUUUUAUUUGAUGAUUUUCUUAUAGUAUUAGAAUCACAAUUUGUGUCAUCAUAAAUUGUUAAAUAUUUUAUAAUAAAACAAUUGUCAAGUAGAGACACAUAUUAUGAAUUAUUUUUUUAUGAUUUUGUUAUAAUCAUAAUUUCAAUUUUUUUUCUCGUAUUUUUAAAGAAAUUACCUAAUCUUAUAGUUGAAAAUUAAAAUACAAAUAAAUUUGUUAUAUUUUUUUAAUAGGUAUAAAUAUAUUGUAAGUAAACUAUAAAAUUAUAAAAUAACCUUAAGAAAAACUAAAUUCAAAGAAAAUUAAACUUUUAUUUUUUUUGUUAAAUUUAUUCGAUUCUAGAUAUUCCUAAUAACAAAUUCUAUAGCAUAUUUCAAACUAUAAGAGAUAAAUAUGUAGUAAAUACUACAGUAAAAUAGUUGUGACAAUCUAUAUACUAAUUUAUUUUUACCUUUUCAUAUUACAUGCAUUAAUUUUAUAAAAAGGUAUAUAAUGAUAUUAUUGAAUGGAUUUUUAAAUGGUCAAAUUUGUUAUUUAAAAUUUUAUUAAAUGUGAUUAAUGAGGAAAGAGAAUUAUAUAGGUAGUAAUAAAUCUAGAAGAGAUAUAUAGUGUAUAUUAAAUAGUAGAAUCCUUAAGUAAAUGAGAUAUAUAUAUUUCAUUACUUUUCAUGUUUCUACACUACAACUUGCUAUAUAGUAAGUAUAAGAAGUUGCCUGGUUUUGUUUUGUUGUGAACUAUUAUCUAAGGAGAUAUAAUGUUUUCUUGUGUAAUAUUAUGGGAGUGAGUAUAUUUGAUUUUGAGUCUAGUAGAGGUGUUUAAUAUGUGUUUUUGACAAGUGUUUAAGUUAAAAGUGAUAGUAAAUCAAUGUGUUUAUUUAAUGAUGAUUUUGAUUAUGCAUUCAUUUUUUUUAUUAUUCUAUUAUUUCUUAUUUCUUAUCUUAGUAUGAUCAAAAUAUAAAGUAUUAAUCAAUUUUUAAAAUAAUCUUAAAAUUAAAUUUGCAUUGAAAAGCUAUUUUUUUAUCCUUUUUAAUAUAAUAAUCGAUUAACUUCAUAAACUAUUUUAUAAUCGAUUAUCCCAAAUAAAAAUCUACUCUUCUAGUAAAAAAAAAUUCAAAAGUUUCGCAAAUAAUUGAUUAUGUUAUGUGAAAAAUAUUUUCACAAAUAAUCAAUUAUCUUGAUUUAAAAUUGUUUAUGGGUGACAUGAAUGACAUAAUAAUCGAUUAAAUUUAAACAUAAUCAACUAUAUUAAUAAGUAACCAUAAAACUAUUUCAAAUCGUUAUAAAAAGAAAAGUCUUCAAGUUUUCUCAUAAGAACACAUAUCAAUACUUUUGAAAAGAACUUGGUAACUUUCUAAAUAAAAGUUUUCUUUGAGUAUUAUACAUUACAUCUUGUUAAAAAGAAUUGUUCAAGCACUAUAAGGAAACACAAUAUUAGAGACCAAGAGGGAGCGAUAACUAAAAGAUUCGGUCAAGACAACCUUAAUUUGACAACAUGCAACAUGUGAAGAGGAAAGCUAGAGUCAGGUUGACACUACCUUAAAGGGUGGAGAAGCUAGCUCCAAGAAAAAGAAAAGCUAGAACUUGGCCCUUACUAAUUUUGUGAGUUUGGUAGGGUUUAGAGUGGACUAGACCAUCUCAUGUUGACAGGUUUAAGUUAAGGUUUGGUCCUCGCUAAUUUUGUGAGUUUGGUAGGUUUAGCAUGGACUAGACCAUCUCAUGUUGUUAAUUAAGUGUAACCUAUGGCUUGGUCAUCACUAAUUUUGUGAGUUUAUGAGGGUUUAGCAAGGGUUAGAUCGUCUCAUGUUGACAAGUUUAAGCUAGGGUUUGAUCCUAGCUAAUUUUGUGAAUUUUGUAGGGUUUAGCUCUCUCUUCACAUGUUAACUAAAAUUCUGGUAACUAAUUAGAUAUCAAUUUAGAAACUAUUUAUUAAUAAUAUAAACUAUUUUAAAUACCAAUAUUUUUAAAAUCUUUAAAAUAGUAUCUAAUUUAGUUAAUUUAGUGACUAAUUAUUUUUUGUCUUUAAAAUUAGUUUUUAUUUGAUAAUUUUCUUGUAGUGAUAUAUAUUAAGAAUAUCAAGUUAUGGAGAAUGUUACAAUACGUUGACUAUCAUGUUAUAUUUUAAAAGUAUAUUUUUGUUGUAUUUUUUAUCUUCAAUACAAUAAGGGGGAAAAUACCAUUGGUAUCUUAAAAUAACAAAAGCACGAAAGUAUAUUUGUAAUGUAUAUAAACAUUUUAACACAAAAUAAAUGCAAUUUUACUGUAAAGUAGACAUAAUGAAAAGAUGUUAUAGUAUUGGAAGAUCCAUCCUCCAUAAUCAUAGAAAUGAACUACAAGUGUAAAGGAAAAACAAUGUUAGGCACCUCUUUAAGAUUAUGAAAUGAAAACAUAUAUCUGUUGUCUGAUUUGGAAAUGUGCUUGUUUGUUCGAAUUCAAUUCUCAUGUUAUAAAAACUUGGAAUGUUCCUCUCGGGCUUCAAUGGUUUUACCCAAGUGGGUGAAGUAAUUCAGUAAGCCCACUAUGAGUGGGAAGAAAACUGAGAUAUGCUAAAAGACAUUGCAUAACAUAUAAGACCAAGAAUUAGGCUACAAUAGUUGAACUUAAACUUGGACCACUUUGAAAUUUGUCCACUGUGAUUGGUUCAAUAUUCUGUUCGAAAAUAAAAAUGUGGGAUGUAAGAGCCUGUGCAUCACUUUUCACUUUAUUUUUAAUCCAAAUAAUAUCAGUUUCUUUCUUUUGUUUUCUCCAUAAUUUUCCACUCUCACAUAUCCUCAUUCAAUUUAAAUAAAAUAUUAAAGAAAAACAAAAAUAUAUUUUAAGCUUAUUAUAUACGGAUUUUGCUUAUAUUUUAAGCUUGAUUUAUUUUAUUAUAUUAAGUAUUUAAAAAAUAUAAUUUUUUUAAAUAAAUCUUUAUUAUUUUUUUAAUUAAGUUAUGUGACUAUUAUCUUAUCUUAUUAUUUUAUUUAAUUUUUUUAAUAGUUAAUAUAAAAUAAUAGUAUCGUUAAUUAAUAAAGUAAUUUUUAUGAUUUUUACGUUAUUAUAAUAUCGUUAAUGCAUGUGAGAUGAUAUAUCCUUUUUAUUCCACAUAUUUACAAUAAAAACAAUAAAAUAGAUUUAUUAUUUUACAUUAAUUAUAUUAUCAUUUUAUAUUAAUUAUAAAAUUUUACAUUUUUUAAUGUUCAAAAAUAAAUAAAUAAGAUUGUGAAACAAAAUAACACUUAUAUUAUCUAUUUAACAAACACAGUUAAAUAAUAAAUAUUUAAUUAAAAAUUAUAACUUUUAAGUAUUUAAUAAAUAAAUAAAAUUAAUACAAGUUUAACUAAAUAUACAUAAAUUAAAUUUAUGAGAGACUUGAAUUAAGAAUAUACAUUAUAUUUGUAAGAUUUAUUAAUAAUUGAACACUGUUCAAAAUAUACAACCAUUGACGCGUUACCUUUUGACUUUCUUGAGUUCAUUUUGAAAAAAAGGGUAUAGUUUGGAUGAGUGCUUAUCAUUGUCACUAACUCACUUUUCAUACACAAUUUAUGCAAAAUGUACAGCGGUUGAUGGUCAGAGACAACCUAAUUUUUAUGUGCUUCCUUUCUUUGUCCAGAAGACUUUUCAUUAUAAAGAGUGUGAAUAGGGAAGAAACAUUAUGAAUUAAUUAUUAUUAUUAUUAUUAUUAUUAGCUUUAGUAUAAGUCUGGAUCUGGCUUAUUUAUUUAUUACAUAGUUUGAGUUUAAUCUGUUUAACAGUGUGAUUUGACCUGAAAACAUGUUAGUAGCUUGUUUUUAUAAGAAAAAAGUUAUAAACAAUCAAAUAAAUUUAACUAGGCUAACAAACCUAAAAUGAUAAUAGAUAUUAAUUAUUAUAUAAUUUUUUAUUUUUGAAAGACUAAUAUUAAAUUACAUAAGAAAGUUAAAAAAAUAAUAAUAAGUCAUUAUAUUAAAAAUUAACAGAUCCACAAAACAUAGGGAGCUACUUAUUUUGUCAUAGAAUAAAAAAUAAGAAAAAGUUUUAUAAGCUAAAAUAAUUAAACAAUAAGCAAGAUCAAUUAAUAACCAUUAAACAUUUGUAGCUUUAUGCUAUUAACCUCUAUGUUUUCUCUUAAAAUUAAAAAUUCCAUAUUAAAAAAUAUCUUAAUUAUUUAACACAAAAGUAUAGCAAUUGUAUAGCAACCGAGAAAAAUAAUCUUAGUGUAGAAGAAAUACAAUUAAAAUGACACUUGAAUAUUUUAUUAUUAAAGUUAAAAGAGCAUAUAAAUAGAAAUUUAGUUAUUAAAGUUUCAUCUUAAAAAAUACAUCCUCUUUCUAAAAACUCCUUUUCCUUUCAUCUGUCUUUUGUAUAAGAUUAUGAUCUCCUUGCUCAUCAGUUUGACGAUCAGAUUCCACCAUCAGACUCUUGGUAGUGGAUACUACAAGACUGCCUGAUCAGAAUCUUUGAUAGAGUAAGCUCAUUUUUGUUCUUCUCUUUGAGUCAAAUUUUGAACUUGUUAGGUUGUCUUUGUCUUUCGCCUUUUCUAUUUCUUAUUGCGGCUGAAGGUUUGGUAGGCGUGUCAAGGAUGGCAGAUGAGAAAGGUUUGAUUGAUAGUCUAGAAAUUGGGGACAGGAAAGUGAAGGUUAAUAUGCUACAGUACACAAACGAUACUAUGUUCUUUUGUGAAGUCAAUUCUAAGAGUGUGUUUAACAUUAAGGUGGCGUUAAACUGUUUUGAAUUGUGCUCUGGCCUUAAGGUGAACUUCUUGAAAAAUAGGAUUGGCGGGUUGGGAAUUGAUCAGAUUACACUGCAGCGGUUUGCGACUGUUCUUAAUUGUGAGAUGAUGACAACUCCUUUUAAAUAUUUGGAAUUGUUGGUUGGGGGAGUCACAAGAGAGAUGUUUUUUGGGGUGGUGUGAUUGAAAAAUUGAAGUCAAGGCUAAGUAGAUGGAAAGGUAGGCUUCUCUCCCUAGCCGAGAAAAUUUGCCUUAUUAAGUUUGUGCUUUUGUCAAUUCCACUAUUUUAUAUGUCUUUAUUUAAAUUGUCUGUUGUAAUUUUAAAAGAGAUUGUGAGAAUCCAGAGGCAUUUUUUAUAGGGGUGGGGGUCGGAAGGGAGGAAGAUCGUUUGGGCUUCUUGAAAGAAAGUUUGUGAGUCUCGAGAGGCUGGCGGUUGGGUAUCAUUGAUUUGAAAGAUUUCAAUUUUGCUCUCUUAUGAAAAUGGAUUUGGCGUCUUGGGACGGACAAGAGUGGCUUGUGGAAGGAUAUUCUUGAGUCCAAAUAUGGAGGUUGGAGAAGUCUGAGAGAUCAAAGGAAUAAUGUUAAGGAAUCUCUUUGGUGGAUAGACUUGAAGGAGGUUUGGGCGUUGGAGAGUUGGGGAAGGAGUUUUGAAAAUCGUUUCCAGUGGAAGAUUGGUAACAUGAAGAAAAUCAGUUUUUGGGAUGAUGAUUGGGCGGGUUGUGGUGUUUUGAAGAGGGUUUUUACGAGGCUGAGUUCUUUGAGUAUGCAUUCCGAGUCUAAGUUAGUCGAGUCUGGGGUUUGGGUUGAUGGUAUUUGGGAGUGGAAUUUAGCUUGGAGAAGGAACCUGUUUAAGUGGGAAAGGGUUUCAGAGAGUCAACUCCUUUUGAAGAUCCAAGGUUUGAGGAUGGAGUGAGAUUUGGAUGAUGGUUGGGUCUGGAAGGAUAGCAAGUUGUCUUCUUACUUGGUUAAUUCUGCUUAUGCUUUCCUAAGGGGUGAGUUCGAAGGGGGAACAAUUCCAUGUAUGUCAAGUUUUGGAGGACUAAAGCUUUGUCAUCCGCCCAUUUCACUGCUUGGAAGGUGUUAGAAAAUAAACUAACCACCAAGAAUAAUUUGGUGAGGAGGGGAGUAAUGACCGAGAGCAAUAUGUGUGUUUUGUGCGGGUUGGAAGAGGAGUCUUGCAGCCAUUUGUUCUUCGAGUGCAGAUUAACUUGACUUGUCUGAAGUUAGUGUUACGCUUGGUUAGGUUUGGCGUUCGUGGAUCAUUCUGAUUCGCGUGCUCAUUUUCAACAGUUUAGGUUGUGUAGUGCAUCUGAAUCCGUUAAUGCGGUGUGGGGGACAAUUUGGAUUGUUGUAGUAAGUGAUAUUUGGAGUCUCAGGAAUAAGAUAAUCUUUAAAGGAGGGGUGGUGGAUGCUUCAGAAGUAUUUGCUCUUAUUCAAUUAAAGGCUUCUUUGUGGUCGUCUCCAAGGUACCAUUAGCUUGUUUUUCUUACUCUGACUGGUGUCUUGAUCCUCUGGUUUGCAUGAACAUGAUUUAGUGUUGUUUUUGUGUGUUGGAUUUAUCUUAGAUGUUUGGUUGGAUGUUGGCUUAGUCCUCUGUUUUGUGCUCAGAGGAUGAGUAUAGUUAUGUAUAAGGGUUGGAUCACCCCUAAAGUGGUUCCUAUUUAUUGAAUCUUUAUUGUUGAUAAAAAGAAUGUUGUCUCUGUCUUUGCUUUGCAUGUGACUCUUUUAGCUUCAAGGUGAAUCUCUAUUAGUUCGGGGUCCUAGUGAUAUAGUUAAAUUUUUUAUUAGGACUCUAUGGUGCAAUUUAAUUACCUUUAAGCUUUUGGUAGAUUUCGAGCUCUUAGUGAGCAUCUGCUCAAGUUCAGGUAAGAGAAGCUAGCCUUAAUUUCCAAUAGAACACUAGGCUAGAAGAUCUGGAUGUGAGGGUGACGUGGUCACCAGUCUCAAACUUUCUUGUAGGAUUGUUUGUUUUAAGUAUAUUAGAAGUUGAUUGAGAUUUGAAUGUGAAAUUUUAUAUAUGGUAGAUGUUAUAAAAUUAUAUUUUUUUUUAUUUGAAUAAGUAAAUGAAUGUAUUUAAGUAGUUUGAUGAAUCACUUAAAGGAUAAUGUUGUUAAGUAUUGAUUGUUUGGUUUUGAUUUAGAGUAAUUGUUCAACUUUAACCAGGACUUUGUACUUUGGUUUAGUAUAUUUGAUAAAAUAAAAAUUUGAAUGAAAAUAUUAGGUACUCUCGGGUCUAUUUUCGCUAAAAUAAGAUGGGAUCUUGUUCAAAGCAAAAAUGGGAUAAUUUCUGAAGUACUUUCUGGUCCAUUUUCGCUAAAACUACAUGGAAUUUUGUUCAACUGAAAAUGGGGAAAGUCUAGAGUGUCGCUAGUCCAUUUUAGUUCAAACCAAUUUUUUUCGCUCAAGCCAAAAAAUUCUUGAUGCACGCGGGUAUAUUUUCGCUCGCACUAAAAUUUUUCGUUCAAACCAAAAAAAUCCUAGGUGUAGGUCUAUUUUUGCUCACACUAAAAAAUUUUCGCUCAAGCCAAAAAAAAUUGUAAAAAAAGAACUGAAUAUUUAAUAUUUGCUUUUAAAAGUUGGUUUAUUUCUUUCUGUAAUUUUUACUUAUACAUUAUGUAAACUUUUAUUUUAUGUAUAUUAAAUUGAAAAUUUAUUUAAUUAGAUAUUAUAUGAUUAUUGAAUGAUGUGUUUUGGAAAUUCUAAACUUUUGUAUGAUUUGAUUGUGUGAUUUUGGAUAUUGCGAGAUUCAGAAUAUGAAUUUUAAUCAAGACAUAGUAUUUUCAAGAAAAAAAUAGCGUGUAAAGAUUGUUUAGGAUGUGCAUUGACUAGAGAUUCUCUCUGAGUCUAAGUCAACGCACGAGUCUUUCGAAAGUAGAGUCAAGUGUGUAUGUGUUGUGAGUCCGUAAAAGUCUGACUUGUGAAAUAUUGUUACGAAGUGGACUUUAAGUCUAACUCAACCCCAUAAAACCGGCUCAUAGGAUUGAGGUUUGCACCCACUUAUAUACGAUGAAAGGCUCUAAUCUCUAGUCGAUGUGGAAUCUCCAAAAUAUAUAUAUAUAUAUAUAUAUAUUUAAUGUAAUAAUUAAAUUAUGUCCUUCUUAAUAAACGAAUUAGACCAGAGCUUUAGGUAUUGAAGCCAUAGGUCCUUAAACUUGGCCGUUGGCCUGAUCUAUUUCCAUUCCUAAAUGUCAAUGCUGGUUUAAGUUCAAAUAUGGUUGGUUUGGUUCAACCCAAAUCUUGAAUCUUGAUGAAGACUAAGGUUUUGAAGGGUUGUUUUGUUGUUAACAGCUGCUUAUGCUGAAUACUGUGCUCAAAUUCUCUAAUUCUCUGUGUCUGCAUCAAUUUUCUAAAAUGAAAAUAUAUAUCAUACAAAAUACUGAAACUUCAAUGUCAUCAACCUUGCCUGACCAAACUAACCACACCAAUGAAUAAGAAACUAUCUCCUUAAACACUUUACAUUAACAACAUAUGUGUAUGUUUUCAAACUCAUCUUAAGAUCGAAUUUUAAAAGGUUUGAUGAUGGAUCCCUCUUAUAGAAAGUAUAAUAAUGAUGAUGGAAAGAGAAAACAAUGAAUAAGUUUUUAAUUUUAGUGAGUUGUUGUUAUUGCUUAUCCCACAAUCUAAGUCCCCUUAUUUGGUUUAUUUGGAUAAGAUGGGACCAAGUGAUUAGGACUUUAUAUUAUUAAAAGUAAAGCUAGUGGGUAUUACUCUUUGGAGUCAUUCUUCAAUUUCAACUACAUAAUCAUUCUCAGUUAAUUAUUAUUAACUUCUCUUUGAUUCGUUUCAUACAACAAAACUACUACAUUAACUUUCAUCCUUAAUUAGACAAGAUGGACCCAUUUUUUUUAAAAAUAUUAAAAUAUACGUUUAACAGUUUAGCAUAAAUAAGAAAUAUUUCAAAAGAUAAACUUGUAUUCUAAGUAUUUUAUUUAGUUAUAUACUUAAAAUUUGAAUUAAAAGUUAAACUAAAACCAUUUUUAAUAAUAUACAUACUUAAAACUCAAUUUACAUCCACUUAUAUAUGUUAAGAUAAAUUUUAAAUGACUCUGAUAACAUAUUAAGAAGUGAACUUUAAACAUAACUCAAUCUUUUAAAAUCAACUCAUAAAAUAAAAUUUACACUUAUUUAUAUAUAAUAAAAUAUUUUAAUAUUUAAGAGAAUUGAAAUUUCCAACAAUAAUUAAAUCAUUGAAACCAAAAUUCAAUCCAAUAAAACUUGUAUUCUUAAAAAUGUAUUUUGGGAAAAUGAAAUGUAGAUUUUUCUGUAGACAAAAUCUUGCUAUAUGCAGGAAGCAAAGUCCAAACUUGGGAAAGUAGAUGAGCCUGCGAAACUUUGACUCUGUCAACAAGUACAAAAUCUUGCUAAAUUCAUUUUACUAUUUCCAAUGUUUCAUCUAUUAUAAAAUUGAAACUUGCAACAUUCCCAUUCCAUCACAUUCCACGCCUAAAAAUAGAUCACUGACGUUAUAUGACGUGAGACCCUACGUCAAUACGCACAGUAAAAUAAAUGUAUUCUAAUUAUCAUACAUAUCUAUCUUAAAGCAACUCCUUUAAAAGACUUAUUUGACCCCACAAUUCUCAAAAAUCAAAAGAUAAAUUAGAAGCAAGGAUAACAGAGUGGGAAUUUCCUCCAUAAUAGAACAUUUGAACUCAGUAUUAACAUUAAGACUAUAUAUAUUUAGAAUGAAAGAAACGUAGGGGUAAAGGAGAAGAAAUAUUAAUAUUGUGCUAAAUGCAUCAAAGUCUUGUUACUUUUUUAUGGAAGUCUUUCAUCACUUUUCCACUUGCUUCCCACUACCAAUUUCCAGAACCUCAGGUUUUCUUUUAGUAAAUUAUAAAUCAGAGUUCUGUUCAUAAACAGACUGCUCAAAGAAUCAAUGAAUCGUUUAAAUUACUCAUAAAAAUAUGUACUUUAUCAAAAUAAAUAUUAUCUAUAUUAUAACAAAAAAUAAAAUAAAAAAUUUAGAUAAAGUCUCCAAUGGUGUAUGUUAAACUUUGUUUAAUUUUUUAAAGUCUAUAAUUAAUCAUGGAGAUCAACAACGAAUGGCAGUAAACAUGACUAAAAUGAAAAAUACUUCUUAUUAAGUGAUUUUCUUAGCUUUUAUCUUUUAAUAGAGAAGAUCUUUUUCUUUUUGAAAUUAGAAUAAUUUGUAAUAUAAUUUAAACUAUCCUUAAAGAAACAUGGAGUGUAAUUUCCACUGCUUUUUUUUUAUUAAGAUUGUUGAAUUCCUCUUAACUGAAUUCCAUAUUUUGGUCCAAUCAUUGUGAGAUUCAAAGGUUUUUUCUUCACUCUUAAACAGUUAGUUAACAGUAUAUAUAGGUUCUCAAGUUGAGUCUUGUUAAUACUGGCAUUUGUCUUAUUUGUUGCGAUUCUACCAACCUGAACUCCUAAUCCACCAACUUUCUUAUUUAGAAAACUGUCAAACGCUGCUAUUGCUAUUUGGCUUGGCUAUAUCUCUAUGACACUAGUCAAAGACCAGUUCUAACCUCUCUUCUCUCUCUAAACACAAUUCUCAGAUUCGUACUCAUCUUUCUGUGUACAAAAUGGCAGGGUAGGAAGAGUGCUAUGAUUCUUGUGCUUCUUGGUUUCUAAUUUCGCAGGUACACUUCCUCCCUGUGGUGAUUCAUCUUAAUUUCCAUCCACAAAAUCUAGAUGAUAUGUUUCAAAUACUGUAACUUAUUGCUCCUUUUGAUGAAUGCUACUAUCUGUUGCAGUCCUAGUAAACUGAUUUCAAUCUGCAGCAGAUGAUACGUGUUAUAGUGUGAUGCAUGCAUGUGAUUGCAGCAGAUGAUUCCAAUCCUCAGUUCUUCCUCUAAGAAAGUUUUUAACUUUUCCUUGUAUAGGUCUCUGGUCCCAAAGGGUUUUUGUUAAGCCUUUUCUGUUACUGUCACUUGAUCUAUCUACUCGUAUAUUGGGCUACAAUUUCAAAUAAGAAUUGGCUUUUGGUUCGAAGUAUUGCUUUUGUCUUACAAAAUAUGCUGUGGAUUUUGAGGCCGGUGAUUCUCCCAUCUAAACACAAAUAAAGAUAUAGAUACUAUCAAAAGAGUUUUGUGCAAGAUUAUCAGUUUUAGCCAAACUUAUUUGAAGCCUUGUUUUACGAGUCUCUUGAUAAUAACAUCUUAGUUAGUAUUUGCAGUAGGAAUUUCUUAUCAAUAUGAUUUCUGGUUAGAUUUAUCUUAUAUGACUUUGGAAGAGCAAAUGUCAUAUCUCUACAAUUUGAAUGUCUAAAGAAUCAUCGAACAAUUUGGGGUUUUUUUUCUUUUUGUUUCCGGAGCAUUUGAUUUGAUUUCAAGAGUUUGUUUUUAUGUGGAUCGGAUCUAGAAUCUAGAAUCUGCAGAUAGAAAGAAGAUCAUAGUUUAAAUGAUAAAGCACACAAGAGGUUUUUAAUAUUUAUUUUACUUUUCCAAAUACAGAGCAGGCCACUAUGACAGGGAUAAUGGUCUUUGCUAUGCUAAGGUGGAAUUUUAAGCUGUCAACUCAUGUUUGACUGGAUCCAGUAACUAACUUUUAUUUUUAGAAGCAUAUUUGAAAUUCAUUCGCGUGGUUUGCCGAGUAGGAAAACAUUAAGUACUUGAACAAUUUCAACCAUGGUGGUUCAUCCGAGAUUCAAGUAGCACCAAAUCCUCUUUCCGUUGCCACACUGAAUAUGAUUAGUUCAAUUGCACAAGUUAUGCGAGAGAUAUUCUUAAUCUGGAACAUUAUUUUUCUCAGAUAAAAAACUUUUGUGAAUUUGAACAUGAUGGAUCAUCAAACCAACUGAUUUAGGAUGACUUUACUAUAUUUAUCUCUUGACUGAGGCAACAAAACUCAGUAGUGUAUCUAGUAUUUUUAUUUUUUUUUCAGUUCACAUGGAUUUAUAGUUCUACCUGAAAGUUCACCUAAUGUUUUUUUCUUCUUAUCCUUUUGUUUCUCUUAUCAGGGCAUAGUCAUCCUUUAAGGUUCAACAAGAUUUUAUCGCUGAGCAACUCUGCCUGCCGUACUGUUUCUCAAGGUGGGAAAGGUAAAAUAUAUAUAUUUAUAGGUUUUAUUUAUUACAGAUUUCAAAGAAUUUUACUGGCUAAUUAAUUAGUCAUGUUUUUUAUACAGCCUAAAAUUCUGCGUGAAUUGUAUAACAGGGGAAUUAUGUCAUUAGUUAGGUCUGUUGAUCUAGCUCCUACAUCGUAUAAAAAUGCCAAGCUCUUCUCACUAAAGGGAACUGAUGUUAGACCAGGUUUGUCCUCCCAAAUUUUUGGUCCUGAUAAGCAUAGGAGCAUGGACAUGGCAGAUUCUUACUCCAGCGAGAGUUAUGAGAAGUAUUUCCAUGACUGUCAAACAGAAGAACUGAUAGAACCAUCUAAUUCCAGCAUCUCUGGAAGCUCAAUUCCCCCUGAUGUAGCCUCUUCUUACCAGCUUACAGCCAGUUCAGAAGCUUCUGUGGUUGCCAAUAACCCAUUUGAUUGUUCUUUCAUGUCUACAAUGCAUCAUGAUGGUUAUCAGUCCAACUUUGGAUCAGAUUUGAUGGAUAAUGGAAGCCUCGAUUCCCGUAAAACUGACGGUCUAAUGAGUUUAAAACUACAAGCAUUGGAGAGGGCAUUGCUUGAUGAUAGUGAGGCUGAGGAGGAGGAGCUGGAAGAGGAAGACAUAUUUGAGGCUGUUCAAAGCAUGGAAAUUGAUCCAGACCUUGCUGAGUGGGCUGAUUCCAUGCAGAAUGUAGUCCUCCAUGACUCACCAAAGGAGUACUCUUCUUCAGAUUCCAGCAUCAGCAGCAUCAGCAGCACCAAAGAAAUAUCACUAACUUCUCAGACCCCCAAGCAGCUGCUUUAUGAAUGUGCUAUUGCACUUUCAGAAGGAAACGAAGUGGAAGGAUCAUCCAUGAUAAACAAUCUCAGGCAGAUGGUCUCAAUUCAAGGAGAGCCUUCUCAAAGAAUUGCAGCCUAUAUGGUUGAGGGACUUGCAGCUCGCCUAGCCGAAUCCGGCAAAAGUAUUUACAAAGCUCUGAGAUGCAAGGAACCUCCUUCUUCAGACCGUCUAGCAGCUAUGCAGAUACUGUUUGAGGUUUGCCCAUGUUUCAAAUUUGGAUUUAUUGCUGCUAACAAUGCAAUUACAGAAGCAGUGAAAGAUGACAUGAACAUUCAUAUCAUAGACUUUGACAUCAAUCAAGGAAGCCAGUACAUUAAUCUAAUCCAAACACUUGCUUCAAGGUCAAGUAAGCCACCCCAUGUUAGAUUGACUGGUGUUGAUGAUCCUGAGUCCGUGCAGCGAUCUAUUGGAGGCCUAAAGAACAUAGGACAACGACUAGAAAAACUAGCAGAGGCACUUGGUUUACCAUUUGAGUUCCGAGCAGUGGCAUCAAGGACUUCCAUUGUCACCCCAUCAAUGCUCAACUGUAGUCCUGGGGAAGCACUUGUGGUGAACUUUGCAUUCCAGCUUCAUCAUAUGCCUGAUGAGAGUGUUUCUACAGUAAACGAACGGGACCAACUUCUUCGGUUGGUGAAGAGCUUGAACCCAAAGCUUGUGACAGUUGUGGAGCAAGAUGUGAACACAAACACCACCCCCUUCUUGCCUAGAUUUGUUGAAUCCUACAAUUACUACUCUGCUGUGUUUGAGUCACUUGAUGUUACUCUUCCUAGAGAAAGCCAGGAUAGGAUGAAUGUUGAAAGGCAAUGCUUGGCCAGGGACAUUGUCAAUGUUGUUGCAUGUGAGGGCGAGGAUAGGAUAGAACGGUAUGAAGUGGCAGGAAAAUGGAGAGCAAGGAUGACAAUGGCUGGCUUCACUUCAUCUCCAAUGAGCACAAAUGUGACUGAUGAAAUCCGAAAACUCAUUAAGGUGAUGUAUUGUGACAGGUACAAGAUAAAGGAGGAAAUGGGUGCACUUCACUUUGGGUGGGAAGACAAAAACUUGAUCGUUGCAUCGGCAUGGAAGUUACCAAGAUAAUGAAUUAUGUUAAUUAGUAGACACACUUAUUGUAGUACUGGUAAUGUAGUCUUUGCUUGCUUGUUUAGUGUGUAGAAUAAUCCUGAUAUAUCUAUUGUAGCGUUUGCUUGCUAUACUACUAACUUACAAUCUUAAUCUAAUAACCAAAUUUUCAUUUUAUCUAACAUGGGUGGAGUAAUGGCCAUAUUUAUGUUUAAGGUAAUAAAUAUUUUUUAAUUUGAAAAUUUUCAGAAAUAAAAUUAACUAAUAUAACAUAAUGUGUUUGUCUUUUAUUUAAUAUAAUAAAUAUUAUAUAGUUCUUUUAGUUAAAAAAGUAUUCUCUUUUUUUUUCCUCCUCAUAAUUCCUUUGAAAUAUGCACUCAGUUACUCCUUUUUAAUGCUAGUUGUUAGGGUGGAUAAUCAAACUAAACCAUUCUACUAAAUGAGCCCUAUUUUAAAUGAUUCAAGAGUUAUAACAUAGGCUUACAUUCAACAAUGCUUCAUAAUGGUACAAAUGAUAAAUAUUUAAGGUCUUGAAGAUUCCUCUCUUAAAAGUUAGUUUCAAGGGAAAAAAUCAUAUCAUUUAAAUGUUUCACCAAAUGUCGCCAUCCAUACUUAGAUCAUGAUUCUCGCAUAAACUAUAAUUCAUUUAGCCUUAGCAACUCUUUACUAAUACAAUAUCAAAGCACAAAUUUUUAAAAAAAAAUGUUAACUACCAAAAAUUUGGUAUAGUUAAAAUUUGAUAUUUUUUUUAGUUCAUAUUGAAUGACACAUUAAAUGUUUAAGAGAAAUCCUACUGAUUUCACUACAAAUAAAAUCAGUAUUAUCUACGAAUUUUUAUCCACGGAUUUUAAUUCGUAGGUAAAUUCAGCAUUACCUACACACAACAUUAUUUACUAAUAUUACCUACAAAUCUGAAUUCGUAAGUAAAUUCAGCAUUACCUACCCACUAUUACUCACGGAUCUUAUUACCUACGAACUUUUAUCCACAGAUCUCUAUUAACUACCAACUAUUAUCAUAAUAAUUAUCUACAUAAUAUUAAAAAUAUUAUUAUAAUAUAAUUAAUUAUAAAAUCAUAAAUAAUAAUAAUAAUAAAUAAUAAUCAUAACUAAUAAGUAUAACAUAUUUUUAAUAUUAUAAAAUUAAUAAUAUUAAUAUAAUAAUAUAAUUAGUAUUAUAUUAAUAAUAUGAAUAAUAAUAAUAAUAAUAAUAAAAUUAGUAAUAUUAAUAGUAUUAAUGAUAUAAUAAAAUUAAUAAUAUUAGUAAUAAUAACAUUAAUAAUAUAAAUACUAUUAAUAAAAAUAUUAAUAAAAUUAAUAUUAUUUAUAAUAUUAAUAUUACUUAUAAUAUUAAUAUUAUUAAUAAUAUUAACACUAUUUUUAAUAUUUAAUAAUAUUAAUUAUAUUUAAUAAUAUUUAAGAAUAUUAAUGAUAUUCAAUAAUAUUAAUAAUAUUUAAUAAUGUUAAUAAUUUUUAAUAAUGUUAAUAAUUUUUAUAUUAUUAACUAUAUUAAUAUUAUUAAUCUUACUAAUAAAUAUAAUAAUAAUCAUAAUGUGACAACAAAAUUUGACUGGUGUAAUGUUUAAAACUUCUUUGGACAUUUCUCAAGAAACUUGGCUUUGAGCAUAGUGUAAUCAAUAAUUCCGAUUUACCCAUGUAUUUUUGCUAUUUUACCUACAAAAUUCUUCCGUAAAUAAUUUGGAUUAUAAGUAUAUUCUUACAUUAAUGUAUUUAAUUCACUUACAUUAAUGUAUUUAAUUCAUGGUAUCUUGCGAAUUUUUUAAAUAAAUUUUAAAUCUUUAAAUUGAGAAACUAAAAAUAGCUAGUAAUAUUCUUAUGUUCAAGAAACUUUUUCCAAAACCUAAAUUUAGAUAUAGCUUAUAAAGAAAUAACAUAUUUUAAAUUCUGAAUUGAAAUAGGAAAACAUCUUAUAAAAUUGUUUAAUUUAUUCUUUGAACGUCUAAUGAAAUAAAUAUCUACAUUCGUAUAUAAAUGGACGCUACAAUACUCAUAUUAGUAAAUUGAAGAAAAAUUAUACAUUUUAAUUCUUUAACUUGAAGUGACAAGAUGAUAUAAAAAAAAUAGUAAUUUGCAUGAAUAAAUAAAUCCAACAAUGCAUGUUAAUAGGUUGGUACUAGACCAAUUUAAUGGAUAUUUUUAACACUUGGUUUGGUUAACUAUUUUGCAACAUCACCAAAAAAAUGUAUCUUCCUUUCGCCUCUUAUAAUACAAAUAAACAAAACCGUGACUGAUGAAGUUAUCAUCUUGGUCCACCAUGGACAACAACUUGUGAAAAAACCUUGCACAUUGGUUGAAAAACAAGUUAACUCAUUGAAGAGUACCAAUUUGUCUGCCCAAAGAAGAGAGUUUUUCAAAAACAAAUGAGACAAAGUUCCUUUCUUUCUUAAGAUUCAAGAGCGUCAAAUUUAUUACAAGUUAUUUGAUACGAUAGGAGGUUUUUAUUCACAUGUUAUGUGGAUUAAUUAUCAGCAUUUUGUUGCCUUGUUCAGUGGUUUGGUCACAAUCAUGUGAAGAAUUUGAAACAGAUGAACAUUUUCCACAUAUCAGAUAUUUGCUUUUUGUACCCAUCAAAACAGAUAUUUUCAUUUAUUUUAUUCUUUGUUAAUAUCUAUAUACAUGUUAAAGUUUUUCUUCCUAUACUUAAAAACUACAUUUUAGAGUUUUUUUUAACAUUUCAUGUCUCCAAUUGUGUAACAGUUUCAUAUUAUCAGAAAACUAACAAGAAUUAAAAGAUAUAAAAGGAGAUAUUCUUAUGAUAAUUAAAACAUAAAAACUUUAAAUAUAAAAAACUAAAAGGUUGACACAAAUACAAGGACAUAUAAUCAAUUAAAUCUCAAAAUAUAUCUUACUGGAUUGUCUUUAAUUAUUAAUAAACUUCACUUUGAUUUUAUAAAAAUUUAAUUACACAUUAUUUUUAUUUUAUUUUUUAAAACUAAACCAUUAUCGUCUAUCAUUACUCUGGUGUCAAUUGCUAAUAAUUUUUUUUGACAUGUUAUCAAUAACAACAUUAUUAAUUACUUAUUUGUAUAAAAUAUUAACAAAAAUAUUUAAUAAUGUGAUUUAACACCUAUUACGUCUUAAUUUUUUCAUGAUAAUAAUAACUAAUAAUGAUAUUAUUAAAUAUGAGAUGGUUAAUUAGUGAUGGAAAAAAAAAUGUUUACAAUUUCUUUUAUCCCAGAACCACCAUUAGAGAGGUUUGAAUAAAGUGUAGUUAACAAUAGACUUUGUAUAUGUGCUGAUAGAAGAAGGAAUUAUCAAAAGACGGUAUAUGAUGUGGCUUGAUAAGGUUGCUUAUUAAUAAUGAGAGUGGAAAAUAGUGGAUUGGUUGAUUCCUAUCCUAACUAGUUCUGACCUUGUAUUCUUGCACUUCAUUUCACAACCACAUAAUUUCAUGGAGGUCAUGUCACAUCAAUUCUAAAUUACUAAUUUACUCAAACAAUAUUCCUAAAAAUAUGUCACUGGUUUUCAAUUUUAUUUGCAUUUGUGAGAGCAAAUAACUUAUCAGUUCCUGUAUUUUUGAUGAAAAAAACAUAAUAAAGUUGGUGGGAUUUAACAGGCUGACAAAUCUUAGAAUAUUAGCAAAAACAAAAUAAGAAUUAGAAAACCCUAGUAUAUUAUAAGAUUAUGUACAUCUUCAAGAGUAAAAGAAAAGGUAUUAAAUAUUUUUUAUUCUGGUUUUGGGUACUUUGAUGGUGAUGCAGUCCUCUUGUAAUAAGUUUUUGGAGAAAUUGUAGGUUUUAGUGGGAUAAAAAAGUUUAUUGACAACAAAAUGAGAUCCACAUGAAUUUGAGCCUUCUUAGAACCUCACAAUCUUGUAAUAAUAUCCACAUAGGGAUAUAGAUAGUACAUAAAGAAACAAAAGAAUUGAAAAGAUUAUCCAGGAGUGUAUUUUGUAACAAAGUUUAGAGCAAAGCGGGUAGGAAGCUAGCAUGGCCCUGGAGAAGUGUUUAACAGUAGGCACAGCCACACCCCAAUGCCUUUCUCCGUGCUUUCCAACUUCAAGGGAAAAGCUUGUUUUCCCAACCCACAGAGGUUUCAAGAAAUCCAUGCCGAACGCAAAACUCUCAUACCAAUCUCUCUAUUCAACCUACCGAAAAUCCCGUUUUGUUUGCAAUGCUCGUGAAGCAGUAAAUGAAGGUAAGUGAUUAUCCCAUAUGCAAGCUUCUAACCUUUCUGCACUGAGUAAACCAUCUUCUGACAUGCUUUUCCAUUUUAAUUCGUAUUAGGAAUUUCAGAAUGUGUUAUAUUGGAUAGUCUAGUUUCCCGAAGUACCUUAGGAGAGAUGUUUUAACCACUAGUACAAAGUGCAAAUUCUCCUACUUGUAAAAAAAUAUUAAAUGAAAAAGGAAAUAUAUUCAUUUUUUAAAUAUUUAAAGCGCAUUCAAUAUUUUAUAAGAAAGUAGUACAGGAAUUAGAAUUAUUCUUUUAAAUAUUUAUUGCAGAUUACAGUUUACUAGGAAUUAUGAAAUUUUGUAGGUCUCAUUAUCAUUUAAUGGAUCUCACUUACUAUUCUAUAAUUUCUAACUUUCAAUAAAUUUUAAUCGGAAACAAUGUUAAGACUUGUCUAUGUUUUAUGGUUGGGCUGCUUAGACUUGGCAUUAUUAAAACUAGUGUCAGGUUCCAGAACAAUAUAAACUUCAUAUACAUUCGGCAAUUUUAAUGUAUAGUGCAUGAUUUCUACCUGACAUUUGGGCCAUGUUUUUACUCGAAUGAAGUAGCAGAUUGAUUUUCCAAUUUCAUCUUGGAAUUUAUGUAUAAGUUUGCUUGUUUUCUUGUACCGAUUUCUAAACUAAUUUUCCAGGGCAUAAGAAAGCAUUAAAGUAGCAGCUCUAAUUUCUAAAUCAAACAAGCUUUAAUUAAGUGACUCCCUUUCUGUUUUGUUUUGUCUAAUGAAAUAAUACAUGUGCUCAAACUUGGCAGUAAAAGAGGUGACUGACGCAAACUGGAAUCAACUUGUGAUUGCCAAUGAAACCCCUGUUCUGGUAGAGUUUUGGGCACCAUGGUGUGGUCCAUGCAGGAUGAUAGCACCUGUUAUUGAAGAGUUAGCGAAGGAAUAUGGUGAAAAACUUGCAUGCUACAAGCUUAACACAGAUGACUCCCCAAACACAGCAACUCAGUACGGCAUCAGAAGCAUACCAACAGUUCUGUUCUUCAAGAAUGGAGAGAAAAAAGAAAGCAUAAUUGGUGCAGUUCCCAAGUCUACUCUGUCAGCGACAGUUGAAAAAUAUAUUGAUUUAUAAGCUGGGAGUGAUAAAAAAAAAGGGCAAGCAUUACAAUGCCAAAAAUGAAAGGAUUGGAAAGGGAGAAGUGAUAAUAUUGACAUUGCAAAUUUCAUUCUCUUUCAUUUUGUUUCCAUGCCCUAUAAGGCAAUAGAUAGUGUCUGUUUAAAAGUGUAAGAACCAUCUUCUCAUCAGUGGCAUGACACUUUGAAGUAAUACUUGUACCAUUUUUUCAAUUUGUAAAGGUUACAUUGGAUAAAGAGACCUCAUUCAAUGUUUGAAUGUUUGAUUACUUCCCCGUGCUUAGGAACACUUCAAAUUGAUCAUUGCUUGGGACAAUAAUUAACAAUUCCCCCAACAACCAGUUGCUUUUUUGAAUACCAAAACUUGCCACCUUCCUCAAGCGUGUCCUUAUGUCAAGGAUGAGUUUGUGAAAGCUAGUAAGAAAUAUUAAUAAAAAAACGUUACACUUGAAUUCACAAGAAAAAUCAGCCCCGUCAGCCACACAACCAGCCAACAAAUUUUCAUUUCUUAUAUAUAAAAUCAUAUAGUGGCACAGUGGCCUACGCCCUAUCACUACCCAACCCAAAUACUCUGCCAUCAUCGGGGGCCGAUGGCAAUACCAUUGCUCAUGUUGCAUGAGCAGCUUCUAAGAACCACACCAUCCAUACCAUCUACAAAGGCUCUCAAGGAGAAGGUUUCCAAUCAAAUUGAAGAUUACUAAAACCAUUUACUGCCCCUAGCCCGCUAAGUAGUUGGUUUGACAAAUCUUGUUGAUGAUUCAUAGCUUGAUCUCGAGCAAGAGAUGCCAUUCCUCCCCUUCCAUUCAUGAUUGAAUUAUUCACCACAGCAGCUCUCAUUCCAUUAGGCAUAGAGGAUUGACCAAGACCCAUUGUGCCAUAAUUACCAACCCCAACGCCUGAAUUACUGUUCAUUGACCCGUUACCCAUCAAGCCAUUGCCACCAUUGAGCCCUGUAUUGGCACUCACUGGCAGAAUACCAUUUACAGUUUUCACAUCAUUUCCAAGAGAACCAACACCAAUCAUUCCACCUGCACCGUUAAUCUGAGAGGACAUCAUCAUUUCAUGUAUGAUUUUCUGGACUGAGCUUUGAGUAUCACUAGGGUCAGGAUCACCUGAUAUAGAUGGCUGCUGCUGUUGCAUGGAAAUAUUAGCUGCUGGGUUAGUUGCGCUCAUGUGAUUGGCAGAUGUUAAAGUAGGGUGAGAUGUUUGUGGGGGGUUGUUAGAAGAGGGCGUCGGUGAUUGAAAAGGGGAUGAAUUUGGCUGGGCCUGUGGCACCGUAUUGGAAGAACCUGGGGAUGGAAUCUGAACAGAACUACCUCCAUAUGGACUACUUGCAUUGUUCAUUGAAUUUUGCUGUCUAGAAUUCAUUGAAUUCUGGUGGAGAAGUCCAACAAUAGUACUUGUGGUGGUUGAUGUGGAUGCCGAGUUGACAUUGUUAUUUACACUGACCAUACCAUUGCUAGAAGCAAUUUGCAUGGCAGCAGCUUGUACCGAGUUUUGAUCACCAUUUGAGUUAUGGGCCACCAUUUGUUGCUGUUGCUGCUGCUGUAAUUGUUCUUCAUGCUGUUGUGCUUGACCACGAGGUCCAGAUGAACCAUUUGUCCUCCGAGGGAACUUUGCCAAGCUAUCUGAGAGAUGGAAAAAUAAUAGAAAGAAUAGAAAUUUCAUCAUACCUAUUAUCAUGAUCAAACAGCUGGAAAUAAUUAUUAAGAAAAAAAAAAUAUUCACAAGACUUUUAGAAAACAAGAUACAAGUUAUCUCGAAGACCUAAACUUUCGUCUAAUUAAGUGAGGAAAAAAUUAGAGAAUAACAGAAAGAAUUAUAACUCAUUUCCCUGAUUAGGUGCAGGGAUCAAAGAUAGAUGUGACUGCUGAGUUGGUUGCAUAUAAUCCAUGUCGUGUUAAACAAAAACGGUUCCAUGCUUGGGGCAAAAAAGCACAAAGAAAAAGUCUUGCUCCUCAAGAAGUUCAGUCAACUUUCACCAGUAUCAUGACCUCAAACCUACCCUAUUUACUGUUUGAAAAUAUUAAGUGAGUGAUUUAUUACAUAUCUGUGUCCCCCCAAAAUAGACAUGAGGAUAUUUUAAUGUUAGGAAGUCAAAGACAUUAAUACCAAGAUACAGAAACAGGAUUCAAGUACAAAGUAAAACAGCUGACAAAGGAAAAAGUCUUUCCUCCCAAAUAAUAGUCUCGAAUCUCAAGUUGAAAUAGCCUAAUAGUAAACUCCAACAAAUAAACCUUUAGGGGAUGAACUCCAAUUGUCCACUCUUGAUUCCCUUCAACAUCUAUUUAUCAUUAUUAUCGUACCAACUACAUCUCCAAGCCAAAUUCCAAAGCAAAAUACCAAGAGGGAUUGCAAUUUCUCUAUAUGCAUAUUGCUUGAUAGUUAAGUAACCUAGGCUAUUUCUUCCUCUCCUGACCAUAAAGGUAAAUUCCAUGCGGGCUCAAGAAGACUUUAUUCCAUCUCACAUACCUCCAAACCAAACACUUAAGCAUACAUCAAUCUUCCAUAAAAGUGUCCUCCACUAUCCCUAAAAUCCAGAGACGGACCCUUAACAUUUAACAACUGUUGUUAGUAGGCUUUUCAAGUACAACUACACAUUUACAACUUGAAUCUCUAGGACCAACUCUUAACCAGAUCAUGAACAAUCAAUCCUCUAUCUUUGUAUCUUUAACAACCUUUUUUGUCAUAAGGAAACUUCGUCUGGAAUUGAUUCCAUCACCAUGCAUAGCUUAGAAAGGUUGGAUGCAAGCUCCUCAAAUAUCAACCAAGUAGGACUAUGUUGAGACAAAAACUGAUAUCCAGAAAACAACUCUAAGCUGUAAUGUAUAAAGGUCAAGUAGGAAACUAAACAUGUCACAAAGAACGCAAUUUCUACACAAUGCAAUUUUUAAAUUGGAAAAUAGAAAUGGUAAAACCAAAAUUACAAAAGUAUAAGGAACAGAUUUUUCCUUUUAAUAAAGUAUUAUUUACAGACACAUUCAUGUGCAGACUUAAAAAUGAGAAAUAAACAAGUAAAUUAUUGACUUACCCAUAGGUCCAGUCCGAGUUUCCCUGCUGUAAUCUAUCAAGUCUUUCAUACUAUUUACAACUUCUGAUAUCUGCAGUAUAAACAAGAAACAAUAAACUUAAGUUUGUUGUGCUCACUCUGUUUGAAUAGAGUUCAUUGGAGAUUAUUCUCCAAAUGAAACUCAAUUUUUCUGAAUUUAGCCCUUGAUAAUCACUCCUCCAGAAGUCUGUUUUUCUAUAAAAAUAUAAAUGCACCAUCAAACAUGAGCCAGUGAUUACUGGGCCCCAACUCCUCUCAGGAGAUCUUAUUAAAACAUGAACAGAAACCAGCAUAAAUGCUAUAUUUGCUGUCAAAUUGAGAGAAACAAAAAUAAGAAAGGCUUCCCAGUUAAAAUAACCAAGGCAAACGGGGUGUUCUGAUCACAAAUUCAACAGUCAGGGAUAGGUAACACAAAAAGACAUGGUAGUUCCGGAAAAAGAAACCAAGUGCAAUUUGAAGCAUUAAAAGGAAAUAAAUACAUAAUUUCCCACAAUAAAAUAUAUAUUAAGAUUAAACACUAAAAAUAUAUGGGGUAAGCAAUGUCUUAAGAAUAGAACACUACCUGUAGGCAGCGCACAUAUCUCUUUGUGUAUCCUAAAUCAUUAACCAAUGGUACUUCUAAGGCUUUAGCCAACUGACGGGCCGAUGCAACAAACCUGGAAAAGAAGCGUGUAAAAAUAUUAAAAGAAAAAACACAGACUUUCAUAAAAAGCAAAACCUAAUUAAGACAAAAAGAAGUCAAGUAAAAGGACUAGUGCAAUCUAAAUUAUAGACAGUAGACAAAACAGAAGAAAGUAGAGUAUAUAAGAAUUGGAAAUGAAUGUAUAAAGCAUGAAACACGUCCCAGAGUGUUGUAACAGUGAGACUCACACGAAAAGGCACCAAUAUUUGUCAGGAAAAAGAUUGUCAAUGAGAAUGAAACAAAAAAGAAAUAUACAAAUCUAUACAUUUGAAAUAGAUCCGCCUAACACGCAAAAAAAAUCCAUUUACGUUUUAAUUGAGACAAUAAAAAAUAUAUUAGUGCAAUAACUUGUUCACACUAAACAAAAAAAUUGUUGUAAAAAAUACAUUGAAAAUUAAGGAAAUUUUUGUAAUACUCAAACUUCAAGAGGGGAGCUAAAAUCCCAACAAAACAAAAGGGUUUUACACAGAAAACAUUAAAAGUAGAAUGGCACUUGAACAUUAAAAUACUACCUGACUAUGCUAAAAAGAUUACAAACAUUACUCAACACAGCAAAUGUUACUAAUUGCAAUCACCAGAUAAAAGCAAAAGUUACAAGAACAUAGUCUAGCCACAUGCCUAAAUCCAAAAAUAAAUACAAAACACAUCGCUCAUUCCACUGUUGAGGUUAAAGUAAAUGGUGAACUGAGAUCUGAGAACAGUGAAGGCAGCAGAAGUGCAGACAGCAAUGUUAUCAAGAUCAGGAGGAGGGUUACAAGAAUGUAAAAUGUAGGAUCCUAACAAGGAUCAUAAGAUCCUACCAAAAUUAUAUAAAUAUAUUUCAAUACACAAGUAUGAUAAUGAUAGUAUAAUUGGAUAAUACAUAUAACAAAAUCCCUGAAAUUCAGUUAAAAGUUUAAAUAUCUAUUUUACAAGUAUUGUAUAAUUUUAUAAAUAUUGUAAAGUAUUAACAAUAUCUCAGUCUAUUCUAAAUAAUAAUUAUGAAAAAAAACAGAGAACAAAUAUAUCAUAAAACCCAAAGAAUAUAAGAAAAUAUCUUCAAAUAAAGGCAAAAAUGAACCCAACUCAUGAGUUUUCAAGGGAAAAUAAAAAGGGAAAGAAGACAGCCAAAUUGUAGAAUGAAAAAUAAGUGUUUAGAGUACAGAUGCAAUGGUUUGCCAAGAACAGAAUACAAAAGGAAAAAUACAGCAAAUCGCUCUUAUCAACAAAAAUCCAAGCACUCAGUCACAGUCCCAGCAAGUCAGAGAGAGUGAGAGAGCCAAGUACAAGAGCCGGAUACUGAACGCAGAUCAUAGACACAGGGGUCGAGUGAAGACUGAGAGAGGCCAAGAGACAGAAUCGAUUGAGGGGAAGAAUACAAUUUGUCCAGGUCUGAAAAUGGGGGAGAAGCAGAAACUAUCAAUUUAGGACAACAAAAAAAACUAUUAAAACAAAUUUGGGUAAAACCAGGUCACGCAACCCAACCCAAAAAGCAAAGCUGGCAAUACCAGAAAAAGAACCAAUUACACCAACUCAUUCCGAUCCUACUAGGAUGUUGUUACAUCCUACCACUUCAUGAUCUUACUCAAAAUGCAGCUUGUUAACAGGAAGCAAGAUUGCAAAAUGAAGCAAAAUCACCAUUUUAAUUGCAAUCCUGAUAACACUGCCUCACAAACAAAGAAGAAGCUGACAGAGAAGGUCAUCAAUGAGUCUCCAACUGAGAUUGUAAAUGAUAGUUAUUUUCUUACGUUGAAUCUGAAACUAAAAAAAAAUGUUUUUUAUGACAAGAACACAGUUCUUAUGUAAGAACUGUUCUUACAUAAGGAGUCCAACUCAACGAACGUGCAAUCUAAAAAGAACCAGUUCUUAUUUGUACAAACAGCAGAAGCAACUCCAGUUAGAGUUGUGCUAAUGUACAUAAGCAUGCUCAAACAUUCAUAUGAAUCCCUUUUCAAAAGGGUAAAGGAAGUAUGUCAUGCCCCCAUCCCAUGGUCUUGCAAUAAGAAAGGUACAAGAUAAUUAAAACAAAAUUAUCCAGUUUUAAAUUAAAAUUAAUAAAAGACACAAAAAUUAACAUAAAGGAUAAAUGGUAAAAUUAACUUACAUAUUGCAAUUAUUUUGUAAUUCUGGAACAGAUAUAUUUGGUGUUGCAUUUUGAGUAAAAGCCUGGUAUUUUUGAGCAACUGCUCCAAGCUGGCUAACCUGUACAUACAAUAAUAAUAAGAUAAGAAAAUACCAUAAUGUAUAAUAUAAUAUCUAAAUGCAUAGCAAAGCACUAUUCUGUCAAAAUCUCUACAGUACGAAACCAGCAUUACAAAAGGCAUUCCUAACAAAAUAAUAAUCAUAACAUUAGCAACAAGACUAGGAAUCCAUAGAUCCUAGCAAAGAUCUCAUCCAAUUUCAAUCUCAAAACUUAUUCCACACCUACAGUAAUAGAGAAAAAAUUAUCAAGACUAACAAAAACCAACAAAGAGUAAAUGGGCUCAUUAAUCAAUAUCAAUAUGCAAAGUAUGUUUGUCUAUUUAAAUAAACAGAUAAUAUAAUAGUUGUAAUUAAAGUCCAAUCAGAAUGCAAUUAAUGGCAACCUGUGGUAUUAACAAUCUCCUCGGUAUGAGCUCCUCAUGGCGCCGAGCACAAAAUUCCCAAGAACAUAUCUGCAAAUGAAAAUGCCAAUUAAUCUUUCUUUCAUAUAAAGAAAAUCAAUAAUGACAAUAAAAUAUAAUAUAAGCUGUCAAAUUAUUUUAAUAUUAAUAUUUUCAUAUAUAACCUUCAGGUCUGGAGAGAAAACUAUUCGAAGUUGACCAUCACGAACAACUCGAAGUUGCUCAAAAACGCUUUCUUGUAUUGCUUUUGCGUAAUCUAGAACUAUCUGACCAGAGGUAUUAUGAUAUUCACGAGGCAUGUCAACAUAAAGUAGUUCUUCCAAAGUACCACUUUCAUACUUUAUCUUGAAAAGCCGGGGAAGAACCUCAACAGUUGCUUCUGGGAAAAGAGAAUGACAGCUAAGAAAGGCAAUAAGCACUACACACCCAUUCACAUAUAUUUCAAGAUGGCAACAUUUUCAAACAGAAAAGAACCAAAAAGUAGAUUGAACAGGGACAUAUACGAAGAAAUAACCCCAAAAACCAAAACUUACCAAAACCACGUCCAGGCUUGCGAUUACAUAUUUCGCAGUGCCAUACAUCCUGAAAAUAUUUAAAGAAUUCAUCUGUAAUGUUAAACUGACGAGUAGCAACAAUGAAACUGCUAUAUUUGGUUCCUUGAAUACCAGAAUUUAUCCAUUGCAACAUUCAAAGCAAUUUGUUACUGAAGUUUUAAAGCGACAUUAUAUGGAAAUAGUGACAACAAAAUCAUGAUGCCAAUCAGUAAUCAGUAAGUAUAGUACAACUGUACAAUCAAUAAUGCAAUGAGAUGAUUAAUUCAUAAACUUAGAUAGGGUUAUACAUGACUCAAAAUUAAUAAGACAAACAAUUUUGUUUAUAAGGUUUUCUCUUUGAAGAUACCUGAAGGGAAACUCCAGUUGUUUGUCUUCCACUUCCAUACAUAGAAACACACCAUUUCUUCUUGGCAUUAGGAGCAAAAUACUCAGCAACAAACUUUCUCCAGAACUCAAUAUUGUUAUCCUGCAUGAAAUCAAAUUGAAAAUAUCACUUAAAUGAGACUUCUUGUAUGCAGAAAUAGAGUAAGGUCAAUACAUAGGAUCAUAGUUGGUUCUUACUUCAGGUCUAUGUUGUUGCUGAUACAUGUAAUGUGUCAGCCGCCUAGCACACAUUCCGGGUUCAUAUGCUGGUUUCACAGUUCUCAUUAGCAUGCUCUGCUGUUGAAAUUGCUGCGGUAGCUGGGACCGUUGUUGAGGCAUUGCCUUCAAGAGUUGUUGCUGCUGAUGUUGUUGUUGUAACUGUAAAAGCCUGUGCUGGCGCAAAAGAUUGAUCUGGGCAACAGUAGCCUGAGAUGAUUGACUAGACAUGUGGAGGAAUUGCUGUUGCUGUUGUUGUUGUUGUUGCUGCUGUUGCUGCUGCAAAAAUAAUGGUUGAUCAGAAUGCUGAGGCUCCAUUUUAACAGGUCCCAGUGUUCUCAUUGUCUGCAUUUGUUGUGGCUCCAAUUUAACUGAAGAAAGGUUCCUUAAUGACUGCAAUGGCUGCUGCUGCUGUCCAAGUUGAUCGUUGCUUACCUGGGGCUCUAGCUUUACUGGUCCCAUACCACCUAUUCCUCCUCGAAUUGAUUGAAAAUGCUGCUGUGGAGGCAGCUGCUGCGUAUUUAGAGGGCCAGAGAACUGUUGCAUUGACUGCUGACUGUGUUGGAAAUUUUGAGGUUCAAGCUGUUGGGAAUGUUGUUGAUGUUGUUGAUCAGGCAACAUCUGGUUACUAGAAGGGUUUGAAAAUUGUUGACCCUGACCUUGACCAGAGGAAGCAGCAUUUACUAUAUUUGACUGUACAAACGUGGAAGAAGAAUUAUUGAAGCUCAUUCCAUUGCCAACAGUGGAGAGUGGAUCUGUUUCAGCUCCAGUAUCAAUUGCUCCCCGUUGGCUACUUCCUGGACCAGAUAGCCCAGGAUUCUGAGCUCCAUUUGGGAAAGAUUGAUUCAGUAUGGAAGUUACAUUGGACAUAUUUCCUAGAAUGUUCAUGUUGUUGAACUGAGUACGAGGAGACACAAGUGAAGGGAAGGAUGUCUGCGGCAUGGGACCCCCUUGAGCUCCUAGCAUUCCAGAAUUUGAUCUUAAAAGAGAUGGUGAAACAGACUGGGCACCACCAAUGGGAGUGGGUGGCCCCGGAGGCACCAUCUUUCGAUGUCACGGCCUUCAAGCAAUCACCUAAGCAUAACAACUAAGUUACUUAAAACACAAGUUCAACAAAGUACAAUUACACAACAGCUUGUGAGAAACUGGGCACGUUCACAACGCUCAACCCAGAAAGUACUACUUCAACCCCGAGUUCAAGGCAAAAGUCUUCACUGUGAUCCAACAGAAGUACGUGGUGUUGAGUUUUACCAAACACAAGCCAUACACCAAAGAAAACCAAAACCAAGAAACAUUCUUUGAUUCUGAACAUUACAAUUGCGCUACCUCCCUUAAAGGAGCAACCUCCAAACAGCUCUCGCAUGAAUCUCUGUACAACACAUGACUUCUCAGAUCCAACCCAUCCAUCAGUGCAUACAAUUAUACCCAAGAAAAACCAUUAACAAAAAAGAAAGCCCGAAAAUUUCAACAAACAAUACUAUCAAACUAAACACUAAAAGAAACUCUAAAAAUUAAAAGAAAAAAAUUAAUCAAAUUAAGACACAUCUCACACCAAAAUCAAUAAAACCCGAAGAAUUACCAUUUUUUAAAAGCCCAAGCUUAAUUGAAAAAGGGGAGAAAAGUGUAAAGCAUAAACUUCAUCAAAGUAGUGACAAAAAUAGCAGCCGAUCGAAGCUUAGCUUAAGCGAAUCAGCGAUCCAGAGCUACAAAUGACACAAAUGAGGCGCAGUAUUGAGAAAAAACAGGGACAGACACUUAGACGAAAGGGUGAGAACGUCGGAAGUGUAAAGUUAGCAGUUGCCAUGACUCACCGAGAGUUGAAAUUUGCGAAAUUGAAUAGUGGCAGAAUCCGGUGAGUGAUCAACAGAGUGAGAAUGAACGAAAAGCGUAGAACUUUGCAGUUGGGGUUUCCGAGUUCGCAUCCAGAAUAAGUGUCUAGGGUUUUCUCAGUGCAGAAGCAGCAGCAUCUUCUUUAAUCUCAGUGAAACGCACUGUUGGUGUUGUUGCUGCUGGUGCUUCAUGGCGUGUGUUCUAGAGAGAGAAAGUGUAGAGAGAGAAAGAGAGAAAGGGUCAUUGCGGACGUCAAGAUUGUAUUCGAUCAGAUUGAAUUUUCUUCAUUCUUUGGUCCUUCCUUUUCGCUUCUAUUCCCUUUCUUUCUCUCUCUUCCUCCUCUCUCACAAUGAAGUCAAAUGCCAUUCCACUCUCGUUAUGCACAUGCACCAUGUUGUUCAUCAUCAUCAUUCAUAAUGAUGUUAUCUCAUCAUCAAUAUCUUUGUGCAUCAGUAUCAUCAUCAUUAUCUCUACCACAUACUAAUAGCUAGUGCAAUACUAAAUUACGUAUAUAUCCUUUGUUUAUUCUUCUUUUUACGGAGGUAAUCCCUCUCCGUUUUAAUGUGUGGCAUGCUUUGUGACCAUUAGGUGGAUGAUUGCUUUCACCUAACCUAAAAUCUGUGAUUAGCUUAAUCAACUCUAUUUUUAUAAGAUAAGCAUUUUGUUACAUUAAUAUUUUUAUUUAGGUCAGAACAAAUAUUUCUGUAUAACUAUAAUUUAUAAUGAAUAAAUCUUUAUAUUACAAUAAAAAAAGUUAUAUUAAAUAUUUUUUAAGUAUAAGUUAUAUUUCAGUAUAGGAUAAAUAAUUUAUAUUAUAAUAUAAGAUUAUAUUUAGGAUAUUAUUAAGAGAAGGAAUUUUUUAGUUUUUCAAAAAUAUAAAAUUGGAAAAGAACAUUUCUUAUAUUUGAUUUACCUUUUAAAAAAUAUAACUUUCAGAAAAUAUUUUUUUAUGAGAAUGAUUAAAUGUUCUCAUAAAAGCAUUCCUAUAUAGAUUAGAAUAGAAAUUAAGUUAAAAAUUAUCAUAUUGCUUUAAUUAAAUUAUUCAAUGCAGUAACAUAUUAAAAAAAAUUAAAAAUAGUACUCCUUAGUUUGUAAAAAGUUAUAUAAAUAUUUUUUAAAAAUAUUUUUUAUCAAUCAAAUAUCCUUGGAAUAAUAAUUUCUAGGAUUGUAUUGAUUGUGAUCAUGAUUUUCGAAAAUAAACACCUCUUAAUUAUUGAUCACAUUAUAAAGAAUAUUUGAAGUUCAAUUUAAAAUAAAUAUAUAUAUAUAUAUAUUAAAAUAUUUAAACUGUUCAGAAAAUAAGUUUUUUUUAAGAAUUUCUUGAUCAAAUUAAACUUGACAUUAAAAUUAAAUUUGAUUAAUAUAUAAAUCAAUAAAUAUCUAAUACAUAAAAUUAAGAAAAGGCAUGUUACCAAAUAAAAGCAAUAAUAAUAAUAACUCCUAAAACUGAUCUCCUUUAUAAAAAAAAACCUUGUAAACCGUUUUGUUAAAGAAUAAUUCUUAAAAUAAAAACUUCCAUUUUAUAUGAUAAUCAAAACUUAUAAUAUAAAACGUAAUUAUAACUAAUAAAUAUUUUUGUAUUAAAUAAAAUGUAUUACAAUUAAAAUUCUAAAUAAAUAUAUUAAAUAUUCUAUAUUAGUUUUAUAAUAAAUAAUUAAAAUUUUAGCAUAGUUAUUUUAAAAUUUAAGCAAUCAAAAUAUUCAGAAAAAUCAAUAUAAAUUAAAACAACUGUUUGUGAGUGUAUUAGUUAUCAUUCUGUAUAAUGACAGUAUUUUUAAUUGUUUUUUUACACGUUUUAUCUAUUUCGAUCUACCAUUUACAACAUCUUUUAUUUCUAACUUGAAUUUUGAUGCUCUUACAAUAAAUAAUUAAUGAUAAAAGUAAUAUCGUAUUGUGAUAUGAAUUAUUUAUUAUCAAAUUUAACAAUAUUAUAAUUAAUAUAUUUUAAAAUAUCUAUUUAUUAUAAACUUGGUUAGAUAGAAUAACUUAAUAUUCAUUUCGUACAAGAAGCAACUAAGAUACUAGUAUACAUAACACUAAAAGUAUAAUAGUAUGACUUAGAGAGAUAUCUUCAUUAUUUUUGUAAAAGAAAUAGGUAAAAUUAUAUCCAAAUGAGAGAAUUAAUGUUGUUUAAAGAAAUUCUAAUUGCGAGAAUAAAGAUAAUGAAUAUAUACAUAGGGGUUUCUGUUCUUGGGUAAAUUUAUUUGGUCUUCAUAUAUUCCGCCUUCCAAAACUUUUGUUCUUUGGCUUCCUACAUAUUAACAUAUUCAAAAUAAAGAUCUACAUAUUUGUUUUAUUUGUACGCUUUGUGAAAAACACGAUGAAUCUAUUCAACAUUUAUUUUUUGAAUGUGCUAACGUUUUGCGUAUUUGGAGUUGGGUUCAACACAUUUUUCCUACUUAUGAUUUCUCUAAUAAGGAUUAUCUUCUUUCUUUUAUUAAGAGUGAUGGUAUUCCGUUGGUUAAAUUGGUUAAACUAGCUGUGAUAACUUUUUCUAUUUGGAUGAUAUGGCGUAUGAGGAAUUAUGCUCAUUUUCAUGAUAAGAUUGAGGUUUCUAGGGCUAUUUUGGUUAUUAAAGAUUUAACUUGUCUAGUGGGUAGUUCGUCUAAAGCUUCAAUGAAGAAUGAUAUGUUCGAUUUCAAUGUGCUCAAGUUUUUUGGUAUUAACACUCGUACUGGUAAAGUUCUACGUCCUCUUCUUGUUAGAUGGGAGUUUCCUUCACCACAAUGGGUUAAAAUUAACAUUGAUGGGGCUGCUAGGGGUUAUCCAGGUCUUGCCGCUUGUGGAAGUAUUUUUCGUGCGAGUAUGGGGAAGUUUAUUGAAGCUUGUUGGGUAUGAAGCCAAGACUAAUUGGGUUGGGCUGACUAGACACAUGUUUAGUGAGUGGGCUUAAUUAUUAUGUCCCUUUAUUAUCUCUAUUUAUCUCUAUUUAAAGAGAUCAUUGUACUUGUAAUUAGUGUGCAACAGGAUAUAAUGUAAACCUAAUAGUUGCCCGGGUGGAUGUAGGUUGCAGUUGGCGACCGAACCACGUUAAAUCUUGUGUCGUUUAUUUUUCUGUAGUUGAUUCGUGAUUAUGUGUGUUGUUUUCGUGUGCGUUUUUCCCAUCAAGUGGUAUCAAGAGCCUUGGUUCGUUUACACACUAGAGAUCCAAUCAGCAGAAAUUAAUCGACGAGAUGUGAAAAUUGCGGUUGUAGUAGCGUCCCAGAGUUAGGGUUUCGCAGAGGCGGGAACAAUGUCCCAAAGUUAGGGUUUCGCAGAGGCGGCAACAACAUCUCAAAGCUAGGGUUUUGCAGGGGUUGCAGCAGCGUCCUAAGGCUUAGGGUUUCCCAUAUCUGCUUCACAACAGCGGUGACCAGCGACGGUGGUGGUGCAGAGCGCCAGGGCAGUGGGGACUACGACCAGGUCUGUUGGUGAGUGAUUUUGGGUGGUGCAAUUUUUGUGUUCUUGAUUUAAAAAAAAAAGAUUGCCAAGAUCUGAAAUUAGUUGUACCGAGUAUCUCGUCUAGUCAUUUGAGAUGGCAGAAGAAGGGAAGUUUCAAAUUGAAAAUUCGAUGGUACAAAUUUCAGUUGGUGGAAAGUGCAAAUUGAGGAUUUGCGAGUUCAGUUACUGAGCACAUCAAUAUUCGAUCUUAUCCAGACUUACGUCAGUGGGCAUUAAGUUCGAUGAUGAAGUUCAAGCUUUACUAUUGCUAUUGUCUUUGCCUGACAGUUGGUCCGGAACGGUUACAGUAGUUACCAGUUCAGCGGGAUCUGAUUGAUUCACUUUUGAGAAGAUUCGUGAUCUCAUUCUUGGCGAGGAUGUCCAAAGAAGGAGUUCUGGGGAAUUAUCUAGUGAAUCGCUUUAUGUCAUCAGAGGAGAGAAAUAUCAGAGAUAGUGGGAGCAAGAACAAAAGAAGGAGUCAGUCAAAGACUUGGGAUUGCUCAAGUGUAACAUGUUGGAACUGCAAGGAGGUGGGGCAUUUCAGGAAUCAAUGNNNNNNNNNNNNNNNNNNNNNNNNNNNNNNNNNNNNNNNNNNNNNNNNNNNNNNNNNNNNNNNNNNNNNNNNNNNNNNNNNNNNNNNNNNNNNNNNNNNNACGAGGACCUCUUAGUCUGUUGCGCGGAGAGCAGUGUGGAUUCCUGGGUCAUGGAUUCUGAAGCAUUGCAGAAUCUAGUUAUUGGAGACUUUGGAAAGGUAAGACUAGCGGACAAUAGAACUCUUGAUGUUAUGCGGGCAUGGGUGACAUAGUGUUGAAGACACCAAUUGGUUUUUGGACUUUGAAGGAUGUCAGAGUUGUUCCAAGCUUGAGGAAAAGUUUGAUUUCUGUUAGGCAGUUGGACGAACAGGGACAUGAAGUGAAGUUCGGAAAUCAGCAGUGGAAGGUCGUCAAGGGAAAUCUUGUCAUGGCCUGCGAAAGAAAGAGAGGUUCGUUGUAUAUAGUCAGAUUACCGUGUCUGAGGGAGUGACCAUCCCAGUUCAGAAGAUAAACAAAGUCCGGUUCACAGAAUCUCGUGGGUAGAAUAGGGUUGUCUUUACAAGAGAGAAACCCAAAGCCACAGGUCAGAUUCAAGAUGAACGAGCAUGGAAAGGUUCAGGUAGACCAGUCAAAGGUACUUGUGACAGUGGGAGCACGGGUCAUGCUUCAGCUAAGGUUCCUAGAUGACAGUGGGUUAGGAGAACCAGUAUUCCAACGGUUGAAACUUCUCCAGAAAAAUUCUUGUUGAAUAUGGAGAGUGUUUGUUUUCAGGUUGUUCCAGGAUCCGGCAGUUCCUGUAAGUGGGAGUCGGUAGGAACAAAGAACGGGUCAGUGACUGACAUGUUGAAACUCAGGUUGUUCCAGGAUCUGACAGUUCCUGUAAGUGGGAGUCGGUAGGAACAGAGAACAAGUCAGUGACUGACGUGUUGAAACUCAGGGGAGUUUUAACGAAGUUUUCAAAAUGAUUAAGAAGGCUGGUGGCAACUAGAGGUGGAACAGUGAGUUCCAUCGACAAAUUACAGAAGUACAUGUACACAGUUGAAGCGCAAGUGAACAUUGUUCCGUGACUUCAAGUGGAAGAUUGUUGGUAUGAAGUCAAGACCAAUUGGGUUGGGUUGACAAGACACCAUGUACACAGUUGAAGCGUAGGUGAACAUUGUUCCGUGGCUUCAAGUGAGAGAUUGUUGGGUAUGAAGCCAGGACCAAUUAGGUUGGGCUGACUAGACACAUGUUUAGUGAGUGGGCUUAAUUAUUAUGUCCCUUUAUUAUCUCUAUUUAAAGAGAUCAUUGUACUUGUAAUUGGUGUGCAACGGGAUAUAAUGUAAACCUAAUAGUUGCCCGAGUGGAUGUAGGUUGCAGUUGGCGACCGAACCACGUUAAAUCUUGUGUCGUUUAUUUUUCUGCAGUUGAUUCAUGAUUAUGUGUGUUGUUUCCGUGUGCGUUUCCCAUCAAAGCUUUCUCUGCGUUUCUUGACGUUCAGACUGCUUUGGUUGCUGAAUUUUAUGGAGUUAUAUAUGCUUUGGAGGAAGCUCAAAAGUUGGGUCUUACUAAUGUCUGGCUGAAAUGUGACUUUGUCUUGGUUUGUGUUGCGUUUACCGCUAGGACAAAUGUUCCUUGGAUGCUUCGUAAUCGAUGGAAUACUUGUCUUAAUUACUGUGGACAGGUUUAGGGUUACUCAUAUUUUUCGUGAAGGGAAUGUGUGUGUUGAUAAGUUAGUUAAUUCAUGAUUUAUUCAUAGAGAAUCCUUUCAAUGAUAUAAUAGGCUUCCAUCUAGUUUGUUAUUAAAAUUAUUUAUUAAUAGGUAUAGUUUACCUAUAUAUCGUUUUUGUUAACAUAUGAGUUUUGAUCUAGUCUUUCCAUAUUUUUAUAUUUUCUUUCUUUUUCUUUUUUUAAUAAUAUUUUUUUUCAUGACAAAUGAUUGUUGUUAUUUGAUGUGUCAAUCCAGCUGAGAUGUCAAGUAGUAUAGUGAUGCAUAACAUGAAAGUUUGUAUGAAAAAAAUAUAAUAAUGAAACUUCUACUAUUUCAUCUUAUUUAUUAUAAUUUAUAAUAUAAAAAUGUAAUCAUAUCAUUUUUUUUCUUUUAUUUACAUUUAAGAUUUUGUUUACAUUAUGUUUAUUAGUACUAGGAAAUAAUUGCUUCAACUUUAAAAAUAAUGGAAGAUACAAUACAAAUAUUUUAAAAAAUAAUGGAAGAUACAUCUUUGUUGAGGGUUUUUCCUUUUAUACUCUUUAUAUUUAUUUCCAUCUUCAUUUUUGCAGUAUCAUGUUUUACUAAGUGGGUAGUAAUGUAAUAAUUAAAACUAUUGUUUUUUUAUGUUACUCACUUGCACACUUUCAAGUCUUUUUUUAUUGAAAUUAUAAUGUUUAAAUGUAUAUGCAUAUGUAAUUAAUUUAAUUUUUUUAUAGUUAUCCUCUUAACCACAUACUAUAAAUGAAAAUGGAUAACUUGUAUAUAUAUAAAAGUUCAUCAAGUAUGAAUUUAUUAAUUAUAAUCACAAUAUUACAUAAAAAUAUCAAUAAUGGUAUAAAAUGGUAUAAAAGAACUUUAAACAAAUCAAUUGAAUAUAGUGAUAAAUUGAUAUCCUAUAAUCUGGAGUGACCAAAUAAUGAUUGAUUUUUUCUAUUAUAAUUUUGUGACUGAUGAGAAAAAUAAUCGUCAAGUCACGUACAACUAGAAUUUUCACUAUUAUUUAUAUUUAAUCAUUAUUUCAAUUACACAUAAAUUUAACAACUAUUUUUUUAACUUUGAUGAACUAUUUUGAUAGCUAAAAGUCAAUUUUGUGUGUGAACUAAUUGAUAAAGUUCAUAAUAUAAUUAACAUUAAAUCAUAAAUAAUUGUAAAUCAAAUUCAUCUAAUAUCAUAUAUCAUAUUACAAUAUAUAAAAAAUAACAAAUAUUUUUAAAAUAUUCAUAUUAAAUUCAAACUCAAAUACUAUCCUAAUACUUAAGGUCAUAUGUACCAUAUUACAGGUACAAACCACCAUAAUCAACUCACUUUUAAAAGACUAGUAUUAAUAUGCUCUAGCUAGUAUAAAUUUUACCUCACAAUCUUCUAUAAUUGGAUAAUAUAAUAUUCAAUAGCCAUUAAUUACUCACAUCACUCUCUGUCUUUAUUCAAAUCAUAUUAUAAAAAAACUACUUAAUAUUCAAUCAUAUUAAUAUUUCUGAUUUUAAAUAAUUUUUAAUAGAUAAUUAUCAUUACAUAAGAUGGAAUAAUCUACUUAAAAUAAUGAAAGGAUAGUCUAAAUAUGAUUUUGAAAAUAAAAAAAGUAUAUGAUAAAAUUAUAACAUUACUGAACUUGUUAUAUGAAAAAUAAUAUUAAAAUAAUAACAAUUAAAAAUAUAUCUAUAUUUUUAUCACAUCAAAAUAGUAUUAAAAUAAUAAAUAUUAAAAAUAUAUAUGAUUUUUUAAAAUAGUAUUAAAAUAAUAUACGUGAUAAUUAUUUUUUAAAUAAAAAAUGUUAUAUAGUUAUUUUUUAAUGAAAAAAAGUUAUUUAAUUAUUUACUUUAUUGAAUAAAUAAAUUAUUAUUUUUAUUAAAAGAAAAAUUUAUCUAAUUAAAAAUGUGAUCUUUAUAUAAUAGUAUAGACAAUAUAAUAUUAAAUUGAUAUAUGGGGUAGUUAUUUUAUAAAUGAAGAGGUUAUAUAAUUAUAUUUUCAUAAAUAGAUAUUUUUUAAUUAUUAAAGGAUAAAAAGUUUUAAUUAAAAAGUAAUAAUAAAAAAAUAUAUAUUAAUUUUUAAAUAUAUAAAAGCAUGAAGUAACAAGAUGACUCAUUAGGUUUACGUGGGUCCACGUUGCUCUUUAUUUAUUUUACAAUUGACACGUCCAAGUCUUGAAGGUCCCUCCACUUAAUUCUAUCUCAAAUCACACACAUUUUAUCUUUACUCAAAUUAAAAAAUUUAUAUAUUGCAUACAAUACAUAAAUUUUUAAAUAUAACUAAAAGAAUUAUUAAAUAAUAAUAAAUUUAGAAACUAAAAAUAAUAUAUUAACUACAUUAAAUAUUAUUUUAAAAACUAAAAAUUUAUUAUAUCUAAAAUAACUUUUAUUAUUAAUAAAAAAUUAUAAAAUAUUUUAUAAAUUUAUAUUUAAAUUAUUUAUAUAAUAUCUUAAUUAUUAAUAUUUUAAAUUUUGAGUUAAUCUUUAAAAUAUUAAUAUGGAUUAAAUUAUAAUAGUUAAUUGUUAGAUAUCAAUUUAAAAUUGUUUUAUAACUUUGUAUUAAUAAUACAAUUAUUUAAAUAUUAAUAAUUUAUAAAAUAAUAUAUAAUUUAAUUAAAUAAUAAUUAAUUUUUUUAUAAUUUUAGAAAACACUCUUAAAUGAAUGUUUUAAAUUUGUUAUGAAAAGCUGGUACAUGUUGAAUUCAAUGCCAAGUACAACCUUUUUUUUAAUCAACAAUUGCAAGUACAACCUGAUUUGCCUUUUCACAUCUUUUAUGAAUAAUUAGUUACUAAGGCUUUACAACACUCUCGCAUUCUAACUAAUGUUCUCUUUUUAAGAAUAUAUAUAUCCUUUUAUAAGAGAACUAAAUAAUUUAUUAAAAUGAAAAUAUGAUGAAUAUAAUAUAUGCAGAAACUAUAAAACCUGGACGAGAUUGGAUAGAAUAGGAUAGGACGCAAACCAAACACAAGAACAUGGAAUCCGGUAUAUAUGUAUAUAUCUUUCAUUCAUCACAUCACUUGAUAUUGGAAGAAAUGUUACUUUCUUUCUUACCAGUUUUUUUGAAAUUUAUGCAAGCUAUUCUUGUGGCUAUUAAUUUUUUCAUUCUUUUUCCUGAAUCACCAACUCUUCAUUUGGGACUUUUAUUCUUCUUACUUCCUUUCCAUUAAUAUAUAAAUAUAUUAUAAUAAAAAAAAGUAUGGGGUACAUUUUUUUAUCCCAAAAAUAAUAUUAUUUUGUAAAUAUAUAUUAAAGUGAAUUAAUUACUGAAAAUAAAAAAUUUAAAAAUAGAUAAUUAAUAUCUGAAAAAUGAAAAUGUGACAUUCGAAAAAUAAAUUCUAUUAAAAUAAAAAUCAAUCAUAUAUUUUUUUAUAACCACUUAAUAUAUUUAAGAAAAGAAGAAUCAAAUCCUGAAAUAUAUUUUUCAUUUUUAUAAGUAACAAAAAUAUGAUAAAAAGACAUUCUAUUACAAAAAUUAGACCAUUAUUUUUUAUAAUUACUCAAUACAUUAAACAAAAAUAAACUUAUGAUUAUUUUUAAAAUAACUAUUAUAUUUUAACAUACAUUUACAAAUCAAUUGAAAAAAUUACUAUAAUAAGUCAAAGAAAUAUAAUGUUAAAAAAUAUAUUCAAAUAAGUGUUGCUUUUUUUAACAUCCUUAAUUUUUUUAAUCCAUAUAUAAUAAAAUAAAAGUAAAACAAACGCUAUCUACUUAACGUACGAAUAUAUAUAUAACUAUCUCAUAAUUGUAUCUAAAAUCAUAAAGAUUUUAUUAUAUAAAUAAAAAAAUUUAAAAAUAAACAGACGGCUCACUUAAGAGUUCUAUUACCUGCAAUCUCAUAUGCUUCCGUGUACAACACGAUCAUCACAUAUAAAGAAACAAACACAAACAAAUAACAGGAUAAGUUAGCUAUAACAAAAUUUUCUAUAUAAUUUAAAUUUCAAAUUGUUACACAAAAUUCAUAAAUUCUCAUACAAUUUAUCAAACAUUUCACAUAACCAUCAAUUGUCUAUCAACAAUUUCAAAAUUCAUCUUUCUCAUGUCAGUCAUCUACUGACUCACAACACAUAGACACUUAACUCUACUUCUGAAAGACUCGUGCGUUGACUUAGAUUCAGAGAUCUGCACCUGUCAUACUAUCUCACUGUGAAAUCCACACAGCUAUGCGCAUAAAUAAUCUCAAUAUCAUUUCUCUCCUAGUAUGACAGGCUUAAUUCAUAUAACAAGUCAAGUUAGUUAUCUUUCAAACAACUUACCCAUUCAUAUGAACCUCCUUCGACUCUCACCACCUGAAUAAACUCCAUCUAUAUGAUUCCAUUAUCUCAGAAGAGUCAUGAUAUCUCCUUCUAAACGAAUCACUAGUCAAUGCACAUCCUAAACAAUCUUAACACGGUAUUUUCUUUCCUGAAAAUACUAUGUCUUUAUUAAAAUUAAAAUUCAUAUUCUGACUCUCACAAUAUCUAAAUCACACAAUCAAAUCAUACAAAAGUUUAGAAUUUCCAAAUCACACAACAAUUCAUUCACUAAUCAUAUAAACAUUUUAAAAUUUUCUAAACAAUUCAAUUAUAUCUAAAAAUCCACUUAAACACAUAACUAAGUUCCAAAUAUAUGCUUUCUAAAUCAAUCAUCAUCUAAAAUCAAACAACCACUUCUCAUCAAACAUCUCAUUUAAGUAAUUCAACAAAAUAUUAAAAAACAGUUCAACUCAUUUAUAUUAUCAUUCAAACAUUUUAAAUUUUCAAACACAAACACUUUCAACAACUUAUUCACCUUAAAAUCAAUAUAAAAUAUUCAGAAUUAACCAUUUCAAUCAAUAUAUUACUUUACUCUUCAAAAGAGACAAUCCUGCAAGCAAAAAUUUGAACCGGUGACCACGUCACCCCCACAUUCAGAUCUUCUAACUUAGGGUUCUAUAAAAUAAAUAAAACUAGCUUCCCUUACCUGGACUUGAGCAGAUGCUCACUAAGAGCUCCAACCCACCAAAAGCUUAAGGAUAACCUAACCUGCACCAUAAAGUCUUGAUAAAAAAUCUAACUAUAUCACUAAGACCUUGAUCUAGCAGAGACUAAUCUUGAAGAUAAAAACCUCACAUGCAAACUUAAACUAAAAUGCAACCCUAACAAGAUAAAAACUAACUCAAAAGAAAAUGAGCCAAGAAUGAACUUACUCUAUCUAAGAUUCUGCGGGAAAUCUCGUAGAGUUCACUUCCAGGAGUUCAAUGGCAGACUCCGAUCAUUAAACUGAUGAGCGAGGAUGUCAGAAUCUUAGAGAGAUGGUGGUUCUUGUUGGAGAUCCCACAUCGACUAGAGAUUAGAGCCUUUCAUUGUAUAUAAGUGGGUGCAAACCUCAAUCUCAUGAGCCGGUUUUAUGGGGUUGAGUUAGGCUUAAAGUCCACUCUUUCGUAAUAUGAUAUCAGAGCCAUUUCGAGCCUAUCCUAGCGAGUGUUUGUGUUGGGCCUAUCGUGCCACCCGCUAUCGGGCCGCUAUCGGACCACCCAUAAUAUAUAGUCCCACGCGUGAGGGGGUGUGUUGGAGAUCCCACAUCGACUAGAGAUUAGAGCCUUUCAUUGAAUAUAAGUGGGUGCAAACCUCAACCCUAUGAGCUUCGUGCCACCCGCUAUCGGGCCGCUAUCGGACCACCCAUAAUAUAUAGUCCCACGCGUGAGGAGGGUGUGUUGGAGAUCCCACAUCGACUAGAGAUUAGAGCCUUUCAUUGUAUAUAAGUGGGUGCAAACCUCAAUCUCAUGAGUCGGUUUUAUGGGGUUGAGUUAGGCUUAAAGUCCACUCUUUCGUAAUAGUUCUUUUAAAAUAAAACCUAAAUAACUAAACUUCUAUUUAUAUAGUUUUUUCCUUUUAAUAAUAAAAUAUUCAGGUGUCAUUUUAAUUGUACAAUUUCUACUCUAAGACUAUUUUUCUCGGUCCUUACAUUUUUACUAAUAUUUUGAAUUAAAAUAUUAAUAUAACAUUGGUAAUUUGCAUCACGACAUUAUUUUUAAUAAAUAUGAGUAUUCAUAGCCAAAUUUAAAUGUUUAUUUUGAUUGAAUAAAAUUUGAAAAGUAUUAAAAUUUAGAAUAUAUCUAAAAAUCAUCUCAUUAUAAUCUAUCAUAUCAUGUUAAUAAAAUUAUCUCCAAACUUAAUUUAAUAUGUCUCAUAAGAGUAAUUUUUGUUUAACAUGUGGAGGAAGAGUUUAUUUUGGUGGUGGUGCUAACCUUAUUCACUAGUCUUGGAGGAAAUAAACUAAAAUAUUUAAUGGAAGGAAACUAUACAAAGAAUACAAAGUGACUCAUUUUGAUGUUUCUGUUUUUAAUUUCAUACAAUAUUGGACACACAUAGAUGUGUUAGAAUUUAUUUGAGAGGUCAAUUUAGAAGGUUAUCUACUGUUUAUAUCACAGUAUAUAAAUACAACAUAAAUCGCAUUUAUUCUUUGUUGUUUUUGUUUAUUGUAAAAAGACAUAUCUUGUAUUUUUAUAUUUUAUUCUAGUUUCUUUGGUAUUAUAAAAAAAUCAUUCAUAUAUAUAUAUAUAAAUUGUUUAAUAUCGUACAUAAUAUUUAAUAGAAUAAAUCUUUAAAUAUAAUAAAGUAGAGGAUGAAAUAUUCAUCAUGAUAUAUUAUUAGCCUGACAUGAAAAAAUAUUUGGAUAUAUAUAUUAAUAAAAAAAUCCAAACCAAACAAAAAAAUAAUAAUUUGAUUUUUUUUUUGUAACCAUACUUAACAUAACUUCUAUUUUUUAUUCAUAUAUAUUUUUAACGGAAAAAUCAAAUCAAACUACAGUCACAAAUGCUGGUGAUAUAUUUGAAAAAUAUAUAAUAUCACACCAUGUAUAUAAUUUUGUCAUGAUAAAAAACAAGGAUGUAUCUAAUUUUACCAUGAUAAAAAAACAAGAUAGUGUUUAGUUCAUCAUGGUUGUGACAAGGAAAGUGGUGAUUUUAGUCUAUCUAAAACCUUGAAGUAUUGUUAAAUCUAAAAUAAACAACUUCAAAUAUUAACUUUCAUCUUAAUUAAAAUAAAAUAAUUUAUACUAGGCAAAGUCUUAACAUAUUUCAUUAUAAGUGUUAUAAUUUAAUUUGACCUAUAAUUUAUCGUAUGAUUUAUUAUUCUUUUAUUUAUUUUAUCAACAAAGAUGAAGAAGGUCAAAAAAAGGUAAUAAUAUACCAUUAAAAAAAAAUAUUACAUGAAAAUAAAAGAAUAAAAAAACCUAUAAAUGGACUUUCCUCUAGUGUCCUAUAUGCUAUCAUCCAACACAAAACUAUCAAACACAAAACUAUCAACCAAAAAAUAGUUUACUAAUCCAAAAUCAAUUACAAAAAUUAUUCAUAUCUUAUACAAAUGUGAAAUUUGUGCUAUUAAGGAGAGUCGUAAUAGGAAGUAAAAAAAAAAAAGACUUUAUAUUUUUUCACAAGAACUUGUUAUUUUGCACUAGACCAAAACGCAAAAGGUAUAUUUUUAUAUAUAAGUUUUGUCAUUCAGUCCCUUCUUUAUAUUGAUUUCAUCUUAAUGAUUGCCAAAAUUCAAUUGGGUGGACACACAAUUAGAAUGAAGAACACGAAUUUAUGAUACUUGUCAUGAAUCUAAAUUUUUCCUUAUCUAUAUGAGUUUCAUUUUAAUGACUACAAACAUUUAAUUGGAGGAUAGACCAGUCAAAUAGGAGAACAAAGAUUUAUGAUACUUAUCAUAAAUUCAAGUUUUCCCAUAAGAGCUUGUUAUUUUGCAUAAGGCCAAGAAGCAAAAGGUCUACCACUAAAGUAUACUGACAAUUAGUAUAUAUAUAUAUAUAUUAUAUAUAUAUAUUUUAUAUAUAUAUAUAUAAUUACAUAGAAUAUCUGACAUUCAGUCUCUUCCUUGUGUUGGUUUCAUUUGUUUGUUAUUCUGGAUAAGGUCAAGAAGCAAAAAGUAUACUACUAGAGUAUACUGACAAUUAGUACCAUAAGACAAUCAAUAUAUAAUUACAUAGAAUGUUUCAUCUUAAUGAUUGCAAAAAUCCAAUUGGAUGGACACAUAGUUAGAAUGGAGAACAAGAAUUUAUGAUACUUAUCAUGAAUCCAAGUUUUUCCUCUUCUGUAUUGGUUUCAUUUUAAUGACUACAAACAUUCAAUUGGAAGAUAGACCAGUCAAAUAGGAGAACAAGUAUUUAUGAUACUUAUCAUGAAUCCAAGUUUUCCCAUAAGAGUUUGUUAUUUUGCAUAAGGUCAAGAAGCAAAAAGUCUACCACUAAAGUAUACUGACAAAUAGUAUAUAUAAUUACAUAGAAUGUCUGACAUUCAGUCCUUCCCUGCAUUGGUUUCAUUUUAAUAAUUGCAAACAUCCAAUUGGAUGGAUACACCAGUCAAAAUAGGAGAACAAGGAUUCAAGAUAUUUAUUAUGAAUCUAAAUUUUUCCAAAAGAGCUUGUUCCCAAAAGAGUUUGUUAUUCUGAAUAAGGCCAAUAAACAAAAAGUAUACUACUAGAGUACACUGACAAUUAGUACCAUAAAACAAUCCAUAUAUAACUACAUAGAAUGUCUCUCAUUCAGUCUUUUCUCUGUAUUGGUUCAUUUUAAUGAUUGCAAAUAUUCAAUUGGAUGGAUACAAAGUCAUAAGUGUAUCUUACUUUUAAGAAAAUAACAAAUUAAUGCAUUUAUUUAUUUAUUUAUUAUGUUUGUAAAAAAAAUGUAUAAAGGGAAGUGCAUCUGUAAUACCUUUGGACCAAAAUCUAAUUCAUUAAAGUAAAAAUUAAUAAAAAAGUAACACUAUAAAAAAAAAAGUAACAUAACAUCUAUUUUUUGUUAAAAUAUUUGCAUGAAUGUUUUUUAAUAAUAAUUUUUUUAGUAAAUAUGUGCUGUAAAUAUUUAAAUAAAUUUUUUGAUGCUAUCCAAGAAUUAAAUUUUUAUUUUUAUUUUAUUUCACCUUAAUUAAUUUUUUAUACUUAUUAGUAUGAUAAUGUAUCACAGUAAAAUUGUUACGUUUUUUUUUUAACUUUGAUUAUUUAAAAUUUUAAUUUAGAAAAUAUUAGUGAAUUAAUAUCUAAAUUAUGUAAACAUAAUAAUAAGUUGUGCUGGUUCCAAAAGAAAAGAGGAAUUAUUGUGUACUAUGAUUUGGGAGGAAACUGUCAAGUUCUUCAAUUGAUUAAUUUCUAGUUAUGGUUGACAAAUAUUUUAAAAUUCAAAAGUCAAAUUUGGCUUAAAAACUUAAAAUGAGGAAAAAAAAUCAGCUGUCAUUUUAUGAUAAUUAUUAUUAAUUACAAAAAAUGUAUUGUUAUUUUAUUUUAAAUAAAAUGAAUUUUUAAAAUUAUAACAUAGCAAUAAACAAUAAAAGAAGGAAUGAGCGAAAUAAAUUUAUUCGAAAGAGAAAAUAAAAUAUGAGAGGACAAUUUUUAUUUUUUAUUUUUUUCAAUUUUUUUUUUCAUUUCUAUUUGUCAUAUAUUUUUAUUUUUAUUUACUCUAUUCUUCACUAAUUAAAUUAAUUUUUUAUUACUUUAUUUCUUAAUUUAAAAUUUGAGUGUUUCUGUUAUUUUCAUAAUUUUAAUUUUUAAAUUUAAUCCAGUAGUUAUUUGAACAUAUGUGUUAUAUUUCUUUUAUUUAAAUUUGAAUGAAUCCAAAGUUUGACAAUAUAUAUUAAGAAAUAUUUUAAUAAUUAAAAUAAAAAUGUAAGAAACUAAUAUAUGCAAAUUUAAACAUUGGAUAACAAAACUAGAAUUCUUGAAAUUUGAUAACUAAAAUCAUAUAAAAGCAAGAGAUUUUAAAUUUAAGAAAAAAGAUUAUAAAUUGCUUUUAUUCUUUUUUUCAGUAGGGGACCAUUAACCUUUUUGACUUUGAGUAGUUUUCUACACCACUUUUUAGCCAUUGAUGUUGUCUUUCAUAGCUAGAUCAACGGUUCCAAGUUCAAGAGAGCCCAACUUGGAAGGACCAUGAAUUUCCUCUCUGAAGUUUGAUGUCAUAGGAAGGAUGAGAUUAAUGAUGUGGAUGGUAACAUGAAGAUGACAUCAUUAUGGAUGGGAUGUGAUGGAUUAUCGAUUACAUGAAAUGCUCUGAGAUUUAGGUAUGAAAGAACACUGUUGUGUUAGUGAGUAAUAAUGCUAUGAAUAUAAAAACAUAAACAAAAUAUUAGAAUGUGUUCCUAAGACUCUAUUUUAUGCAGUAAAUAUUUUUAUCAAGGGUUAAGGAAAAAUAUUAUGAUAAUAGUUCAUAAGAGUUUUUAUUUUAUUUUUAUAAAAGAUAUUAAUUUUAAUUUAUUCUAAAAUAUCAAUAAAACUAAAUUAUUUAAGUGGUUGAUAUAUUACUAAUAUAUUUUGCAAUAAUUUAAAUAAGUGUAUAAUAAGAAUUUAAUAAUGAAUACACCUGAAAGAAAUUUUAUGUCUUUUAUAAUAAAGUCAGAAGAUGCUCUCUCCUCGUUUACCAAUGGUUAAAUUAAUUUGUUGCAUUUGAUGGUAAAUUCAACUUAAACCUAGAUGAUGCAGUAUUGAAUUUAAAACUUAGUAAGAAAAAAUAUGUUUUUUUUUUGUUUUUUUUAUCGAAAUAGGAAAAAAUAUGUGUAACAGUUUAUGAUGAUCAAUAAUAACUAAUUGUGAAUAGGAAAAAUUCUAGAACUUUCACUUUAAGAAAAUAAUAUUAUUUUAAUUUAGGUUGAAGACAUUUUUAAGAAACUUUAAAAAAUGUUAAAAUACCAUAAAAAAACUACUUUUUGAACAUGCUUGCACGGAUUCAUUUAAAUUGUUUUUUAUAAUCAUAUAUAUAUAUAUAAAACUUUAAAUAUAUGUAUUGUUAUAAGUACAAUAUUAGUAACAAUAGAACCCUUUUAGAGAAAAUUGUGCAAAUUUUUUAAAUCAUAUAUAUUUUUAAAUAGUUAAAGUAUAUUUUACAUAAGGAAAGUGAAUUUAUUUUAAAAAAGAAUUUAUAUAUCAUAUUCAAUUGUUGAAUCAAUUUUUUAAAUUAUUAUUUUUUUGGAAAAAAAUUAAUUUUAGAAUAAAUGUUAAUAUAUUUUCAAUGUUACAAUCACAGUUUUUAUAAAUUUAUAUACAUCUGUAAAAUAUUUAAUACUUAAAUGAAAAUAAAAUAAUAAAAUAAAGUAUAUUUGAACUAAAAUAUCAAGAAAAAAUCAAUACUAUAUUAUUAUUAUUAUUAAAAUUGUAAUUUUAUUACAAUAUCAUUUAUUAACAUAUUUAUGAUUUUAAUAAAAAUAAAUUAAAAAUAAUGAAAAAUGAUAUAUACAUAUAUAAUUUAUUAUUUAAAUGUAUGUUUGAUCAUUAAUUUGGAAUUUUAGUAUCAAUAAAUGUAACACAUGAGUUUAAAAGAUAAUUUUUAAUUAAAUAAAAAAAUAAAAAAAUAAAAAAAAUAAAAAAACAAUAUAAGCAAUCACUUCUUAUUUCCUUAUAAUUUUAUCUCAAAUUUUGAUUAUAUGAGAUUCUUUAAGAUUAAAUCUAAGUGUUUGUUGUGUUAUCUGAUUACAUAUAUGAGGAGGAGAUAAGUCAGUUAUUUUCUAUUAAGAAUUUUAUCUUUUUUGUUUUUAGGUGUUUUGUGAGGGUUAAUUUUGUUGGUGUCAGAUUGGAUAAUAGAGACUUUCAUUAGUUUGAUAAGAUUUUUAGACAAAAUUAUCGUCUAUAAUGGUUCAAAGAUUAUGAUUUUGACUAAAAAAGAGUCUAUGAAAGAUCGUACAAGAAGAGGGAUUAACCUAGAGAAGGAUAUAGACGUUAGUUCUUAUAAUAAUCGUCGUUUAUAUCUUUAUAUAAGUAUAUUAAAAUAUUAUAUUAUGUAAAAAAUAGGCGUCGGUUACUAAAACAAUUGGCGUCUAUAGUGACUUAAUAUACUACGGUUUUAAAUCUAUAAGUCAAGACUAUAAAUGACUUGCUCAUAAAUUACAAUUUUAUAACCAGCGCAUCUAAGGUCCUAAAACACCACUGUCGAAGUGCAUUUUUAUACUAAUGCCUAGAAGUUAGAAAAUAUAUAUUUUCUUAAAAGUUAGAAAAUAUAUAUUUUCUUAGAGAAUGAGUUAAUAUUGACACCUAUUCAAUAAAAUGAUUAUUUAAAUGUAUGAUUAUUAUUGAAUUAAUAUGCAUGUGAAAUGUAUACCUUUAUCUUUAUACGAAAAUGUUGGAAUAAUGUAACUAUUAUGUGAAAGUAUUGGUUAGUAAGAUACUUUUAUUAAGGUAGUUAGUGAUUUAGAAAUUAUUCAUUCAUAGUAUUGGUAUAUGAUUUUUGUAAAUGGUUUAUUUUUUCUUUAAAAAUGUUAUUUUCAGGAUUGACAUUGCUCAAGCUGUGACAUAUACUCAAGCAAGGAUACCACUUGCAACACCUAAGGGGUGAGUUAUGAUAUUACAUGCCUCACUCAAGCAAAAGGAAAACAGUUAUUGAAAAGUAUUGAAAUAGGUGAGAGAAAGGUCAAAGUAAGUAUAUUGCAUUACGCAGAUGAUACUCUGUUUUGUUGUAAUGACAAUUUUCAGAGUUUAUUUAUCAUAAAGUCAAUUCUAUAUUGUUUUGAGCUGACUUCUAGUCUGAAAGUGAAUAAUUCUAAGAGUAGAAUUGGAGGGGAAGGUGUUAAUCUGAGUAGUUGAAAUAGUUUUUCUUCAAUCCUCAAUUGUGGUUUGAUGAAAAUUCCCUUUACUUAUUUGAGAAUGGUGGUGGGAGAAAAUUAUAAGAGAUGUAAUUCUUGGGAAUGUGUGUUAGGAAAGGUAUGAAAAAGAUUGGACAAGUGGAAAUGGAAUGACUUAUAUAUGGCUGGUGGGAUUUGUAUGAUAAAAUUUGUAUUAACCUCCUUACCUUUAUUUUAUUUGUUGAAUGUUUCUUGUUCCUGUGGCAGUGAUGAAAGAACUAAAAAAGGUUCAGUCAUUGUUUCUUUGAGGCUGAGGUUCGGAGGGGAGGAAAAUAGCUUGGGUGUCUUGGGAAAAAAAUGUACUGGCAGAGAAUUUGGUGGAAUAGAUAACAAGCAUUUUAACUAUGCUUUAUUAGGUAAAUGGAUUUAGAGGCUUAAGUCAGAGGAAAGAGGUUUAUAGAAAGAUAUUUUUGAGUCUAAAUACAGGGGUUGGAGAGAUCUAAAGGAGAAUAGAAUUAGAAAUAAGGAUUUGUGGUGGAGAGAUUUGAAAAAGAUUUGGAAUUUAGAAGAAUGGGAAAACGAUUUUGACGACAAUGGCACGUGGGAUUUGGGUAUGGGAAAAAAUGUAAGAUUUUGGAAAGAUAAGUGGUUGGAGAGAGUAGAGCUAAGGAAGGAAUUUCCAAGGUUGUAUGGUCUAUCAUUAAAUAAAGAUAAUACGUUGAAUCAAGUUAGGGAGUGGUCCGGUGUUAGUUGGAGUUGGAAGUUGGAAUGAAGAAGGAACUUGUUGUUUAGGAGUCAGAUUAAGUAGAUCAAUUGUUGUCUAUGUUAGUCAAUAAGGAAGUGGUCAAGGAAGCUACUGAUUGUGAAAAAGUUGAUAAUUGGAUUUGGAAGGAGGGGGAUUCUAGGAGGUAUACGGUUAAGUAUGCUUAUGUAAUUUUAAGGAGAGAAUUACAAGGUGAAGAUAGUUUAAUCUUUGAACAAUUUUGGAAGAUAAAGUCUAUCCCACUGCACAAAAACUGCUUGGAGAGUGUUACAAAAGGCUUUAGCAACAAAGGAUAAUUUGUCUAGACAUGGUGUUGUUUUAUUAAAUAAUUUGUGUUUUAUGUGGUGUGGAAGAAGAGUCUAUAAAUCAUUUGUUUUUUAAUUGUAAAAUUGAUUGACUUAUUUGGGGAAUGUGUUAUAAUUGGUAAGGGGUGUCGACAAUUAAUCAUUAUGAUGCGAAAUCACAUUUCAUGCAUAACAAAUUUCCUUUUUUGAAUGCUAAGAGCAAUAGAAUUUGAGGGAGUAUUUGGAUAGAAAUAAUUGGGGAGGUUUGGAAACAUAGGAAUGGUUGUAUUUUUAAAAAUGAUAGAGUUGAUCAUGAGGAAGUUUUCACUUUUGCACAAAUGAAGGUUUGGUCGUGGUUACUGAAAAAGGAACAUGUAAUCGUUUUUUCUUAUUCAGAUUGGUGAUUGGAACCUUUGGAAUGUAUGAGAUACAUUAGCAAAGGUAAUUGAGUUGUUUUUUCUGUCGUGCCUUAUGUAAUAGUAUUAUUUGGCUUAUUUGUUGGUGUUUUACAGUAGAAUGCACACUUGAACUCUAGAAGAAAUCAAUUUAUUUAAAAUACUUUGAAACUUAAAUACUAAUAUCCAUGAUCCUUAAUCAUAACUGAAAAAAUGAUUGGAUUCUAAAAAUAAGCAAAGAAAUCAGAUACAUGAUCAAGGAAAGGAAAUAACUAACUCCUAAAAUCAAGGAGUACUACUUUGAAUAAGUUAAACAUUAACAAAAUAGAAAAAAAAAGUGACAACAUUCUUAAACACGUGACUUAACACUCUUGCUUGUUUAAAUGCUGCAAACUCCAAGUUUCUUCCUAUGCUUCAAUAACUUAACUCCAAAGUUCUAAGUACCCUUGAUGUAUUUGAUGACUUUUUUUGCGGCCCUCAUGUGAGUCUCAUAUGGGAAAUGCAUGAAUUUGGAUAAAACACUUACUGCAUUUAGAAUGCCAAGUUUGGUUGUUGUUAAAUACAUUAGACAUCCUAUCAAGCUUUUGAAUUUAGCUUCAUCGACUUUGGCAGAUCCAUCUUCUUUGACCAACUUCUCCUUUUGAUUCAUGGGAGUGCCCAUUGCCUUGCAAUCUUACAUUUGAAACUUUUUAAGUAUUUUUUUGCAUACUUCUUCUGACAGAUAAAUACUUUAUCCUGACUUUGCUUAAUUUCCAUUCCAAGAAAGUAAGUCAUUAGGCUAAGGUCUGUCAUUUCAAAGACCUUCUUCAUGUUUAACUUGAACUGAUCGACCUGAUCAAGAUUAUUUCCAGUGACUAACAAAUCAUAUACAUAAAGAGAGAUGAUUAGAAUAUUUGCACCAUCAUGCUUGACAUAUAGAGUAAGUUCAAAUAAACUUUUCUCAAACCUAAACUAAUAAAGUGAUAAUCUAUUCUACUGUAUCAAGCCCUUGGAACUUGUUUUAGGUCAUAUAGUGCCUUCUUCAGUAAGUACACAUUGUCUUCAUUUUCUUUGUCCGCAAAUUCUUUAGGUUGCUCAACACAAUUUUCUUCUUUAAAAAUCCAUUUAGGAAUACUAAUUUGACAUCCAACUGAAACACUUUCCAAUUAUUUUGAGCAGCGAGAGCAAAAAGCAAUUUGAUUCUGUCAAGCCUAGCAACAGGUGCAAAUGUGUUUGAAUAAUCAACUCCAAACACUUAAACUACUAGCCUUGCUUUAAGCUUGUUGACUGAGCCAUUGGGAUUUAACUUAGUCUUAAAUACCCACUGGUGAACAUAUAUUUAUUCACAUUCAAUAACUUUAAUAAUAAAUAAAUCCAUUUUUUAAUUAAUAUUCAUAUAAUUGGGUUUAUUUGGGCCUUAACUAUUAUUUUUGUUAAUUUUGUGUUUUUAAAGUAAAUGAUCUGAAAGAAGUGUCUACCUUUGUGAAUGGGUCAAAUAUGCAAAAAUCCAAGUUUCUUCUUGAAUCAAAAUAGAAAACAAAUUCUCUAGAGAAGAAAGAGAAAAUAAAAUCUACAAUAUCCCAGAAACAGAAUUGGAAGCAAAUCUUCUGCAAAAUACAAAAAUUCUAGAAAGUUGGAAACUUAGAAACUAUUAAGAAAAUUUAAACUACAAUAUUUUUCCAAAAUUCUUGGAGCAGAAAAACCUAUAAAAGGACACAAGCAUCAAGGAGAAAGGGGGGAGCUUCAUAGGGUUUUCUUAGUUUCUUUUCUUUUGUUUUGUUUCCGCAUGGAAGGCUAAACCUUUUUGGUUGUUUCCUUUGCAAUUUCCCAUUUAGUUAUGAGGUUUUGAUCAAUAAAAGUUUCGAUUUUUAAUUCUUUAUAGUAGUUGUUUUAAUAUUCUAAUCUUCUGGAAAACUGGUUUUUGUGAGAUGUUGUACUUGAAUACAUAAUUGAAAGUCUUCCUUAUCUUAAACUUUGGUUUCUUAGUUAGUUGACAUUGUUCUAAUUAUUUUUUUGGGCGUAUAAUUCAAGAGAGAGGAGAUAAGCAUUCCCAUGGAGUAUACGCAUGGAACAAAGUGGGUAUUGAUUAAACCAGUAAACACAUGCUUUAUUGGUGAGUGUUAGUUGAAUCAGAUUGACGCAUGUUCAAUCUGGUUUAGCUCUGUAGGAGGAUUGAGAAAUGAUUAAUCUUUAGAGAACAUGUGAAGAAUUCAAUGGUGGAAGAACUUGUGGAUCAACCGCUUUUUAAUUGCUAUUUUAAUCUCUUUUAUAUUUUAUGCAUAACUAUCUCAACCCCCUUUUAUUUUUAUUAUUGCUAACUUUUAUUGCUUGUAAGAUUCUAAACAUUGAUUUACCAAACUUGAGGUUAUCUAACCGCUUCUAUACUAUCAUCUCUCUAGUGUUAGACAAAUCUACAUUAAGAUCAUCUUAAUUUGAAAACAAAACAACAACUAUCACCCACUCCACUCCUAUUAUUUUUCUGUCAUGUGGUUUUUCAACCAGCUCCCAAGUUUUUUCUUUCUCAAUUAUUGACAACUCCUCUUCAUUGUAGACAUCAAAUGUUUAUUAUGUUUUGCAUCAUGAUAUCCAGCAAGUUCACAAACAACCACAUUGCAUCUUUGAUAUAUAUAUCAGAGAGUAAUCUUGUACCUCUAAGUUAGUUCAUUCUACCAUUCUUCAUUUACAUGUUCCUUUAGAGUGUUAACAAUGGAUAAAUGCCUUGAUUUACUUGGAAUCUAAUUUGCCCUAUUUGAGUCUUUCCAACUCUAUUGUUCAUCUUCCACAAAAUAAACAUCUCUGCUCACAAUAAUACGUGCAAUUUCUGGUUGAAACACCCUGUAAGCCUUGGAACCAAUACUAUAUCCAAUAAAAAUGUAGUUGUUGCCUUCUUGUCAAGCUUGUCACAUUUGAUCCGUGGAAUAAAAGUGAAACACAGGAAACCAAACACUUUCAAAAAUUUUAGAGAUGGUCUGUAUCCAUACCAAACUUCAAAUGGUGUCUGAUCUUUCAUUGCCUUUAUUGGAAUUCGAUUUUGUAAAAGCGCAACAGUGUUUGCUGCUUCCACCCAAAAUUUCUUUGGGAGAUUCUUUGUCUUCUUUGUUGUUACUACCAAAUAGAUUCAUACAUAAUAAAUUUGUUGUUACACUACAUUUAGAGUUUGAUAAAAAUAUCAAUGAUUCUUUACCUUCUUUGUUCCUUUUCCAUGUGAUGUCUUCCACUAGUUUGACUUUCACCAAACAUUUAGUACUAUAGCAAACCACUCUGACAUCCCCAACAUCAUCAUGAUUAUCCUUUACAACUACUUCUUAACACACCAUAACACACCCAAAUUACCCUUUUACACCUGUUGUGAUGCAACAUUUUAUUAUAAAUGCAUAAUAUUAGACACUAGCAUCAUUGGGUGUAAAAUAAACAGUUCAAAUUGCCAACUCUCUUAUACUGAUAAGUGUUUAAUUUCAGUAAUAUUUCAUAUUAAAAUAUAAGCACCUAUGAAUAUUUAUUGCUAAUUUACAUGUAAAAUAAUCCCUAAUUUAUGAAUUUAUACCUGUUGAAGAUGGUUUAAACCUAACAAUACCUUCUUACAUUUUUAUGAGCUUUAUUUGAAUAAGAGCAUUGUAUUCCCAAAUUUGGUAUUAAUUGCGGAUUUUUAGGGAGAAUUGGAGAUUUUGAGUAAAGGAGAAUAUUUUGAGCUAAAAGAGAAAGCUGGAAGGUCCCAUAAUGGAAAAAGAUGCAGAAAAAGAUUGAGACUUUUUUUAUGUUUUAUCACUUAGCCCAUUAGCGCGACACAGGAAGCGACAUAACCUUAGAAAACUAGGAUAAAUAGAGGGCUAGAAGCUCAAUCCUAGUAUGCCAGAUUGAGAGAAAAACACAAGAGAGUCUCAUUUUGGGACAGAGUGUUAGAAAAAGUUAAGAGCAUAUUAGGUAGAUGGAAAGGUAGAUUUCUUUCAUUGGUCGAGAGGGUUUGUCUAAUUAAGUCGGUUCUUUCUUCUAUUCCGUUGUUCUAUAUAUCUAUGUAUAAGUUGCCUUCUACUGUGCUAAAACUGGCAAUCUUGGUAUUUUGAACUUAAGGCUUUUCAAUGCGGUUCUGCUGGGAAAGUGAAUUUGGCGUCUGGGUACCGAGAAUGGUGGUUUAUGGAAGGAAAUUCUCGAGUCUAAAUACAGAGGUUGGAGAAUUGGAAGAGCAAAGGAUCAAUACUAAGGAUUCUAGCUGGUGGAGAGAUUUGAAGGGGGUUUGGGGGAUGGAGGAAUGAGGUAGAAACUUUGAGAACUGUUUUGAGUAGAGAGUGGGAAAAAGGAAAAAUGUUUGGGUGGGCAACGAAGAUUUGAAAAGCAAUUUUCCAAGACUUUUUUCUUUGUGUGGUAAUAAAGAAGGUAAUUUAGAGUCUUGUGGGGAGUGGUUUAAUGAUAGUUGGGAGUGGAAGUUAGUCUGAAGGAAAUGUCUAUUUGAUUGGGAGAAAAAUCAGAAAGUCCAGCUGUUACAAAAGGUGCAUGGAAAGGCUCUUGUCUUGAAUUAUGAAGAUAGUUGGGUUUGGAAGGUUGGUAAGGAUAGUGGAUUUUCGGUAAAGUUUGCCUAUGUUAAUUUAAGAGGCCCUUACGAGGGAUAUAGUCUGUUUGUUUCUCUAUGGAAGACUUUUGCUUUGCCCUCAACCCAGUUUACUUCUUGAAGGGUGUUGCUUAAUUUGGUUGCCACUAAAGAUAAAUUGGAAAGACGCGGGGUCUCGGUUGUUAGCAACCUUUGUUGUUUUUGCAUGAUCAAAGUGGAGUCAACAAGUCAUUUGUUUUUUGAAUGCAGGAUUGCUUGGCUAGUUUGGAAACAAUGUUAUGCAAGGCUGGGGAUAACGUUGGUAGAUCAUUUUGAUCUUGUUUCACACUUCUUGCAUUUUAAUUUGUUAAAUGCUCCUGUCUAGGUAAAUGUUGUUUGGGGUAGUAUUUGGAUUGCAAUUGUUAGUGAAAUCUGGAAGCAUAAGAAUAAACAUAUUUUCAAAGGUGGAGUGAUUGAUCAUUCAGAAAUGUUCACCUUUACUCAAUUAAAGGUUUGGUCUUGGGUAACAUCUAAAUCUGUUUCUGCUCACUUUAUAUUUUUCGAGUGGUGCUUCGAUCCUAUGGCUUGUAUGUUUUUGAUUAAGUGAGCUUUUGCAAGGUUUCUUCCUUUGGCUAGGUUGUUUGUUGUUUUUAGUUUUGUAAGGAUUAGGUUGUUUGGAAGAGGUUAUGUGGAUAUUGUUGUGUUAUAUUCAUGUAUAAGGGUUGAGUCACCCCUAAAGUGAUUUAUAUUUAUUCAUUUUUUACUUAUUGAUAAAAAAAAUCAAUAAAAAUUAAUUAAUAAUACUUUUAGAAAUGUAAAGAUCUUAUAGAUAUAUUAAUGAAACAAUUUAAAUAAUAACACAACUUAUUGUAUCUGAUGGAACAUUUGAAUUGCUAAAUGAUAAACCUCCUAGUAAAGUAGUCAUUUGACAUUUCAUUUCCCUUUCAAUCUAUUGCUUCAUUUGAUAAUGUAGAGUUUUCAUAUUGUUGAUAUUCGAUUAAUUAACAUUGAGAUUACAAUUCACUUUGAAGUUGAAUGUUAGCCUUUUCUUGUUUUUGGAUAAUGUUAGUCAAAUCUUUCUAUUCUAACUCUACAUCAUUUGUUCUUUUGUGCAUUCUCCACUUGACUUUGAACAAAUUGUCUCUUUAUAUUUUUUUUCUGUCAUGGAUGCACUUCCUAUAUACUUUGUGAGUGAUUUGAUUUUGUUCCUUGUAUAAAUGAAAAAUGUUUAACUAAAGGCGCAUGUACUUUUUAAAUUUAUUCUCCAUACACUUCACCCACAUGUUAACAAAAAAUAAUUAAUAUUUAGAAUAUUUCAAAAUAUUAAAUUAAAUAUGAUCCUCCAUAGAGCUUUCCCAAUUGAACCUAGGCCUUCUCCACCUUAAUAACCUCCAGUUCCACCCUACAUCCUCCCAAGUACCCACUUCAGCCACCAUCUUUCCUUGGUCCAACAAAAUAGAAAACAACCUGGGAAACAGAGUUAUAAGCUUAUUAUUCUCCAACCAUACGUCUUCCCGAAAUCUGACUUUGUCACUAGCUCCAACUUUCCAUUCAAUCGAUUUCUGGAACCAUUCGUCGCCUUCUCCCUCAUCACAAGCCCUAGACAGAUCUCUCCACCACCAAGAAUAAUAAUUACUCGAAUCUUGAGUUCUUACUCCCCCCGUGUAAUACUUGGAUGCUAGAAUCUCUUUCCAUUUCCCCUUUUCCUCACUCAAUAGUCUCCAGUUCCAUUUUGCUAGCNNNNNNNNNNNNNNNNNNNNNNNNNNNNNNNNNNNNNNNNNNNNNNNNNNNNNNNNNNNNNNNNNNNNNNNNNNNNNNNNNNNNNNNNNNNNNNNNNNNNNNNNNNNNNNNNNNNNNNNNNNNNNNNNNNNNNNNNNNNNNNNNNNNNNNNNNNNNNNNNNNNNNNNNNNNNNNNNNNNNNNNNNNNNNNNNNNNNNNNNNNNNNNNNNNNNNNNNNNNNNNNNNNNNNNNNNNNNNNNNNNNNNNNNNNNNNNNNNNNNNNNNNNNNNNNNNNNNNNNNNNNNNNNNNNNNNNNNNNNNNNNNNNNNNNNNNNNNNNNNNNNNNNNNNNNNNNNNNNNNNNNNNNNNNNNNNNNNNNNNNNNNNNNNNNNNNNNNNNNNNNNNNNNNNNNNNNNNNNNNNNNNNNNNNNNNNNNNNNNNNNNNNNNNNNNNNNNNNNNNNNNNNNNNNNNNNNNNNNNNNNNNNNNNNNNNNNNNNNNNNNNNNNNNNNNNNNNNNNNNNNNNNNNNNNNNNNNNNNNNNNNNNNNNNNNNNNNNNNNNNNNNNNNNNNNNNNNAACAAAGAUUUUCAUCCUAACUUUCCAGAAUUGGUUAUUCAAACCAUAGAAAAUAGGUGGUCUGUUGAUUGAUGCACCCUCUCCAUAGAACGAAAGUUGGGGGCUCGAAGACGAUCAGAUACCGUCCUAGUCUCAACCAUAAACGAUGCCGACCAGGGAUCAGCGGAUGUUGCUUUUAGGACUCCGCUGGCACCUUAUGAGAAAUCAAAGUCUUUGGGUUCCGGGGGGAGUAUGGUCGCAAGGCUGAAACUUAAAGGAAUUGACGGAAGGGGCACCACCAGGAGUGGAGCCUGCGGCUUAAUUUGACUCAACACGGGGAAACUUACCAGGUCCAGACAUAGUAAGGAUUGACAGACUGAGAGCUCUUUCUUGAUUCUAUGGGUGGUGGAGAGAAUGAUUAGUAUCUUCUUCUCUAUUAAAUAAAAAAUUAAAUAUAUUUAACUGGAGAGUGGAGAUUUCUUACCUUACUUUUUUUGAUUUAAACUGAUAUUCUCUUUUAUUAAAAUUGUAGAAUUUUAAAAUUGAUUUAAGAAACGGAUUUUAUGAUUCUCCACUACACAUAACCCAUGUAUCCUACUUCCCACUUUCUCUCUCAUGUAUAGGUACCUACUCCCCACUUUCUCUCUCCAACACAUUCUUUUUUUUACCAUACUUUUCAUGUAAAUAAAUAAAUUCAUUCAUUCUCUUACCGCUCUCACUAUUUUAUUAACUUACUCUUUAACAGUAUACUCUUUAACUUCUCAUUUUGAUGUUAUUAAGAGAAAUUGUUUUUGAAGAAUAAAAAGAUACUAAAAAAAGAGAAAUAAAAAAUGCGAAUACACACUACUCUUUAAUUGUAUACUCUUUAACUUCUCAUUUUAAUUUUAUUAAGAGAAAUUGUUUUUGAAAAAUAAAAAAAUACUAAAGAAACAAAAAUAAAAAAUGCGGAUACACAGUGCCUGUGUUCCCACUGGUCUAUACCUAUAUAUAAAGGGAUUCCCCACUUUAACUGCUCUAAAUUGUUUUCCUACUUUAUCCUUGCUUAAUAUUUUGUUUUAUCAAUUUAUUUUGGUUAUUUGGACAUUUUGGAUUCUCCACUUUAACUGCUCUAAAUUGUUUUCCUAUUUUAUCCUUAUUUAAUAUUUUGUUUUAUCAAUUUAUUUUGGUUAUUUGGACAUUUUAUAAUUUUAGAAGUUAAUAAAACAGUUUUUUAAUUUUAUUUUAUUUUAUUUUUUCUCACUACUUAACUCACAGGAGAGUGGAGAAAUGUGUUACUUUUUUGUUUUAAACUAAUAUUCUUCUUUAUUAAAUAAACGUUUUUUAAUUUUAAAAUUUUAUUUUAUUUGUUCUCAUGGGCAGGUGAGUGGAGAAAUUUGUUACUUUUCUGUUUCAAAACUAAUAUUCUUCUUUAUUAAAUAAGCGUUUUUUAAUUUUUUAAUUUUAUUUUAUUUGUUCUCACUAAUGGGCAAGAGAGUGGAGAGAUUGAUACGUUUUAUUAGAGAAGAGUGGAGAGAGAGGGGUGAAAUAUGGGUUUAUGCACGGUUACUUUUUUUAGGCAAAAAAAAUUAUAUAUAAGAAAACUAUGAGAGAGGAAAAAUAUAGAAACAUCUUAAAAACUAUUGUCUGAUGCUAUUUGAUAUUCUUUCUACAAAGUCCCAAGUGCGCGCAAAUUCAAUUUUGGUAUUCUUUCAACAAAUUCAAUUUUUGUGUGUUUUCUUUCAUAUUUCUCAAGCACAAGAGGAAGAAGGGAGAUAGAGAAGAAAUCGAGAAGUUCCAAGUUGUGAUGCUCAGCGUGAGCAAACACUUUUAUUGUUGACCCUUCCAACAUCUAAAUGCAAGCACACACAGUCUUCCUUGGUUGCCACUAUGCCUCCCGCCUCCUCAAAAUUCUAAUUUUGAGAUUCUGAAACAGUGUAUUACUGUUCCUCUUCACAUUUCAUCACAGCCACUUCACUAUGUAUUCUGUCUCCUCAAUGCUUCAAAAACUCUAAUUUUUAGAUUCUGAAAUGUGUAUUGCUAAUUUUCUUCAUAUUUCAUCUCUUUUAUUUAUCUUAUUUUGCUUUUCCUAUUUCUUUAAUGUAUACAUUUUAUUUUAUUUUUUCCAAUAGAGAAGUUUAGUUUAUUUUAUAAAUUAAUAACUUCAAUUUCUUUACUCAUUAAGAAUCAUGUAAGGAUCUAGAAAAUAACCAGAAGUGGUAUAUUUUAAAUGAUACCUGAAUAUUUUAUUAUUAAAAUGAAAAUGACAUAUAAAUAGAAAAUUCAGUUAUUCAGGUUUCAUUUUAAAAUAACCACCAUCUCUCUAAANNNNNNNNNNNNNNNNNNNNNNNNNNNNNNNNNNNNNNNNNNNNNNNNNNNNNNNNNNNNNNNNNNNNNNNNNNNNNNNNNNNNNNNNNNNNNNNNNNNNNNNNNNNNNNNNNNNNNNNNNNNNNNNNNNNNNNNNNNNNNNNNNNNNNNNNNNNNNNNNNNNNNNNNNNNNNNNNNNNNNNNNNNNNNNNNNNNNNNNNNNNNNNNNNNNNNNNNNNNNNNNNNNNNNNNNNNNNNNNNNNNNNNNNNNNNNNNNNNNNNNNNNNNNNNNNNNNNNNNNNNNNNNNNNNNNNNNNNNNNNNNNNNNNNNNNNNNNNNNNNNNNNNNNNNNNNNNNNNNNNNNNNNNNNNNNNNNNNNNNNNNNNNNNNNNNNNNNNNNNNNNNNNNNNNNNNNNNNNNNNNNNNNNNNNNNNNNNNNNNNNNNNNNNNNNNNNNNNNNNNNNNNNNNNNNNNNNNNNNNNNNNNNNNNNNNNNNNNNNNNNNNNNNNNNNNNNNNNNNNNNNNNNNNNNNNNNNNNNNNNNNNNNNNNNNNNNNNNNNNNNNNNNNNNNNNNNNNNNNNNNNNNNNNNNNNNNNNNNNNNNNNNNNNNNNNNNNNNNNNNNNNNNNNNNNNNNNNNNNNNNNNNNNNNNNNNNNNNNNNNNNNNNNNNNNNNNNNNNNNNNNNNNNNNNNNNNNNNNNNNNNNNNNNNNNNNNNNNNNNNNNNNNNNNNNNNNNNNNNNNNNNNNNNNNNNNNNNNNNNNNNNNNNNNNNNNNNNNNNNNNNNNNNNNNNNNNNNNNGAUGAGAAGUGGUUGUGUGAUUUCAGAUGAUGAUUGAUUUAAAGAGCAUAUAUUUGGAAUUAAUUAUGUGUUUUAAGUAAAGUUUGAGAUAUAUUUGGAUUGUUUAGAAAGUUUAUAUAUAUAUGAAGUGAUUGAGUGGUGCAUUGAUAUGUUAAAUGAUGUAUGUAAUGAGGUUAAAGUGUGAUCAAGACGUAGUAUGUUCAGGAAAGGAAAUACCAUGUUGAGAUUGUUAUUAGGGUGUAUUGAUUUGUGAGUGUCCUGUGAAUGAGACGAUCCUGACUCUACUGAUAUAAUGGAAUCAAAUAGAUGAAGUUAUUCAGUUGGUGAGAGUCGAAGGAGGUCCAUUUGGCUGAUUCUGAGGUUUGAAAGGACUGAUCAGAGCAUAUACAAAUUGGGAUUUACCCUGUCAUAUGAAGAUGAUGAGAUAUUGAGAUAAUUAUGUGCACGGCUGUGUGGGUUUCACAGCAGUAGUAUGACAGGUGCAGGUCUCUGGAUGCUAAUUUCAAUACACGAGUCUUCCGGAAGUAGAGUCAAGUGUCUAUGUGUUGUGAGUCAGUAAAAGUCUGACAUAUGAAAGAUGAAUUUUAUGAAUGUAAUAGACUAUGGUUUGAGAAAUCAUAUGAGAAUUGAUGAAUUAUGCUUAUUAAUUUGAAAUUUAAAUUAUAUCAAAACUUUUUAUAUAGAUAGCUUACCCUGUUAUUUGUUUGUGUUUGUUUCUUUAUCUGUGAUGAUCGUGUUUUACAUGGGAGCAGAGAUUUCAGGUGAUAGAGCUCCUUAGCUGGAGAAUGAGAUAAUUUUAUUUAAAUGUUUUGUUUUGUUGUUAAAACUUUUGAUGUAUAUAUAUUAAAUCCCUAUGAAGAGGGAUAUUUCUUUUGAGAUACACAUAUGAGAAAGUAGUAUAUAUUAUUUGUAAUUAGAUAUUGCUUGUUUUACUUUUAUUACAUUAUAUAUGGGUAAAAUUAAGGAUGUUACAAAUCACAUUAUUAAAAUAAUAUUACAUUUGAUUUAUUGUGAUAAAAAAAUAUAAUUAUUUAAUUAUUUUAAACAUAUUUAAUUAAAAAUAUAUAUAUAUUUAUAUCUUCUUCUUCUAUUUAUUUAUAUAUAAAGGGGAUUCUCCUUUUUAACCGCUCUUAAUUUUUUCCCUAUUUUAUUCUUAUAUAAAUAUUUGAUUAUAUUAUGGACAUUGUCAUUUCUUAUUUUCUCUAAAAUAUGUAAUAUAUGUGGAGGAACAAUUUUAAAUUGAAAUAGAGGUUCGAGACGGUUUUGAAUUGAAAAAGUUGUUACUUUUCAAACAGUUGCAUAGAAAGAAGAAUGUCUCUUCAAAUUUGAGAGAAAGAAAAAUAUUAGUGGAAAUACUGGAGAAGAUGAACGGUUUUGAAUUGCAAAAGUGGUUAAUGUGUGUGACAUUCUUUGGAAAUAAAAUUUGUAAAGAAUAAAACACUUAGAAUGAUGAUCAAUUACUCGCAUUGGUUAAACCAAUUCACAAAGUAUAAUAAUUUUACAUAAUAAUGAUAAUGUUAUUUUUUAUUUAUAAUAUACUAUAAAUUUAUAUUGUUAAGAUAAAUGUGCAAAUAAUAAUAUUAUUUAUUCAAAUUUUAAUAUUAAACAUAAAUAUAUAUAUAUAUAUAUAUAUAUAUAUAUAAAAAUGAAAAAAUAAGAAAUGCGGAUACACUGGCGCGUGAGCGCCUGUGUUCCCGCUAGUAUAUAUAAAUUAAAUUAGGUAAAUAAAUCAAUAUCAAUUUUAAUAAUGAUUUAUUUAAUUUAAAAAAAACAUGGUAUACAAAUACAUAUACUUGUUUUAAGUUGCUUAACAUUAGAAUUUAAUUUUAAUGGUCUUGUUAUCUAUAAAAUAUAAAAGUAAAUAAUCACAUUUUGAAAGAAACACAAAUGAAACACUAGUUAUAUUAUCAACAUGCAUUAGAUUAUAUUGUUUAAUUAAACUAAAUAUAAACAUUUAUAUAUUUUAAGAGUCUCAUUAUAUAACUUUUUUACUAUUUUUUUCAUCUUAUUCACUUAAAUAUUAAAACUCUUCUAAUUCUUUGGGCCUAUACCUUCAUCAUGCUCUUCAUAUCUUUUUUUUCUCUUCUAGGUAUUUUGUGUGAGAACUUUCAAAGCAUAAGAUAUAUGUGAUAAUUCCAAAACCUCUAAUCUUAUUUUGUUUUCUGCACUUCUACAUAGCCUUUGUUUUUCACGGUUAGACAUGCUUUUCAUCCACACAAACAAGGAGAUAUUUUCUAUCAAUUUUUUCACCUACAUUUAGGAUAAAAAAUAAUAAUUAAAUAACCAAAAAGUAAUUACUAGUUCUCAAGUUUUCAAAAGAACUACAACAACUAAAAUGAAAAACAAAAGAACUACACCAACUAAAAUGAAAAAGAAAUAGUAUUAUAGCUUGAUUUCAUUCAUUUCAUAAUGGAAAUCUUAGAACUGUCUGUAUUAAAGGAUAUAGAUACCGGAGUUAUAGAAGGAUCCUUCUAUUAAUUUCGGUAUCCAUAUAACAUAUUAUGAGUGGUCCGAUAAUGGUCCAAUUGCAGGUGACUUGAUAAAUCUAACAAACACUCGUUAUGAUAGGUUCAAAAUGACUCUGAUACCAUAUCCUUUAAUAGUCUGACUAGUUAGGAUAAUAUACUUCACUAAUUAAAUGUUAUAAAAGGAUUUAUUUUGAUAAUAAACUUCCCUUCAAAGUGUAGGUUUUAAAUAUCUCUUGUUAAGGAAAGUUAAUGGUCUCAAAUUGCAUAUAUUGAUUGUAUAAAACUAUGAAUGUUAGGAACAUUAGCUCCAGAUCUCCUUAUUUGGUAUGUUUUAUAUUAUGUCAUGUUGGUGGAAUAGUUGGUACAACUUUUUUAGCAGUGUAAUAAAAUGUACCUAUCUGACACCACACAUCUAGGCGGGUUGUAACAGUUAAGAUAUUAGAUAACAUAGGGCCCAAAGGGCCCAAAAUCCAGAGUGAAUAAAGACGUAGAAUGAAAUCUACUAAGAUUUAUUUUUUUCUGAUAAAAAAGAAGAAAUCUACUAAGAAAACAUUCGAUGUUGUUCUUAAAUUUUUAUAGCACACAUCAUAUGAUAUUAUUCUUCUUAUACGCUAAUAUCAUCAUGGGAAACUGACAAGCUUAUAGCCACAACAGGGUCUAAAAGUUGUGAAUAAGUUCUGGUUGAAAGAAUGUAGGGAAACAUUAGUACAUAUGUUUUGGAUAUCUGAUAUCCUUAAAAUAAUCUGAUGUAGGGGUAAGUUAUUUUCAUUUUUUUUAUCAGAAAUAAAAAAUUAAUAAAUAAUAGUAUUUAAAAGAUAUUCUAACAAUUAUACAAAAAGUUAUAUGAAGUAGUCCAACAAAAAUUUCUCUUACAUAUAAUCUUAAAAUGAAUUCAGCAAAAAAAUUUCUUACAUAUAAUUAAUCUUAAAAUGAAUCCAGCAAAAUCUAUAGUAGAAAUCUAAAAAUAUAAUUAAAUAUAGAAUAAGUGUUAAGCUCAAGUAUUAGUCAAGGUUAUAAAAAACAGAAAGAUGUCUAAGCCAAAAGAUCUUUUAAACCAUCUAUCAUAUUGCUGCCUAAAAUCUUUAUAAAAAAAAAAAUACUACCUGAUCUGGAGCAACUGCUGCAUCUGUACCAUGCUCAUGUGAAAAUAGGAGUUCAGAAUGACAGGAUAAACAUGGAUGAGUUCAUAGAACAAGAAUUUGUUCCGAUGAUACCACAAUAGAGAGGUUCAACAGAUUCACUCUGGAAAGGUUCCACAUUAAUUUUGUGAGUAGUUUGUAUUGUUAUACCACUUAUUAAUGUUAAUAUUUAGAUCUCUUACGAUUAAGUAACUAAUGAAUUUCAAGCAAUGGCAUUAAUGUAAUUAAAUUAUAAAUAAUUUCUCAAUUAUUUCUUACCAAUAAUUUUUACUUUGUUAUAAUUUUAAAAAUCAUUUAAAUAAAAAUUACAAAUGAUUAAUAAAUAUGACGAACUUGGUAUCACUAUUUUUUUUUAAAGAAUUAAUUUAUCGAGGUUAUCUAAUUUUGUUAUUUUUUUUAUUUGGACUGAGACAUCCUUAAAUGUCUAUAGUAAUUUAUCUAUUUAUUGUGGAUAAAAAAUGACAAACUAGUUAUUAUGUUAUUUAUUCCUACUCAUUAAUAAUCAUAUAACUAAAAUAUCCAUUAUUAGUAUUUACUGAUAAAAUCAGUUUCUUAUGGUUUUGCAUUAAGUCAAGUUAAACACAAAUUUGUAAUCCACAAUCAAGCUAAAACUACUUUUAAUGACCACCAUUUUUUUACAUCUGGAACAUGAAUAUUUCAAAAGAUCAAACUAAACACAAUCAGAUAUCUUAAACACACCCAAGACAUGGUUUAUUUUUUUCUGUACUCGAAGUGAUAUUCUAUUUCCAAUCAUCGAGAUUUAAACUCUUAGCAUCAUCAAAGGCACAUAACAGACCCAAAUUACUACCAACCAAUGAGAUGAGACAUAUCAGUAGAAAUACAAGGGUAUAAUUUAGUCUCUACAUAUAUUACUUGUUCUUAAUUUGGUCCUAAUAUAUAUAUAUAUAUAUAUAUAUAUAUAUAACAUUUUAUUUAAUUUCUAGAUACAAAGAGCUCAUAGAAAUAGUUAAACACGAAUAUUUGACAUCAAAUAAAGUUGGAAACCCUCGUUAGUUUUAAGUUCUCCAUACCAAAUUACUUAUUGCAGUAAGAACCUCAAAAUCAAAACCUUUAGAUAUUGAUUCAGUUAUUCCAAAACACCUGAACGUAUUUCAACUCUGCCCAAUCUUUUCAAAAUCAAAAUCUUUCUCUUAACCAAAGUUUGGUUCACUGAAAACCAGUGCACAGUAAAAUAUAAGAUAAGAUUGAAUGAGAAAAAAAAAGGUGUAAUAGAAGGAUUCAAUUAGUUUCUGCAUAUACAAAAGAUGGUGUAAUAGAAGGAUUCAAUUAGUUUCUGCAUAUACAAAAGAUGAAUGAAUGUGGUUUUUUUGAACAAAUAACAAUGAAAUUAAAUAAGACUAUUUUAGGACGGUCAAACAAUGAUGCUCUCAAAUAAUUUUUUCCAUUUACAUAUCUCGAUUAAUGAAUGUGGUAAGAUAUAAUAGACGAAGUUAAUUACGCAAUGAUUCAAUGAGAUUGUUGUGUUUAGUGAAAAUUAUUAAUUUAUGAAUUAGAAGCAACAUGACAUUUCUGAAAGACUAAAAUAAAACAAUAUUUUAGGAAUUGUUGUUCCUUUUCCAAUUAAUUGUUGUGUGAGGAGAUCAGUCAAUUCCCCCACUUUAAGUCUAUAUUUUGUUUUCUAUUAAGAGAUUCCCUGUACACAGGGACAUGCCAAAAUCUCUUACACAACUUCUUUUUGUUCUAUAUAUCCUCCUCAGUUAAGCUUUGUAUCUCCUCCUUCCUAAUUUCCACUGUUCCUUAUACUGGUUAUGUACUAUAUUACCAAAACUCUAAUUAUUCCACUGCUUCAACUUUCUUUUUAAUCCCUUCAAUUUCUCCUUCCGAAUAAAUCUUAUUGUCUCUUGAAUAUUAAUUUUCUCUCCCCCUUCUUGACCAUAUCUUUGAAAUUUUUGUCUUCUAACCUACCAUCUAACAUCCUAAGUGGGUUAGGUCCCAAUUUUGAACUUCAACCUUCAAAAAUAAUAUAAUAAUGGUAUGAUAUAUCUAUAUUCAAUACAUAUUGUGCAUUUGUGUGUUCUGAGCAUGUAUUUCACUUUAUCUGGAAGACAAUUUUGAUUAAAUGAAAUAAUAAUAAUAAAAUAUUACAAAUUUUGAAAAAAAAAAUGAAAAAUUUAAUAGAUCUAUAUUCGAGCGAGUUUUUUACAUAAUCUUUUCACCCAUUCUCACCAAUUUGUAAUAAUGUGACCAAUUAUUUUAUCAGUGGUAACUAAUGUAAAGUUUAGUUUUUUACAGUUAUAAUGGUCCAAACAAUUGUAAUGCAGCAGUGGUUAAUCCAAGGAAGGAUAUGGUGAUGGAUUCUGUGGGGAUAGUGGAUGAGCAAGGUGAGAGGAACAUCCAAAUCAAUGUCAAGCCAAGAUAUUGUCACAGGACUAGAAAUGAGAGAAGCCAAGAUGUAUUGUCCCUCUCUUCUAGGUGUCCAGGAUUCAUAACUGCACUGCAUUGUUAACUGUAAAAUCUCAUUGCUUCCAAUAAACCACUGUUAACAUCUCAUCUUUAUCGAUAUGGCGUGUCAAAGUUAUAUAACUUAAUAUGGAUAAAAUAUUUUUGUUUAAAAAUAAUUAUUCUGAUUUAUAAUAUAGAAUUGAUUUAUAUGGAUACUUUUGGGAUGGAAGUAACUAUUUUCCUUUCAUAUGCUUCUGCAUCUCUUUAAUUUCCUUUCAUUAAUUAGUUAUGUUACAAUCUUAAAACAAGUACCAAAAACGUCCACUAGCAUACAUUCCUCUAACACUACAGCAUAUAGAGUUUUGUUAACGACCAGCAUUUAAAAAGUGAGCUAAAAAUGAUAAUUUCCUGAUAUUUUAACGUUUUUAAUAUAAUUUUAUCAUCCAUUUGAAUUAUUUUACUUAAUAUUAUCUGUAAGAGAGUAUGUCAUGUCUUGUAGCAUUAAAAUAAAGAAUUUGGUUUUGCCAUCUGAACAGCCAAUACAAUGGUGGUGGCAGUCUGAUAAUAGAGUAUCAAGCAGUGACCUUGAGCUCAAGCAGUCCUAUUUUCAAAUUGUUUCGAAUAUUCUUCAUCUGGUUUAUUUAUAAAGUCUGCUUCUUUUUGCUUCUUGUAUUAUUGGCAUCUUUUUCUUUUAUCAGCAGUAUUCUCCACAUCUUGUUCUUAAUGUGUUGUAAGAUUUGGCCUUUUGGAAUGAUUUUUUAUUUAAGUGUGUUUGAUGAAAGUUUAAUGAAUAAGUGUGGUUUGGGGUCUGGGGUCUGAGACUCUGUAUUCCUUGAGUUAUGAACAGUUUAGUUAUUGAACACUUGCUUUUUCUGAACGAAUGUUAGUCCCUGAACCUUGUUUCUCUUUGAAUUUACCUAAAGAAUUAGGGCAUUCAAUAAGGAAUAAAGGCUUGUAUUAAAUAAUCUAAUAAAUAUAGUCAUAAAUGAAACAAAUAAUCAAAUUUCACUUAUUAAGUGAAACUAAAUGAAACAUAAUUAACUUCAAAGUCUUAAUCAAUAUGAAAUUAAAUACUGGCUGGGUUCAUGAUAUAUAAACAUAUCUUAUUUUGGUAUUUUAAAUCCUUUAUUUUAUUUUGAAGUUCCUAUGUUCUCUAUCUUUUAAAUUUGGGUUAUGAAAUUAGAAAAAAGAGAUGAUUUUUAAAAAGACAGGGAUCACAUGCCUGCUUUCCGCUGGUGACAUAGUAAAGCUCCAAGCUGAGAGAGAGGAAGAGAAACAAAGAUUUUGGCUUGUACCGAGCUUGGUUUUUCAUGCGUUACUAGAGCCUAAGAAACCUAUAUUCAUCUUACCUUGCCAUUUGUAUGUGCAUUUCUGUUUGUUCCUCGCCAUGGCUGCCACGUUAAUUCAUCUGUAGAGACCACAGCUGUGCCCCUCACACCCUCUUCAUAAUGACAGUCAAAGAUGCCAAUUUUCUGCACCCAUCGGUUACAAAUUGGAAAAAAACAGGCACAAUUAAGUAUCUCUUUCAUUCUAUUAAAUUUCCAAGACUUCUAGUGAGGUUGUGUGUUCUUUGUGCAAAGCCUAAAGAUGAAGCGUCACGCAGCAGCAGCAGCAGCACCGCCAGUGGAGAAGAGUGACAAGAUCGAGAAACCAUUAACACCACUGACUCCUCCUCCCAAGCUUGAAAGGAAAAAUUCCAUUGAGGCUGAACCUAAAACUUUACUUCAGGAGGAAAUGGACAAUGCCAGGGUUUGAUCAUUCUCUUUGUUAUAAUAAUAAUAAUUAUUAUUAUUAUAAUUGUACUUUAAUCUUUCUCUGUACUGCUCCAAAAUCCAAUUAAUUUCUUCCAUUUUUUCUUUAUUCUUAAAAUUCUAGGAGGCAGCCCUCAAAAUCCUCAAUUCCCACACUAAGGAGGAAGCUCUGAAAAUAUUCCUGACGGUAAUUGAAAUGAUUUCUUAGAUUUGGUAAUAAUGAUUUACUUUUAUUUCAGCAGAUCAUCAGAACUUUUCUUUUUAUGGGGUACAUGCAGAUCUAUUUACUCUUAAGGAUCUGUGUAACAAGCACUGUGCUAGUGAAUGACCGAUUCUUAAUUAGCUUUAUAUGAUUGUUAUAAUUGUAAAUACUGCUACUAGUUAACUUUGAUGGAAAAGCGAAAUUAAGGUAAAAUGUUGGAAGCUAAUUAUGUGUUCAUUGUGUUUUUUUUUUGGUAUUAGGGUUUGAUGCCGGUGGAAACAAGCUCAAGGCAGGUGAAAAAGGAUGUUGUCGUGUCCGACUGUGAUGACAACGAGUGAAGCAUUAUUCUGUGAUGGUGUUGGAAAUCUGAAGUCUGAGGAGUGUGCUUAUGUCUGUGUGUUUCUUUGGUUUAGUGUUUUUGCUGUUGUGGUUUAAAUUAUGAAACAGUUCAUUUCCUUCAGUUGAGAAUGUUAUUGUCUUGUUGUUCUGAACUAAAUAAAUUUCCCAUUUGACUUCUUCUGUAUCACUUUAUGAUCUCUAUUUCAGUCUUAGAUUAAAAUUUACCCAGUUCUUCCUCAGCAAGCAUUAAAGGCUCUUUAAUCACUGAUAAUACCAUAAAUGCAGUAAAUUUUUCUAUGCAGUAGUAUUCAAUUUGAAAGCUCUACUACUAAAGUCAAAUUUCAAAAAUUUAUAAAUUAUUAUCAUUCCCAAGGGAGUAUAAUAUUGCAUUAAAUAAGGUUUGUGGCGAGUAUAGUGAAAACUAAAUCCAUAGGUGCAGAGGGAUAUGAUAUGAAGAUAGUUGUGGAAAAAAAAAAUCACAAUAACCUUCACUCCAUAUAUUAUUAAGAAGGGGCUAUACAUCUCUUAGAAAAUUUUGAUAUAUGGAAGAAACACAUCUCAACAAGGACUGAACUGCUGGAAUAAUGCAUAAUACAAAGCUUAAUUUAUAUAAGCAAUCUAAAUGUUCAAUUGUAAAUUUUAGCUGCCAAAAGGAACACAUGAAAAAGAAAGAAGUGGCUCUCAAGUCCCAACUAAUUUACAACAGUUUCUGUUUUUUUAAUAUCACAAUUCACAAAGGAAGAAGUUGAAUCGGUUUUAAAGUGGAUUGCAUGAUGUUAUACUCGUUUCCAAUGUCAAAAGAAUGAUCUUCUUUUGAAAAAUAUAUUUCUAUGAGUAUAAUGAAAAAGAUUUUACAAGGGUAGGUUUAGAAUAACUAAUAAAAAGAUUAAUUAUUUAUUAAGAUAAUUAGAUUAAGAGUAAAUAAAAUAAGACAAAGAAAAAUAGUUUUUUAUAAGUAUUUUGAAGUAAUUGAUGUCACAUCUAAUCUUUUAAACUAUUAAUUAUAUCGAAACAAUACCUAUAAAAAAUCAUUCAUGGUAGUGUGAAGUGAGUUUUUUAUAUAGAACUGAAAAUUGUAACUUAAAAUUUCUUAAACUUGAAUCUCAAGAAAAAAACAUGCAUGAUGUAAAUGUUUUUCUUUUCUUGAUGUGCAAGAACUUAAAAGAGGAAUAUUCUAGUUAAAUAACGAGGAUGAUUGUAUUUCUCUUUCCCAUCAAUGCUUCAUCCAGCAAAUCACUAGAUAAGGGUGGCAAUUCAACUGUAGCACUACAACAGACUCUUGUUAAGUCAUUUUGAGAUCAAGUCCUUUAGAAAAAAUCAUUAUUAUGUUUCUAGGAGAAGACUAAUACUUCUUCACAAUUUAGUUCUGAAGACAAUGGUGCUUGAGUUGAGUUGAGAGAAAAUCUCACAACCUUCAGUUAUAUAUAUAUAUAAAAGGGUUGGAGAUACAUAAUAUUAUAACAUUUCCAACCUUUUUAUAAUAUUUUUAAUUCACAUGAGUUUCAAACUUAAUAAAUCUUUUAUUUACUAAGUGACAGUAAUAUAUGUUUUCAAAACUGAAAUUUUAUUCUUUUGAUAUAAGAUUUUGAACUACCAUACAUGUAUACUGGUGAGGUCAUAAACACAUUAUGACUCUUAUAACAGAGAUUCUUACUUUAACUUAUAUCAUAGUUAAGAGAAUGAUAUUGACCGAUAAAAGUAGGUGAAUUAUAGUACAUUACAAUUAAAUCCAAAAUAAAAAAUAGUUUAGUUGGAGUGAAUGAUCUGGAGANNNNNNNNNNNNNNNNNNNNNNNNNNNNNNNNNNNNNNNNNNNNNNNNNNNNNNNNNNNNNNNNNNNNNNNNNNNNNNNNNNNNNNNNNNNNNNNNNNNNAUAUAUAUAUACCUCAUUCUUAUACUUAUAUAUACUUCACUGUCUACAGCAUUGUUGUCUUGUCUAACAUUUUCUCCUUCAAACAUUUCCUAAAAGAAAUUCAUCAAUGGUAUUAAGCAGAAGACCAGCAAGGUUUAAAAAGCCUGAUUUCAUGCAGGUCAAACCAAUUAGUCAAGAAAAACUGGACCUGUUAAGGGUAAGGAUGUAAAUGAUGAUAGUUUGAUUUUUGUUAUUAAUUAUGGUAUAUAACUUCAUACUUGUUUUGGAUUCAUAAUGAUUCGUAGGCUGCUGCUGCUCGUGUUUAUAUUAACGAGCAAAAUCCUGCAGAGAAAUCCUCGGUAAGUGUUUCAAUAUUUAAAAGAGAAAUGCUUUUGAUUGGAGAAACUUCAAGUUAAAGUACUGGCUGAAUUGUUUUUAUAAAUGUGGUUUCAGGAAGUGAAUAGCGUAGGUGUUCCUGGAUCUGCAAAUGUGAGGGAGGAAGCAGAAAAUGACAAUGGAGUGCAACUGCUGGCAGCAGUUGCCACUGAACUGAAGAGGACUAAUGAUAAAAAAGUGAAAUCAGGUGUGAAAAAGAUCAAUCUGAUCUCUUGUGUUGAGAAAUAAUGCUAGAGAGAGCUUUUCCAUGUUAAAUGUUAAAUGUUAUAAUUCUAUUGGCACAUAUAGAUUUUAACUUUGAUGGAUUCAUAUUUGAAAUCUUAUCUUUGUCAAAUUAUUUCUUCUUCCCUUUUUCCUAAAAGACUUCUUUUGUUGGUAGAUGAAUGAAAGUUAUUUAUGAUCAAACAACAUUUGUUAUAUUACAUUUAAGUUUUAUGCCAUAAAAGAAUAUAAUGAUUUUAAACUACAGUAUUUUGUUUGUUAUCAUCUCUUUAAAGAAAAAAAAUGAAAAAAAAAACUAUAUCUAUUUUGUUUUGUUAAAGAAAUAACUGGAUUAUUAUUUAUCUCAUAAUUCCUAUUAGAAUUCUUCAAUUAAUACACAUGCACACAAAUGCACUUAAUAUUAUAAAUAAAUAUUUUAUCAUUUUUUCAUCUAAUUAAGUAAUAUAUUAACUUUAUAAGGGAACACACAAUUUGUUAAAAUAUAUUUAUUAUAAUAUUUAUUCAACUAUAUUUUAUUUUAGUCAAGUAUUUAAACAUCACUAACCUGAUACUAUUCUAAGUUAAAAAGGAAAAAUUAAAUCGACUUGAUUAUUUAAUAUAAUGUUUUCAUGUUAACAUCCACAUUUCUAUAAAAUAUAUAAAUUUAUAUUAAAAUAUAUUUUGAAAUGAAUAAUAACAUUAUAAAUGGAACAUGAUACCUGGAUGAGUCCCAACUCUUGAGAAGAUAAGAGAUCACUUCAUUAAUUUAAUAAUAACAAUUUUAGAAAAUUGUAAUAAAAAACUAUAUUUUAUAAAUUGUGUGCAAAAUAGUUCAAUUAUGACAUAUAAAAAAUUUCACUAUUAUCAUAAACCUAAAAAUGUUAGCUUAUUUAACGACAGGACAGGAGUGUAAUUUUUUUUAACUCAAACUAAAUGUUAUAUUAUUAUAUUUUUCAGUCAUAUUUCUAUUCUAUAAUACUGAAAUGGAAACCAAAUACAUUAGUCUUUGACUUAUCUUUGUAAAGUUAUAUUUAUUUUGAGAUUGUUUUACCUUGUAAAGUUAUAUUUUGAGAUUGUUUUACCUUUAAAAUCUAGUAGUUUGAUUUUUCAUAUUUGUAGAUUAGGUGAACUUCCAAGAUUUGAUUAUAUAGUGUAACAUUUUAAUUCUAAAUUAACUUCUUGUAAGUUAAGACUUCUAAUAUUGUAGAUUAUUUUGUCUCAAUCUAUUUAAUCUUCCUUAUAUUGAUUUCCAGAGUGGGUAUUUAAAGUAGAAUGGAUUCCAUUAACAAUAAGUAAUCUGGAAUGAAAAACUAAUGAGAUGGCUGAAGAUGAACAAAUAAAGAGAUUUAUAAAAAUCCAAUAUCUAAAUAUGGAAUGAGACAUGUAUAGGUGGUGAUGAAUAAUUGAGAAAACAAGAAGAUUAUAUAGACAAUACUUACAUAAAAAGAGAGUGAUUUAUAUAUUGAGAGUUUAAAUGAUGGUAGAACACCAAAAUAACUAAUUUGUGUGAGGAACCAAUUUUUCCAUAUGAUAUACUUUAUUUCUUUCUUACCAUUCACUUUGAAAUUUUGUCUAUUGUCCACAUAUUUUGUAAAUAACUUGAAAUUCUAGAUCUUGAUUUUGUUUAGAAUACUUUUUAUUUAGCAACAUUGGAGAACAUCUAGAAUUGAAGUAAAAUAUUAAUAAAGUAAUUACCAAUAAGAAAAUAUAUUCUAAUAAAGUAAACAAUGAGAAAUACAACAAAAACUUUGUUUUUUUCUUAAGCUAUUAUAGAUGCAAACAGAUCUAAUAAAGACAGAGCUAAAAACAUAAUUACAGAUGAAUAAGAAUAUAUAAAUAAAUAAUAUUUUCAAAAUAUAUUCUCUAUCAGCAGUGUUAUUGUAUCUGACACUUUAUUUUAUAAUAUCUUUAGCAAAAAAAAAAUCCAAUAUUAAUUAAAAAUUAAAUUUCUAGUACAAGUAAAUUCUCACCACUAUUACAAUGUUAGAAGAUAUUUAGUUGACAAUAUAUAAAAGACAUCACUAUGUAAGAAUUUGACAAUGCAUAUUUUUUUUAAUCAAAUGAAAAAUUAUAUCUUAUAUUAUCCUACACAAUAAUCUAAUGCAAACAAAUUUAUGUGACUAAUCUCACUUUAAAAUUGAAUAUACAUGUAAAAAUAUUCUAAAAUUCAAGUUAAUCGAUGUGUUAUUUAGUUUGUAAGUUUAGAAUUAAAACAGUCAUUACUUUGCUGAUAAAAAAAAAAAAAAUCAAUCGACAACCUCUUUUAUUUAUAUCUAUUGGACUUUUUUCUUUACUAGAAUUAGCUUAUAUCUAUUGGACUUUUUUCUUUACUAGAAUUACCUUAUAUUUAUUGGACUUUUUUUCUUUACUAGAAUUAGCGCAUGUCCAAUGCUCUUAUUUGUGUUUAUAGUGGUUAAUUAGGUUUUAUCUCUUAAUCUUUGAAUUAGGACAUAUUAAUCUUAGUCAAGAGAUUGAAUUAUCAUCAUCCUCAAAUUACUCAAUGUGCAAUUUAGUUUGCAAGUUUAUAUUAAAAGAGUCAUUCCCUUUUAUCUACUUCAUGACAAUGCUUGCUAUUGUGUGUCUGUACUUGUAUUCUACCAAUGUUGGAUUUGAUUUCAGACUUGUUAAUGGGAGGAACCAAUCUUUCAUGUGCUCAUCAAAUCACCAAAAUUGGGUGUUGUGAUGUUAGAAAUACUCUGAAGGACUUCCUUUUUGCAUGUAAUAUUUUUUUUUCUUUGCCGCUGUUUUGUCUGAUCGUGGUUUUUAUGAGAAUGUUUUUGUACUAAUACUAGAUUAAAUGUGGUUUGUAUUCGAGGUUCUCGUGUCUCAAACUUUUUUUCAAAGGUUCGAGCAUCUCUUUUAUAUUUUUAUUUAUUUUUUAUAAAAAAAUAUAAAAAUUAUUAAUCUUAAUACUAAACACCUUACUUUUUUUUUAAUUAUUCAAUGAGAAUUUUUUUUAUCAACAAUAAAAUAAUAUAUAUAUAUAUAUAUAUAUAAUAUCACUUUAAGGGUGAUCUAACCCAUUUACAUAGACAAAGAUAACCUAGUGAAAACCAUUAUAAUCUAACCUCAAAACGUCUGUCACAUUAAUACUCAAAAACUAUCAUUGUCAUAAAACAAAAACCAGUGCAAUUAGAGAGGAUAAAAACAAACUAAAGGAUCAAUACACCAGUCAGAAAAAGAAAAACAAACAGAAGAAUAUUUAGUAGAUAUCCAAGACUAAACAUUCAAUUGAGCCAAAGAGAAAAUCUCAGAAUAAUCUAGAACUCCGUCUUUAAAAUUAAUCUUAUUCCUGUGACUCAAAAUCUCACUAAUCAUCGCAAUUCAAAUAUUCCUCAUCCUUAAUAAGAUCGACUCGGAAGCAUUAUGCAACCAAAAUUGCAAAAAAUGGGAGUGAGCCUGAAUGGGGGCUACCGAAGAGAUGCCUAGCCAACCAUAACAAAGAUUCCACACCAUCCAUAAAAUUCUACAUUCAAAAAACAAAUGACUUACCUCCUCUUCUUUAGUCCCAUAGAAGCAACACAAAACACUUUCGACCGCAAUCCCAUGUCUAUGUAAUUCGACCUUAGUAGCAAUUAUAUUUUCCAGAACCCUCCAAGCCAUAACCUGGCCUUAAUCUUCCAAAACCAAUUAAACAUUCUCUAAGAAUUCCAUAAACCGAGUUAACUGAGAAUUCUUGAAUUUUAUUAAUUUUCCAAAUCCACCUAUCAACUUUCUCCAAGACCGGACACGAGUCAUACACUAUCUCGAAAAGUUGACAAACCUGGUCCUUCUCCCAAUUAAAAAGAUUUUUUCUCCCAAUUAAAAAGAUUUUUUUUCCAUGCCAGACCACUUCCUUAGAUAUAGUGAAGAAAUUUAACUCUAAAUUAGUUUACACUGAUACAUUAAUUUAUAUAUACUCAUUUUAUAUGUAUAUUUGAUCAAAGGAAGGGAGAAGAACAUUAGUAUGUUGACAGAAGAAAAGAUACAAAAAAAUUGAACUACUGAUGAGUUUGGCACCUAUAUGAAGUUUAAAAAUCUGAAGAACAUCUCAAUAUCUAGUAUAAAGUUAAACAUGAGGGAAGAGAUAUUAGAAUAAAUAAAUAAAUAUAAUGGAGAAUUCAAUGAGGAAAGAGAAGAUAUAAAUUAAUUUUCUUUUUCAUUUAAAGCUAUGAAUUGUAAUAACAAUGUAACUGAAAUUAUAUUAAUUAUCUGAGUAAAUAUAUUAAUAUAUUUCAUUUUUCAACUUUUAUUUAUUUAUUUUCUUAUCUUAUCUCAUUACUUAUUAUAUUUCUAUUUCUCAUUACUUAUUUUUUGUCUGAAUAAUGCUAAACUUUUUAUAACUAUAUCUAUGGUUCCCUCUGACAUUCUUUAAUCUAUAGGAAUACAUAUUCUUUUUUCCAGCAUACCUCUUCUAAAGUAGCUGUUGUACUCCAUUACUAUGGCAUGCAGCAGACGCCUGCCUCCUUCUCCUCUAGGAAGGAACAGUUCUCUCCACCAAACUCUCCACAUGGUAGAUGUAUAAGCUAAUUGUUCCAAAUUUUCAAUUUCUAAAAAUUCAUUGCUGCUUUCAUCUUAAUUUUGUGUAAUUGCAUGCAUCUAAUUAUAAGUCUAUUUCUUUGACUCACUCAUUUGGAAUUCAUUCACACAGGGGCUGAUUAAUUUUGAAGAAUAUUUUUUUAUUAUAUUAUUUAGCUUGUUACAGAGAUGAAUUAUGGUCAGGAGAUUGCCAAAUAACAAUUUUUGCUUCUGUAAGAGUCACAGCAGAAUUUAAUAAAUCAAUAGAAAGAUGUGAUCGAUAUUUGCCUUUUCCCCCUUUUGGUAAGGAAUUUUAUUGUGUAAUUAUUUCAUGGUUCUUGCAGGAAGAGAAGCAUGCCGAGGCAAAAAUUGAAAACCCAGAGAAAGCAUGUGGUAAGGAUGGUGGAGUCAAGAAGAAGAGGACAAUGUGAGUAGUAGUAUAUUGCAUCAGCCUAAUGGAGUAUGAACAAGUCUUUAUUUAGCAGAUUUUGUUUGUUUUCAUGAAUUGGCUAAUUGAACUUUAGUUUCAAUUAGGAAUAUUUGCCUGUUAGGAAAAUCCUAAUCCGUGAGGUGAUGAAAAAGUAUUGAUACGAAGUAUAAUCUUCAAUGAGACAGUUGAUGGAUUUUAUAGACUUGGAAAGUGAGAAAAAAAAAACUGAUUUAACUCAUAUAUGUAUUGUGCAGGAGAAGAACAAGGUCUAAAAGGCCAUGUUUGGUGCAGACUAAAUCUUGGCAAGAAAAUAUGAAAGUGUUAAGGGUAAGGGUAUAUGAAUUAUGAUAAAGUUUCUUGUAAUGAUUUCUUUUAUUAAUUAUGAUAUUUAAUUUGGUACUCUUUUUCUUUUUGUUCUUGAUAAUUCACAGGCUGCUGCUGCCUGUGUUUAUAUUAACAAGCAAAAUCCUGAAGAAAAAUCAUGGGUAAGUGUUUCAGUAACUGGAUAUAAAACGCUUUGCUCUUGAUCAGAAACUUAAAGUUUAAGUAGUGGUUUCAGGAUGAGAAUGCAGGUGCUUCUGGAUAUGCAAAUGUGAAAGACUUUGAAGCAGAUUGUGACAAUAUUGGAGUUCAUCUGCUGGCAGAAGUUGCCACUGGACUUAGUUUGGCAGUGGAAGAAAAAGAGGAACAUGGUAUCGGAAAAAAAGCAACAUGAGAGAUCUCUUUGAUUUUGAGAAAUAUCAAAAAAUCUGCAGAACAAUGCUUGAUUGAGUCCUCCAUGUUAUCUAGUAGUUUAGAUACACCAAUAAAGAAAGAGGUGAAAGAAAAAAUUAUAUAUAUGAUUUGCAUAAUUUUUUUAUGCAAUAGACUAUCUCUUCAUAUUUUUACAAAUAAAGAAUUUAUGUGGAUAUAUGAAUUUGAUGUGUGCGGAUACACCGAAGUCACUUAAAACUAUCAUAAUAAUUUCAACAUUUCUCAUCGUUUAUUUGUUGUUAUGUAACAUUCUCCUCUUUCUCAAGACAAAAGGCUUCCCAAGAUGUUUUCUGUGGGUCGGAUACCACUGUUUAAACGAAACAACUUCCCCCACAGAGGCAAUAAAAUUUUAAUAAAAUAAUUACCAAUAAAAAUAUUAAUAAAUUAAUUAUUGACAAAUAUAACAAACUUAUGUCAUUCUUAGUGUUACCCCAUUUAGAUACAAGUCAAAAUUAAUUGAUUGAGUGAGUUUUUAAACAUUAAAUAUAGAUUUUUUAUAAAAAAAUAACUCUCAAGUUUUCUAAAAUCAUCUUUUAAAGCUUUGUAUUCAAACGUACUCAGCCACCACAUAAGAUACAGAGAGGUUAAAAAUUAAUUUUUUUAUCAACAAUAAAUAAAUUAAAGGAACAAUAUCAGAAAAAUAAUCAAACACAAAAAAAACUAUAUUUUUUGGAGUUUUAAACUUAACUCAUAAAAAUAUGAAGGUAUAAUUUACUCCUACAACACAAAGCUGAAAGCUGCACCUAAAAAACUUUGCAAUACAAGCAAUUGUUAGAGGUAAAUUCCGUCAAAAAUUAAAUACUAAUACCGGGAAGAGAGAAAGAUGAAAAAAAAUUUGAAAAGAGAAGAAAAAGUAUCUGACAUAUUCUUUCGCCAUAGAGUUGUGUAGCUAUCAGUGUGGAUUUUGGAGUGGCAUGCUCUUUAUUGUUAACACAACCAAGCAAAUAAAAUGUCUUUAUUGGCUAAGUGAACAUUUUGGAGGACAUGCAAUUUCUCUACACUGCAGCAUGAAAUGGAUGGAUUGGUGUCUUUUCAAAGUUUAGUUAUUAGGCUUAUAUACAUGCAAUUUGAUGAUUUGUUGUUUUUUAUGGCCUAUUCAAGUUUAAUUUUUCUAUAUUUGUCUUCUACAGAACCUGUGUUGAUGCUCUUUCUGUUUCCUUUUUUUAAUCUAUUCAGUGAUCUUUACUUUAAGGUACACAUUAAGUCAAAGACAAUUUAUUUUUAAUAUAUAAAACCUAUCCCCAGAAAAUGUGUAAAUAUGACUUCCUUUUGUAGUGAUAUUUUUUGACUAAAAAAAGUGUAUCCUUAUGCCCUAAUAAAUGUUUGAUAAGUAUUAGAUAAUUCUAGAGACAGAUAAAAAAUUUGUAUUAAAUAUUGACCCACAUAGAAUUACAGGAUCACUUGUUAUCAACAACAUGCAGGAAAAUGUUUUUCUUUUUUGUGUAGGUACGAGGCUGGAGAUUAACCAUGGAUAUGGAGGUUCUAUGCAACAUUUGGUUCCAAUAAACCUUUUAUAUAAGCAAGGUCAUUCAUACCUCAAGCUUUUUGUUUUUUUGACUACUAAGUUCAAUAUAUUUUUUUUUUUUGACUACUAAGUUUAGUACAAGCUAUCUGUUUCUAUAUCUAGGUAAUAAUAAAUGUAGUUUUUUCAGUUGAAGAAUUUGUAGUUUAGAAGAUAUUUUUGGGGUUAUGCAAGAAUCAUAACAUGUAUAGGAUAUAAUAGAAUUGGAGCAUUCUUAAAAUGCUGCAUAUUUAUUUAUUGUUGAUAAUAUGUUUUUUUAUAAAAAACUUGAAAAUGUAAAUGAUUUUGUUUUAAUUAAAUGUAAAUUUGUAUAACAUAAUAACAUCUUAUAUCUUGUUAUUUAGUGCACACAAUUUGUUUUUAUAGUGGUUGACAAUUUUCGAUAUGCAUUUAUCUUUGAAUAUAACUGAAUAAAAAAAUAUAAAAAAUAAGUUAACUAAUAAUCUCUUUCUUAUUUAUAUUUUCAAAAUUAGAUUAAAGUUCUAAACCUACAAUUAGUUUAUUGAAUUGUUUUAAAGGUGUUAACUGAUAACUUUAACGUAUUAAACAUGUUUUGGGUUAUAAGUUCUAACUCUGGUUUGCAUAAUUCAUCACCUUAUAUUUUAUAUAAGCAUUAUAUAUACACUUCAAAUUGUUGUGAUAAAAAAUGUAUUUGAAAGUAACAAAAUGAAGUUUAUAUCCAACUUAUUGGAAAUAACCAAAAAAUAUAGAAAUAGAAGAAAAUUUAAAAGCACCAAAUAAUGGUUUAUAUAUGGUCUGAACUAAAAUUAUACACCGGAAAAGUAUACAUUAAGGAUGGAGAAGUGAUGGUAAUAAAAUAAAAACAAAGUAUUCAAAAUGUAACCGAUGAUGAUAAGAUACAAAUUUUGAGAACAAUGAUGAACAAAACAAGAUGAUGUCAAUACCGAGGAUUGUAUCGGUUAUAAUUGAGAGAAGGGAUUCAAAAGAAACAAAGAAAGAAAUAAAGAGGAAAGAGAAAAAAAAGUUAAUUUUUUUCAUUUACCCAAAAGAAUUAAUGACAAUGUACACGUGUUAAGAGUCUUUUUCUAUCUUUAACAGUAUCAAAUUUGAAUUUAUAUUAUUUUUAAUGGAAAAAUAAAUAAAUUAAAAGAUAUUUAAAAAAUGUUGAAGACUCACAAAUUAAAAAAAUAUUUUAAAAAAAAAUACUCUAACCCAUCUAAUGGAAAAUGUUUAAGAUUGAGUGAGCCUUCCUUUCCCUUACACAUCACAAAUAACCAGUCUGCACUUUCUUGCACAUGGAUUACCUUGCUGUAUUUAUUUAUUACUUACUAAAAGAAUUUAUAUAUUUACUUUUUUACUUUUGUUCUUAUAACAUCACUCACAGUAUUUUUAUAUCUUUCUUAGUGCAUAUAUUCACCUAAAUUUAGAAGAAAUCUUCAAAUAAUUCAAAACUACGUCUGGCAAUAAUUCCAAUAAUCUUUCUUUCACCUGAUAUUUAUUUAUCUUUUAAAAAUUUAUAAAAAAUAAUAUUAAGUUACUUGUCUCAUACAGAUUAAUCCGGAUUGUAAGCAGCAUAAUCACUUAAUAUUAUUUUUUUAAAAGAAUGGACUAGAUGUUGACAAUUAUUCUUAAUUUUUUUAUAUUUUUUAUUUAUUUAUUUAUUUAUUUCACACUACUCAAAACUUCUUAUCACCCUAUUUAUGAUUCUCUUACACAUUUAUUAUAAAUAGGAAACACGUAUUUUACCCCAACACAGACCACUUGCAAGUCCUCUACUAUGGCAUGCAACCAACCCCCUCCGCUCCAAAGGCAACCUCUUCCUACUGUGCCCGAAACUCCCGAUAUCGAAGAGAGACAUCUCAAAAGGGUAGAUGCAUAUGUUUAUUCUCUGAAUUUUUCAUUUUUAAAAGUUUCUGUUUUUGUUUUUCCUUCAUAAAUUUGAUGUAUUUGCAUGCAUUUGGCUAAUUCAUGUUUAUAUCUGGUUCUGGCUAGAUAUACACUCUUCUCUGUACUCACUUCAUGUUAAUUCAUUAACACAGGAUGCUACUGAAACUGAUGAUGAAGCAAAAUUUGUUUUUCCUGUUAUCAGUGUAAGUUUCCACUUUACUCUAUCUGUCUGUGUAAUUCUAUCUAUAUUUUCAUGACUCAUUUUGAGAAUUUUGUUUAUAUCUUUAGGUUGAUAAAGAGGAAAAGACUCUCAAUGUUGUUGCUGUAAGGGUUCUAAUCUAAUUAAGAAUUUUGGCUUUUUCCCCUUUAGUAAGAAACUUUAGCAUGUUUUUCUCAUGGACUUUUGUAGGAAGAGAAGAAGCCUACUGCUGAAGUUAAAAAAGUGAACCCCAGGAAGCGCAAGGCAGUGUGAGAAGGUCGAUCUGGUGCAGAUAAGAAGGAGAAAAAACGAGUAGCAGUUUAUACCAUUUACAAUAAUUAGUGUUAUGGACAUGCAUUAGCAUGUUAAAUAGCUGUAAAUUGCCAUUAAAUAAAUGCUACUCUUUGUUUCAUGUUGGGACUUCGUGGAUCUAGUUUCAAUUUCGUUUUAAAUGUAUCAAUUGUCUGUUUCUGAAUCGGUGUUAAUAAUCGAAAUACUUACAAAUCCUCUUCAUUUACUUUGAGUUUCAUGUCUGGUAAAUACAAUUAGAUUGGGAUAUUGGGAGACUCAAGACUCAUUGGAUUUUCUCAUACGGUUUAAACAAAUAGGUACUUUGGGGUAAAUGAGGACAUAAAGUUAAGUGGAUUAAGAACAGCUGAGGUGUUAAGUAAGGGAAGCACAAUUCUAAACUUUUGAUGUCUGUGUCACAUAUAGGAAAGGAAAUGUUUGUUGGAAAGCAAAUUUGGUAAAUUUCACAUGAAGGAUAUUUUUGUUCAAUUACAUUUUAUAUUUCAAACUUCUAGAUCUGUCUUUUUCUUGAAGUGAUAUUUCAUAUUAGCUUUUGUCUCAAAUAGUGUGAAAUCUGUUCAUACCAAUCAGAGAUGAAAUAGUCAGAACAACUAUCAAGAGUCUUGAGCCAAGUCUAAUCAAGAUCUGACUUGUUUAAUAUAAGUCACAUUGAACGGCCUAUUAGAAACAUAUUAAAUGUAAGCUUCCAAAAACAUCUAUGAUCUCCUUUUGUACCUUUUUUUUUUUACUUCUUUCAGUGACUAUCUAAGACAAGUUCUUUGUGGUAUCUUUAUGCUUUUGGAAUGUUAAGAGAAGAAAAAUUGCAAAGUGCAUUUAUAAAAGCUUUAAGAUCCUUAAACAACAGCACUUUGUAUUUGGAUUAAAGAUAAAGUUUCAUUAUAUUUGUAAAACUUGAUAUUUAAUGGAAAUAUUAUUCUUUAUGAACUUUUUGUCUCAUGUGAGGUUUUUAUUUUGAGUAAAAAAAAAAUUCAAAACUUUUUUUUAUAAUAGAUUGGAGUAUUCUUAGUAUUUUUAUUUUUAUUAUUUUUUAUUGUUUGAAAAAAAUAAUAUCGAAAAUUUACUGGUAAAUACACAAGAAAAUUGCAGGUGAAAGAAUAAAAUAUUGUAGAUAGUCUAUAACUUUUUUCUUAAUCUAGUUCACUCCUUGUGAUAAAUUUUGAAUUAAUAAAUGGGAGAUAAGCUACUAGCAGGAAGGGAUUUUUAGGUAUUGUAGGUAAGUGGAAGGAGAAGAUAUAUCCUUGAGAGAAGUGAAUGUGGUAACAAAUAAAUCAAAUUAAAAAUGAGGUAAGAACUAAAUCAAAUUAAAAAUGAGGUAAGAAUUAAAUCAAACUAGAUGAGGGUAGAGUUUAAAGUAUUAUACAUGCUAAGGAAUUUUGAAGAGAGAAAAUGUAUAUUGUGUAAAAUAGUACAGGGAAAAAUAGAAGACUUUAAUGAGUUGAAUGAAAAUACUGAAAUAAUUGACAUACCUGUAAUAUUAGAAAGUAUACUUAGAAUAAAGUGAAUGAAUAUAAAAAGUAAAAAGUAGGUUACAUAAGAAUAUUAUUAGUUUCAAUAGAAUGGAUGGAUGUCAAAUAAUUUGUUAGACAUAAUAUCUCCCAUUGUGCAAAUAAUCUUCCAUUAAUUUUUUUAUCAAUAAAAAAUUAAUAAAAUAAAAGAACUAUAGUAUUUGAGGAGUGUUGUAACUCUUAUAAAAAAAAAGAUUGAAAAUUAAAAUCUUUUAGAAUUUAAGAUAUUUGGCCAUCAACAAGUGAUUUGAUGCUUAUAUAUUAUGAGACAAUGGACUCACUACAUACAAAAUAGGUGGGUGGUUUGAUCACUCUAAAGGAAAAAUUAAAAAACAAUGAAAUAAAAUUUAAAGGUUUGAAAUAAAGAGAUUGUUGGAUGACAGGGGUGUAAAGGAGAGAAAAAAACUGUUUGUUGAACUUAGAAAUUUAAGCAUUAGUAAUGAAUCAAUGGAAAGAAAAAGAAAAUCUUGGGUUAGAUGGAUAAUCUUAGGCGACUGAAACUCCAAAUUCUUCCAGUCAAGGAUUAAUUGGAGAAGAACUAAGAAUGAUAUAGAAGGUGCAAGGAUUGAAUGUGAGUAGUGCCAAUAUCCAAAAAUGUCAAAAAGGAAACAAAAGGGUUUGUUGAAAGUAAAUUGGAAGGGACAAUAAGUACCAAUAAGGCCGUAGAACAAAGAUUUUCCCUCAAUAUCAAUAAAAGAUAAUAAGAUGUUAAUAAAAGAGUUCACCAAGAUGGAAAUCAAGGAGGCAAUACGUCGUGAUGGUUGUAAAAGUUCUAAUGAUUUCAAUUUUAGCUUUAUAAAAAAAUUAUUAGAUAUUAUCAAAGGGAUGUUCUACAAGUUGUUUAUAGUUUUCAUCCUAGAAAGGAAAAUGGAAAAAAAAAGGAAGUAAUGCAUAAUUUAUAACACUAAUAUCUAAGAUAGACAAUCAAAGGUUUAAAAUAAUACAAACCAAUAUCUUUAGUAAGGAGUGUGUAUAAGAUAAUGUUAAAAAAGCUAUUAAGUAGACUAAACAAGGUUUUACCGAAGUUGAUCAUACGUAAUUGAUAUUUAUUGAGGGUAGAUGAUUGUUUGAUAAUAUGUUGGUUGCUAAUAAAGUUGUAGAAGAGAUAAAGUAGAAAAAUAAUAUUUGUGUGGUAGUCAAAUUGGACUACAAGAAAGCAUAUGAUUAUGUGAUUAUGUUAGAUGAAGCACAACAGAAAUAAAAAAUUAUGAAGCAUAAUUGAUUACCACUCUAGGAUAGUCGAUUAUCCCUUGUUUUUAAAACCCUAUAAUUGAUUCUGUGUGAGAUUAUUUUUCUGGCAUAAUAUUAUGUACUAAAAAAUGUCUUUAAUCAAUUAUCUGAAAGGUCAAAUCAAUUAUUCUCUUCAAUGAUUUCAUAUCUUUUACUAGUAAAAAAAAUGUUUUGACGACGGUUAAAAAUGACAUAUAAAGACAGUUUUGGAACUGUUGUUAUUGUGGGUGUCGUUAUAAAUCAGUUGUUUAUAACGACUGUUCUAGAAUCGUUGUUAUAAAACUACAUUAAUGACACGUGAAAAAAAAUUGUCGUUAUUCUUCCAAAAUAAAAAAAAAAUGUAUUUAUAAUGACGGUUCUAGACUGGAACUAUCGUUAUAGCCCUAAAAAAGAUUUUUAAAGACGAUUUCAUCUAGAACCGUCGUUAUAAAUGUAUUUUUUUUAAAUGUUUUAUUAUAUAUAUCUAUAUACUUUAAUUUUGCAUAAAAUAUCAAAUUUCCAUAACAAUAAUGCCAUAUGAAAGUCAACCUACAAUACAUUAGUACAUAUAACAUUGUACAAAAAUUCUAUAAAUUUAUGAAAAAGUUUUAUUUCAUUCUAAUCAUUCAUUUAUCCUAAAAAGUGUUAUACAUGGUUACCUUAAGGUUCUUUGCAUUUUCAUUUCCCCUCCCACUCAACAUGUUAUAUCCAGAAUAAACACUGAAAUAAUAAGAUUUCAUGUUAGAAUACAUAACAUAACAUUAUGAGUAAUAAAUUUCUGAAUAUAAUAUAAUCAUAAUGAUUUGAUAAAUCUCUAAUUUAAACUAGGAAACAUCAUGUAAAAUUUCAUAAUUUUUUGAGAAGUGAAAGUACGAGAACCAAAACCUUAAAAUACUUGAAAAAUAGUUAAAUAAUACUUAAAAAUAAAAAAUAAUAAUAGUAAACGGUGGCUUUUUGGUGGAUCCAAAUCCCCUUUGGAGAUUGGCCACGUGAUUCAUUACCUCGUUUCGAGCAACUUUCAUUUUUUACGCAUCUCCAUCCGACUUAUCUAUCAAAAGUUAUGGUCAUUUGAAGGUUUUCACACUAAUUUUUUGCAACUCCAAAUCUAUCACUAUUCUCUUCAAUGUCUAGACUCUUCCAUCAAAUAUCCACUAAAUGAAGUUCCCACAAACCCUAAACUACUAAGUAAUCAACACAUACAUGUAAAUAUUUAAUUAAAAAAUUUAAAUUACUUUAAACUUACAAGUCCAGCGCCAUGGAGAGGUGAAAAGAAGGUCCGAGAGGUGCAGCGUAUAGGCGGCGGAGGUAGUUGCUUGUGCGCACAAAGGAGAGAUGUACAAAGGAGAUAAGAGAAGAGAUGCAAGCACAUAGGAGAGAAGAGAAGAGAUGCACGCGCAGAGGAGCGAUGUUCACUAUGGUAGUGUGGGAAAAAGGGACGGGAAGAGAGCUUGGGGCACGAAGGGGGUAGGUCGGAGAGCUGUGUUGAGUGUAGUGGAGAGGGAGAAAGAUGUGAAUGAGAAGAAGAAUGAAUGAGAGCGCAGGCUGAGCUUUAGGAUUAAUUUUCACACUUUCAACGGCGAUUUCCUACUUAACCGUCAUUACUUUGUCCAUAACUCCUCAUUAACAACUUAUUUUGCCCUCAAAUCUUCAUUAACGACGAUUAAAAGACUAAUCAUCAUUAUUUAUCAGUGUUUAUUCACGAAAAUGUCAUGCGCUUCUUUUUACGAUAGGUUUCUAUCAAAUAUCGUUAUUAAUAGUCGUUUUUAAGACUUUUUGUACUAGUGAUGUGAUUGGUGUAAAAUGUGUGAUGCAUGAUCAUAGAAUAAAUAUCAACAUUUUCAAUUACUAGAUUAAUAAAAAAUUAAUUAGUACAAUAUUGAACAGAGUAUUUUCAUUUUAGAGUUUUUUUAGUAACUUAAUAAUAUAUAUUCUGUUGAUUUCACCAAAUAAUAAAUUAAAGUGUAAUAAAAUAACAUUUAUUUAACCAACAUUUGUCUUUAAUCUUCCACUAUUAAAUUGUGGCUAAUGGAUGUUACCGUAGCAACUCCUUCCAAAUUUGUGAAUCUCAUUAUGUUCACAUGUAUUUUUGCGAUAUUGUUUUGUAUAGGAUUUUAACUUCACCUCAAACACUACAAGAAAAUCAUUAAAUAGAAAUCAAUUUUUAGAUAUCAAAAUAAUUAGUUACAAUAGUAACUAAAUUAGAGACCAUUUUAGAAACUAAAAAAAAAUGGUUUCUAAAUUGAUAUCUAAUUAGCUACCAAGGUUUUAACUACCAAUUAUUUUUUAUCUUUAAAAUUGAUUUUUGUUUCAUGAUUUUCUUGUAGUGAAAUCUUUGUAUGAAAAGGGUUUUACAAUAAAAUAACCAUGGAGAAUAAUUUUGUAAACAAUAUAUAAAUUGUCGUAUGUGAAAAAAAAUAGUCUAUCAAUAUUUUUAAUUAUUUUUUAGUAAUUGGGGAUGUAUAAGACAUGUGUGAUAAAUGAACUAGUGUAACAACACCACAUCCUACCUAACUAAUUCUCACUUAGAAAGUUUAAACUCUUUUUUUAUUGUCAAAUAAUAAAUAAAAUAAUAUAAAACACUUGAGGGGUGUUCCAAUCUUUUUACAAAGAGAAAAUUUAACAAAGAGCAUCUUCAACCAAACCUACAAGAUCCAAGAAAACUACAUACUUUUGUGUCCCAAAAUCAACAUCAUCAGAAAAGUUCCUUCAAAACUCGGCUCAACUAAUAAUUUUAUGAAGAACCAAUUGCUAAAAGUCUUAUUUCAUAUUUACUUGUAUUAUUAUGGCAGCAAAAGUUUGAUCAUCAUGUGAAAUGAGAGGUUGGUCUCUCGUUCCCAAACUACAAAAAAUAUGUAUACAAAAUACAAUUAUAUUAAGACCAUAAAUAUAUUUAAACUUCUCAGAAAACCUCUUCAGUGGUACAACUUUCACUUAUCUCAUCCAUAUGAAUAAUGUUCAAGCCAAAUUUUGCAUACGCGAUUAAAUUGCACAAUUUUGUAAAGAUGAUUGCAACACUAACAUCUUGCACUCCAGUCCAGACCACUAAAUCACACUUUUCUAACCAUACUGUAACCUACAUUACUAAAAUAUGAACAUUUUCCAACCAGCUAAAUGAUAUAUAGUUUAAAGGAAUAUACUUUACAGCUUUGACAGUUUACACUUUAACCUAACUAAUUCUGACUUAGACCGUUUAUACUUUUGAUGAUGAAGAGGGAAGGAAAAAUAACCUAUUGCUAUAUGUGGAUAUGGAAAAUAUGGAGACAAAGGAAAGUUAUUUCUAGGAAUGAAAUGAUAAACGCCGAGGAUAUUUUCUUAUUAGUCCAAUUCUGGAUAAUAGGUAAAAAAUCAAAAGUAACUUUUUUUUAUUUGGACUGGAGUCUAAAUCCUAUAACAUCUUUAAAAUAGUAAGGAGAUCAUCCUGAAUUAAAGAUAGAAACAUGUUUAAUGGAGGAAAAAAUUUGGCUACAGGUUAGGUGUAGUCUAAUAGUAGAAGUGGAGUUUUUUCUUUUUUUUUUUAUCAGCAAUGAAUAAAUAAAAUUAAAGGGAGCAGAACAACCUUAAAGUGAGAAAACACUACCCAAAAAAUAACCAACAUCGGCAACCACCGAUUACAAAGUGGAGCCUAUAUAAUGUCAUGUGAGAGUUAUAGUCUUUUUUUUAUCAAUGAGAAAUGAUAUUUUAACAAUUAUGAGAAUUAUAUAUAACUUUUGAUGCUAGUGUUUUAGAUAUAAAUAUAUAUAAUAAAAAGUAAAUUUUUGUAAUUAAAUAAUAUAAAAGAUAUUAAAAUAAUAAUAUUGAAAGUUGUAAUAUGAUUGUAUAAAAAAGUUAAAUUGUCAAUAUUUCAUUAUCUUUAAAUAAAACGGAAUACUUAAAAGGCUUAAUCCUUAUACAAUAAAAAAAAAAAAACCUUCCCUCCUAUCUUAAAAGUAAAAAAACAUUCUACGCUAAGUGCAACUAAACAAGAAGAACAUGAAAUCUAAGGUUACUUAAUUUGUAUCAUCUGCAUAAUGAUAUAAACCAGCAGAACAAGUUUUAAAUUACACCAAGAAUUUGACAAAAUUUUACUACACUAUUUUUACAAAAGAGCACUCUUGGUAGCAAAAACCAGAUUAUUCCUCCUCUGCGCUUUUGUUAUUUUUCAGCACUUUGCCUAGCAAACAGUGACCAUCUACCAUCUAAAAGCUGAAAAACAGACAACCACUCACACUUGAUUUUCUUUAAAGAAACAUUCUUCUUGUAUUUUUCUUUAUUGUAUUUCUUUAUGUGGUGCAUAUUACAACGGAGAGAACAUCCUAUUUAUAGGCUUUAGGGAGAUGUUCUAAAAAAAUCUUCAUUAUAACCUUAAAACCCCACUAACAACAUAAUUAAAAUUUCACUCACAAUUUUAACAUUUCACAUAUCCAAACUCUCAUUCUACUAUUUUAUUUUCUAGUAACUUCUAAUUUUAAAACCCACAAAUUACAUUUAAAGUUUAUUUCAGAAAAGCUUACUCUUCCAUUCCAAACUCCACUCCUGAUAAGCAAAUAGAACUUGUAAUGUCUUAUGGUUAUCCCUUACUUCUUCUGUUUGCAGUCUUUUUCUCAAAGACUUGCUUAAAGGUACUGCUGCACCCUUCUUUUCACCUGCAAACCACCAUACCAAAAACCUUCCCAUCCAAACUGCAAAGAUCAAAUAGCACUACUGCCUUUCCAAUUAAGAUGCACAUGAUUAUUCACCACAAAGACCGAACACAUGCCUACCUAAAGAUAUGCAUAUUACAAACAAUUAAGCAAUGCAGUACGUGGCUCUGUGAUACCUGCACCUGAACCAUAGACUUGACAACCAUAGGACCCGAAUUCUUAUAACCAUAGUCAUAGUGGUUUGUUGGUUUUUUUAGAAUAAAUCAGAGAAGAGAAAGAUAUAUUUUAUUAUCAUUGCUAACAAAUACAUUUAUAGUAAUUGCAGUAACUCAUAUACACCUCUUCCUCCAUUGCCUUUUUCGACUUUGGGUCAUUGAUAACUUCUUUGUGAUUAGCAGGUUCUUUGUGAUCAACAGAUUCACAUACUGCAACGUUACAUCUAUGAUAUAGGUCAGAAAGUAAUCGAUUGCUUUUGCCUUUAUUUGGUGGAUCAUCUUCUAUUUCAGAUUUUUGCAUCUUGAGAAGUACUUGACUAGUCAGCUCCUCUUGAAUAAUAGAUCUAAUGAGAAACUUUUGCCUCUCAUUUGUACCUUGAACAAAUUUUGUCCUGUAGCAUCCUUGAUCAAAGAGUAGUUAUCUUCAAACAACACCUAGCAACAAUGGUUCCUAUUCUUUUUACUGAAAUGUGAACCACAUGGCCUAUCUUGACCUUUGAAAUUUUUGAAGGCUUCAACUCCUUGAAAAGUUUUUUGUCAUAAGUCAUGUGAUUUGUGCAUCCACUAUCAAUUAGCCACGAUGCACUUGAAUAUUGUUGGAGAACUCGUUUGCAAAUUGAGCAUCUACGUCUUGUUGCUCACUUUGGUUUACAUCUUGUUGUUCACUUUGGUUUCUACAAAUGACUGCUUCAUGUCCCAGUUGAUUGCACUUGUUGCACUUAGCAUCAGGUCUUCUCCAGCACUACUUAAACGGUGGAUGACCUAACUCCUUUUGUUGUUAUUGUGUGCAGCAACUUCUCCAUUUUUUUCUGGUUCUGCUACCUUUGUUUCUCCAGCCACCUUCAUAUUCGGCCUUGCUUGAGGUAAUCUCAUAUUUCUUUUGCUGACUUCAAGGACAUUAUCCUUGUGAAUACCAUAGGAGAUACAACUGCAAAUAGACAUUUGUGUUUGAUCUUUUCAUCUUCUUUUCCUUCUGUGAUUUUAUUUGUGCCAUAGUAGGGUUUUCUGGAAUAAAUCCAAUGCUUCUAGGUAGGUCUCCAUACGAACAACCCACAUUUGAUAAUUGUCUUUGUCAAAGACAAGUGGUGCCAUUGCUGAAAAAUUGAAACAUUCUUCCAUUGAUGCACUCUACUAACCUCACAUACUUUUGCAGUAACUGACUCUUAAAUGAUUUUAUGAUCAGUUACCUAAAAAUAUUAAAUCAACAAUUAAAACAUAAUUAAAAUAGAAUAAUAAAAUAUCACGUGUAUUUAUACAGAUUAAAUGUUUUGAGACAAUAUGUGUGGUUCUGUAUAUACUGCAUAGUGGAUCUGCAGUAGCACUAACUACCUGAGUAUUACUAGUUUAAAUGCUAGGUGGUGUUACUAGUUUGUAAUUGUGAUGCAGAAUAAGAUGACAGGUAAUUGUUUGGUGCUGAGAAGUGCAGUGGAACAUUUUCUCUGUGGCAUGGCAUUGGCAAAACCAUAUGAGCAACUCAUGUAUUACUCAUGCUUCGUCAAGUCAAUUCCAGGGAAGCAAUGAAGGGUGUGCUUUUCAAACUCCAAGUAAAAGCCAUAUGGACACGGGAUUACUGUGCUCAGUGUUGGUGGGGUGGCUUUUGGGAACCAUCCGGCAAAACUGCUAAUAAUGGUUUAAUUGUGAGGAUGGAAGUACUACUGACUACAGACUUUGUAUUGCUUGUGAGCUUUUUGCUGAUGGUUUUUGGAAUCCAAGAACUGAGGGGUCAAGGGUAUAUUGUAUGUUGUUUAUGUGUACAAUUGUAUGAGGUUGGAUUAAUCCGAUUACUACAUUUAUAAUGCAUUCUUCUUGUUAAUAAAAAAACAAAUAAGGGUUUAUCUUUUCAACGUUUAGUUUCGAGAUUCUUAACUGCACUUAUGCGGAUUUCUCUACACAAGGGAGCGUUGACAAGGAAAAAAAAGACUAAUUAGACUGACAUAAUUUUGGUUGAAAUUGUCAUCAAAAUUAGCAACUAAAUCAACACAGUGACUAAAUAUCCCAUUUAUAUCUUUAGUGCGGUCUGAAUUGCUCUAUCCUCCAAAUAACAGGGUUUUAUAGUUAUGGUAAUUAAAAUUGUCGAAAACUUGUUGUAACCUCCUUUAAUAAAUACAUUAUUGCUUAAAAUUGCUUGUUAGAGAGGAUGCUGACGUGGUUAUAAGAAAUGGUUAAAAAUUAGUCGAGUUGCUUCUAGAAGCAACUAUUGCUUAAAAGUAAAAACUAUUAUUUUGUUUGUUACCCGUUAAUCCCAAUAGUUGAAGGAAAAAGAACACAUGAUAAGCAUAUUUUCUUUAGACAACAUGGCACUCGGAAACCCAUAGUGAUGAGCAUUCAAAGAAGCCUCCAAAAUUUUACUUUCUUUGGUAAGGAAUAUAUGUUGGAACAAUGAAACUUUUAUCCUAUGGUCAUUUAUGUUAUUGCAACUAAUUAACAUCUAUCAGCAAUAAUCCUAUCAAAAUGACAACAUUACUAGUUAAAAUUUUAAAAUAACAAUUUCUUUCUGUAGCUUCUGAUAACAAUAGGGAUUGAUAGUGAUUUAGCAGUAUUCAAGCUGCUAGUACUGAUUCCUAACUUGUAUUUUGUGUGUGGGGUGAGAUGUUUAUGCUAUUGUACUGAUAAUUAUUUGUCGUUUGUAAUUUUGCUGCAUAUUGUACAUCUUGUAACUUAUUAAUGAAUUCUUUUUCAUUUGCUUACAAACCAAAUAUUUUCCUUCUGUGGAUAGAACUCGCUAUAAAGUUCAGUGUGGCUUUUGUGGAAGAUAGAAGUUUGUAUUUUACCCACAUUUCAAGUCUAGUACGCUUCGCCUAAAGGGAUGUGUUAAGAUAGGUCACAUGAAGAGAGGUAAUCAAACAUUUUGCUUCUAAUAAUUACAUGGCAUUCUCUGUCUACAAUGAAUAACUAAGAUCAUUGAUUUCUGCAGAAAACAUUGCAUAGCAUACUUACAUGAUACCCCCUUCGCAAUAGCCGGUUAUAAUGCAUAUGUAAUCCUCUUAAGUAACAUAAAAAAUAAUAUAUUUGUAAGGAUUCAAAAACAUUUAAUUAAGCCUAUAAAUUCCAUUGAACUUCAAACUUAAUUUUCAGUGAUAUUUAAAAGUGCAUUUGAAAAUUCAAAAGAAAAAAAAGGAAAGGAUAGGAUAGGAUAGGAAACAAUAACUGUCUUUACCUUCUCCACCCAAGCAUCUUUGCACUCCACAAUAUAAGGCUAAUUUAAUUUAGCUAUCAGGUCCAUUUGGAACAAAAAGAGAGAGGAUAUGACUAAUUUUUUUUUCAGAACUAAAAGGUAAGAAACAUUCAUUCAAAAGAAUGAAGGGAAAUCUCUCAGAAAUGAAGUCAGUCAAACCAUUAUUAAUAAAAUUAUAUUUGCAAAAAAAUUAAUUUCAGAAUUCAGAUAGUACUUGGCUCACAUAAAAAUGCCAUAUCACACUGUGCUCAUAGCAUUUGUAAGAUAAAAUAACAAACAUCCUCUACUCUGGAUGGAGUAGAAGUCUAAUCAGUACUUCAGAUGACUGAUGAGUAUUGACUAGUAAAGGCCCUACAGCAUUUCAUUAAAUGAAACCAAGUUCAAUCUGAGUUUACUGUAUGUUUUUAGUUUGUUUGUGUCUGUACACAAAGAGAUAUAUUACUUCUGGAAUUAACAUAUACUCAGAUGAGUAGUUUAUGUUUUGCUUCAUUUGCAGGUGUAAUUUUGUUUACGAUAUUGCACAGAAAAGAACAAAGACUAGCUUGAAGAACAAGCUGAUAUUGCUGCACAAGAGGAAACAAGGUUUGCUUCCUUCCCUGAGGAGCUUCCUUCCUUUGACUGGAGGUUUUUUUGGUAGUGGGGCUUUAUUGCUGUAAGUGUCUCAACUAAAAAAAUUGGGUGUUCAUUGCUAGACAUUUAGGGAUUUAAAGAAAUUAUCAUAUUGAUGAUGUUUGUUGAAUUUGGAAGGGGGCAUUUUGAAAGAUAGGGAACAAAAAAUAUGAGAGGAAGGAAAGCCUUUUAUUUUUGUAGAGUGUAAUGUAUAGGUUCUGCGUAUAGUCCAUAUACAUAGACUCUUCAGGAAUCACUGGAGGUUAUUCCCUAUGAUUAUAACAAGUGAGGUGAGGCAACUUCCUAGAAACCAAUACUCAUGAACAUUAAAGCAUUUUAUCAUGUCACUGGCCAUUUCAGUGUUGGUACUGUUCAAACUUGAUUAGCAACAAUUCUAACCAACACAAAAGGAAUUGGGGAAUUAAUCCUUGUACAGUUCUAGCAAUCAAUUUUAGUUAGGUUAAAAAAUUUGUCCUCAAGGUUGAAAUUGAAAUGGGAAAAUUAUCCUUAUAUAGUUUCCUUAACCUCCCAAGUUGCUUCAGUUAUGGGCCAUUUCAGAUGGUAUUCCCAUAAUAUAGAACUUCUAUAGUUACGACAGUUGGUGUGGUGUGAUUUUUAAAAAUGUUUUUGGAAAUAUUUUCUACAACAAGCAUAUAAUAGAGUUUAAUCAUGCAUUUGAGCUGUGUCUAAAACUUGUUCUUCUUUCAUAUAUGUAGAUUAGAACUACUUGUGAAAGAAGAAUUGUUGACACAAGAUAGGUAAUUCACCUUCCGGUAUAUAAUUAUUCAACAUUGAAGAUAAAAUUGUUAGACUAGUUGGGGUCAUUUGCAUAUCUGACCUAUUUCAAUAUGUUCUUCCUAAAUAUUAUGAUUUUUUUUCUGCUGUAUUUUAUGCUUAUAUUUAGUUACAAAGAAAGAACUGUAGACUCAAUCAUUGGGUUGGUGUAUUGCUCAGCUGGUGACAGAUAAAUCUAAGGGUUAAUCCACAGUAGAAAUUGUUUUUAAUGGUUUUUUUUAUCGGGCAAAAAAUAAUAAAAAUAUAUAGGGGUCACUUAGGGUGUUUCAACCCUUACCAACUAAGGGUUUGGGUUCUUAAAAGACCUAGAUACACAGGAAAAGCUCACAAAAAACCUGCAGAACAAAUCCAUAACACACUUCCUAAAAACUAUGUGUAUAAAAAGUGCACUUACCAACAACGUGCAGCAAAAACUACAAACCAAUAUGCAGCCAUAAUGCACGACUCUGGCAGCAUCAAGACUUGAUGGAAGAGAAAAGAAGUUCUCAAAUCACCGUAACCAAUCCACCAAAGACCCCAACCUCCUUAGAAGCAUUAAUGCUAUGCCAACAUCACCACACCAGACCUAGAUUUACAUUUUUGCAGCAGAAUUUGCAUUGAAACUGUUGGAAUCCACUCUUCACUAUUACUCCUCACCUUUAAUUCACUUUAUGAAGAACCUUCCAGACGUGACAAUCUCUCCCCAAGUUCACUAUAGGCACCGACAAGAUCCAAGCUAGUGCCCCGACAUGAUGAGGUGUGCCCAAAUAAGCAGUGUGCUUCAAAAAUGCUUAAGACUCCCCUGCCUAAACUGAUUUAUAUUCCCCAACUCCCAGAAGAUUGAUUACCCCUGUUCAAGCAAGUGGACAUGGUCCAUUGACUCCAUUGUAUAAAACAGAAUAUUUUUUUUAAGGAAAAUUAAUUGCUAGAAAACAAAGAAUUAGAUGAGGUUUUAUCCUUUUUCAUAUUCAUACCAUCAUGUGAUGUUUUUUUACCACACGAUAUUAGACAGAAGCAUGUUUCUCUUCAGUAAAGCACACAGUAAGCUAUCCAUAAAAUGUAUUAAUAGAAUCAUGUUUCGCUCUCCACCAAUGUCAAAUUCAAAGGAGCGAAAGACCUUGUUGGAAACUGAUAAGCGAAUGAUACUGUCUUGUGAACAAGAAGGAAAACUAGAGAUUUUAAGCAGUAGAGGAAAGACCAAGAAGAGCACAUCAAGAAACGUAACCAUAUCCUACAGACUAAGAUUAUUUUGUUUUCAGAUUUUAGACUGUAACAGUCAUGGAAACUGUUUGAAGCUGAAUUGGAUGGACAUAAAAUUCAUGUUUUUUUGCUGUUAUGUUGUGAUUAAAUAUGUAUAUAAACUUAAUGGGUUGGAACAUCCAUAACUAAUUUCUUGUAUGACUAAGACGAGGUAAAUAAAAACGUUGGAAGGGGUCUUAAGUUGAUAAUGGUUUACUGUAUUUAUUCUCACCCACUUGUCACAUAUAUCAGCUGGUUUUUUUGAUGGCAAUGACUAAAUGAAAUAAAAUUGACACUUCAGUUUCAUCCCUUAUACAAAACUCAUUUUUAAAGAUAUAAUCUAAAAAAAUCAUCAAACACAAUGACCUAGACUUUUUUGUCACUUGUUUUAGCAAAACACAUGGUCAAGGCUACACCUAAAAAAACUAGGCCAAAACUUAUAGCUUUGCAACCACAAAUUUCAGCUUGACAAUCUUCUACCAAUCCAACUUUGCUCUACUGGCAGUGAUUCAAGCAGCUGGAAAAGAUCACUGCAAUUACUCGUCAAAAAAUACUUACUAGAAUUCCUCACAGUGCAUAAGCUAAGCAAUGGAUGUUUGAAUGUGCAUAUGAAUAUAUGUCAUUCCCCUCCUCUGCAUAAAAGAACUUUGACCAGCUGUGUUCACCAUCCAACUUUAACUGGAUUUGCAUAGACUUCCGUCUGCAUUUGCGCUCCCUCAUUCCACAAAAAUAUGAUGUUCCAACAGCAUUGUGUCUACACUGACACACUUCCCUCCCUGAAAAACAGAAACCAACCUUCCUAGUCUUUAGCUAAGACAUUACUUCACGGAUUUGAUAAAAAGCACAUAUAAUAAAGAUAUUGUAUAUCAGAAUCUGAUCCAGUCAACCUAUAUUUCACGCUGCAAUCAUUGGGCCAUACAUCCUCAUUGAUGAAUGAAUUUUAUGUCCACAUUGCAUCAAUAUCCAGAAGCAACGCUGCAUAAUUACUUGGCAUUCUGACAGUAAUGACAGCGAGGAUGUUCCUCUCGUAUCAGUUAGCCAUACUGCCAUUGCCCCUUUGCCGGGUCUGCAUAGAGUUGUGUUGCUGCUCUCCACAAACCUCUUCAUCUCUGCAUCAAGCCAAGCCUUCUAUUCCUUCGUUACCUGCACAAUUAAGAUAGCCUUCCUAGCCAUUUGCUAAGAUAAAGUGAAGCUGCUAAGAGAUAUAACCAAACUACAUCUAUGUAUUAGAAAUAACUCAUGCCUAUAACCCAGUAUAGACAGUCCCCCUCAUUGGUGAUACUCUUAUGAUGAGAGUUGAGGUGGGUGUUAUAUGUGAGUUAGUGAAUGUAUGCAGUGUAGUGCCAAUGGCGUGAAUGAGAAAGUGAAAAUAGUUAUUGUAAUAUUUUAUAUUAAAAAUUAAAAUUAAAAUAGUUAAAAUAUUAAUUUGUUUGUUUGUUAAAAGUGUGUUUUUACUUAGACGGUUUCAAUAUAUCAGUCCGUGAAAAAAUAAAAGUGUGAGUUCCCUUGGGAGAGGACCAGAGAAAAAGUGUGUAGCCUUUCAUAUCUUUUUCUUUUUUUAAUAAUAAAUUAAUAAUUUAUACAAUUAUAUUAUAACUUUUAAUAUUAUUAUUUUAAUUUUUUUACAUCAUUUAAUUAUAAAUUUACUGUUUAUUACUUUUAAAUACAUCACAUCAUCACUCAAUUGAAUUGAAUAUAACUAUGAAAGUUAUCAAAAUAUUUUUUUUUUCUCUUACAUACCGUUUUCAUUUCCUCCUGUAGCUGCCAGGUGUCCCUCUCACUUUUCUGAUUUUGUUUUCAUUUCACUGUGCUUUUUUCUUAUUUUUUAUUUCAUUUGCAAAUUUAGUUUUUGAUUUUGUGGCCCCACUUUUCUGCCACGUUCUCUCUUUUCUUUUCUUUUAUUUUUUUUAUAAAACCUAACGGGCUGGGCCCAAAACAUAUUUUUUGUUUUUGUCCUCUGUUUAAAACACGAAAAUGAAAUAUAGAUAAAAAAAAACAAUAUAUACUUUUCAAACAUUUGAAAUUUUUUAAUAUUUUUUUUGUUUUUUAACAUUUAAAAAAAUUUGAAGGUUUAUAUUUAUAUCUUUAUCUCUUUCUUUAAUUUUAUUUAUAAUUAUUUUUAAUUUUAAUUUUUAAUUUUUAAUUUUUUAUUAUUAUUUUAAUUUUAAAAAAACAUUUUUAAUUUUAUCACUUUUUUAAAAAAUUAAUAAUUCAUUAUUUUAUCAUUAUUUCAUUAAUUAAGUAAAAAUAUGUUUUACUUUUUUUAAUUAUCCAGAUGAAAUUAGGUGUUCACAAUUGUCUUUUUACUUAGACUUUACUACAUCAUUUUAAAAUUGGAUAUUUUCAUCAUAUCAUAGUAAAAAAUAAGUAAAGAUAGAAACAUCGGAUUCUAAAAAAAAAGAAGCAAGGUAUAAAAACCUUAUGAAAGCGAAAAGCAAGCUCUAAAUUGUGGGUGAAAAAACAUGUCAAAACCUUAAGGGUUGAAAAAGUGAGGUGUAUCAACUUCAUGGAUUAGAAAAAGAGAGAUGUUAAAACUUCAUGGAUGAGAAAAAAAGUGAGGUGUAUCAACCUCAUGGACGAAGAAAACGAGAUCUUGAAACCUCAUAAACUGAAAAAAAAAAAAUAGAUGUACACUACAAUAAAAUUAUGAAAUAGAAACCAAUUUUAGAUACAAAAAUAAUUAGUUGUUAUAGUGAUUAAAUUAGAGACCAUUUUAGAGACUAAAAAUAAAUUAGUUUCUAAAUUAGUUUUUAUUAUUGUUAAAUAGUUUCUAAAUUGGUAUUUAAUUAGCUAUCAAAGUUUUAACUACCAAUUAUUCAUGGAUUAAAAAAUCGAGGUGUACCAAUCUCAUGGAUGAAAAAAAUGAGAUGAUGAAACCUCAUGAAUUGAAAAAAAAGCAAGGUAUCGAAACCUUGUGGAUUGAAAAAAGCAAGGUGUCGAAACCUCGUGGAUGAAAAGAAACAAGGUGUGUCAGUUGGGUGAGAAUAAACGACUUCAUUAGUAAGUCUGACAAGCAAAUGAAAAUGUUGAUGCACUAACUGAAAUAACUAAUUUAACACUUCCAAGGACUAAAUAGUUGGAGGACAUUGCCAAGUUGAUGAAACAAGAAUUAGUUAUGAUGAUGGAAUGACAACUUGACGACACUUUAACAAGUACGAGUAAGGUCCACUCCCAUUGUGCUGAAAACUUUGAAGAUCAACCCCUUAUUUGAAGUUAACUCACAUUGUAAGUUUAAUUAUUUCAUACUUUUUUCAUGUACUAAGUGUUGUAUUUAUUCUAAUCGUUUUUUAUUUUUCACAUGUACUUUCAAUUAACUCUUCACUCUCAUCACUACGUCGAAUGAAACAUAUAUUUUUUUCUUAAUCUCGUAGUUGUUUUAUCUUUAGUUUUCAAAUACUCUUUAGUCAUACUUUGAGUUAUCACACCUUUUUUUAUUCCUAAUUUUGACUUAUUUAUUUUAGACAAUCUUUUUUAAUUGUUCAUAGCAUGUAUAUGAUACAUUUUACUUUUAGUAUUGUUUAAUUACCACCUCUUUAAAAUAUUUUCUUUAGAACAAAAAUUAUAACCUACACAAUUGAUUGGUAGAUGUUAUAAUUAAUUUGGAAUUACAAUUAAAAUUGAUAUUGGAUUUGGAAGUACAAUUUACAUUUUUUAAAAUUAUAAUUGAUAUAGACAAGUUUCAAAUUAAAAAACAGAUUGAAAAAUCUUUUAAACCAAACAAUUUAUUUUUUUCAUCAAUCUUAGUAUUGGCUUGACUCACACUACCAAUUUUUUUUCUACUGGUUAGAUCGGCAUGAUCCACUCUAAAUCCAACUUUUUUUUUUGAUUUUUUUUAUAUUAUCGGCUAGACUUAACCCUUUUAAUUAAAUUUUUUUAUUUACCGAAAGCACAUGUUUUUCGAUGUUAAGGUUUAAUUAUUUUUUUUAUAUUUUAUUUCUUUAGUGUUUGUCUGAUUGACUCUACAAUUAAAUUAUUAAAUAUUGGUUGUUCAGUUUGUGUUUGUUAGGACAAUGUUACUAGUGUCCCCUCCUUCGACUGUCACAAUAUUCAAUAGCUUCUACACAUGGAACGUGAACUUUUUAAUCAACGCAAGACUAACACUAAUCACACUUCAGUAUCAACUUUGUUUUUAUUUGUGUCUGUUUUUUUGUCGUUUAAUCCAUUUAUUCUUGUGGUGAUUUCAUCCUUAAUAUUUGAAAAGAAAAAAAAAGUGAACUUCUUUGGUUGUUUUUGAGGUAAGGAAUAGUUCGUAGUUUUUGUUGGAAAUUUGUGAUAGACUAAAGUGUGAAGUUCUAUCUUAUUUUUCUUCUUAUUUUUUUUUAGGAUUGAGCCACCUUUUAAGUGAUCUAUAUUUAUUUAUUGUUUUUUACUGAUAAAAAAAAUGAAUAUAUAAAAAGAAAAAACACCUAAACUUUAUUGUUUGUGUAAAUAAACGCCUAGAGUUUUAAUUUCAUUCUAAUGAAUCCUCAAACAAAGUGGUUUUGUGUCAAACUUCCCAACUAAGUUAAAAUAUAGAUCAUUUAAUAUUUGGAUGAUUUAUAUAAUAUUUUCAAUCCCUAUUAUUGGUUAGAUAAUAAUUAAACUUUAAUUUCACAAAUAUAUAUUUAAGGGUCUUUAUGUAUUAGCCUUGCCCCAAAGCAUAAGAAAGUUCUAAAUAAAUGAAUAUGCAAAGUUCAUUUCACUUGGCUAGUGAUAUUGCAAAUAUGUUUGGUUAGGAUUAGGCCUUUUUACGUGCCAGGCCUAUCUUACUUUUUGGAAAUAGGCAUCUUGUACUCCCAUAAACUAUAUGUAAUUAAUUAAAUUAACCAUAUGUGAGUGAACCUAUAUAUUAAUAUAUAUUCAUCUAUUUCAAUUAAUAUUUCUAUAAGAGUAAACCUAUAUAUUCUUACCUCCAUUUGCUAUUAAUAAUACUUCAUAUCUUAAAGAGAGAUUGACAUUAUAUAGGUGGUCCAAUUCUACACUUUCUGUAAUCAUAUCUAAUAUUCCUUUGUCCCUAAAAGCAAAUAUACUAAAUCAAUUGUAUGCAGUCAAGCAUUUUAUACGUCUCACUCUAUCGAAAGAUCCAUAGAAAAACUCUUACUAUAUUAGAGUGACAAAUCUUAACUACUUCACUAACACUUUUCAACAGGAUUUUUGGUCAACCCUGUAAGCACAUAUUUAUGCUAAACCUAUUAUGAAUGAUGAUUGAUGACUUUGUGCUAAAAUAAUGUUUGGUUAGUGAUAGCCACACCCGUGAACAUAUAUUAGUCCAUACUUGUCAACUUUAAGAUAAUGUAUAGAACAUGUCAACAGGAAAAAAAAAAACUAACUUUAAUAGCAAUAAUUAUUUGUUAAAGAUGACUAAACGAGGUAGUUUAUUGUGUUUUUUUUUCUUAUCAAUUGAUCCAUUAAAAACAGGUUCAUCAGUCAAAAUUAUACAGACAAAAAUAAUAAUUCGUCGUGUCAGAGGGUGAGUUGGUGGCUGAUCCACCACUUUUUUUUAAUUAUUUUGUUUUAAAUUUAUUUAUUGAUUAUAAUAUUUGUUAUUAUUUUUUGAAAAAAAAAAUAAGAAAAAUAAAACUGAAUCAAACUUUAAUAUUUUAAUAAAAAAUAAAUUUAAUAUCUAACAAAAUAAACUACAUAUCAACAAUGAUGUAUAAAUAAAUUAAUAAAUAAAUUUUUAUAUAAAACAUUGAUUAUUCCAAUUUUAUUUUCAAAAACAUUAGAUUUUUAUUUAAAAGUAUAAAAAUAAAUAAGGAGUUAAAUUGACAGGUUAAGCAGAAUAAUACGAAUUGAUAAGUUAAAAAAAAUUAAUUCGCCUUAGGCAGACUGAUUUGCUAAACCCAACCGUUUUAUUGUCGGUAUUAUCAAAAAAAUUCUUAUUGUAUCCUAAGAGCCGUGAACAUCCACUCCUCAUGAAAUCAAUAUUGUUCGUCAACCAUAAUUUGCAAGAGUAUCAGUGGCAUUACUAGAACAGGGAAGAACCUAAAGUAAACUUUGUCCAAGUGUUAAGAUCACAUAAACUGAUCAGCCCUUCACUCAAGAACUCCGCAUAAAGAGUAAAAAGUUUCAUAGUAUUAGCUUCUUGACAUUGUCAUAAAAUUUUCUACUUGAAAAUGAAAAUUUGAACCUUUAUUUGGUAGGUUAUACUCUAGGAAAAAAGCCAUUAACAUAAAAUCCUUGAGACCAAGGGAAGGUGGUAAACUCACACAUACAUGCCUGUUGCCUUAGCUUGAAGUAAAUUACAACCAUUUAUUGAACUAAAAUAAGAAAACACCAAAUCAUAGAGUUGUUUGCUCUCAGUUGCAUUGAAAACUACGUAGCUGACAAAGUUUGUAAGCCAGAUAUGUUCCUUGACAUAUCAUCCUUGAGUUCCAUUUGCAUUGGAUUGCUUCCCUUGUUGGGGCUUUGCAACCCCCAUCUCCAUGAAUUCCUCCUCUGCUGGGGUUUGUUUCCUUGCAGCACCUUUAUUGUCUCGGUAUAUGAAAUACAAUAUUAGUUGCAUUGUCCCCAAAGCGGAACCAACACCAUUAGGUACCUGAAAAACCAUACAUCAACCUUAGUCUAUUCUUCUUCACUGCCAAUACAUUAUAAAGUAAAAAAGUCAAAAUUGCAAAAGUGACUUACAGCAACAAAUGGGUCACGGCCUAGCAGACCAAAGAUAAACCAGGAAGUGCCGCAGAGAAACACAAACAGAGACAAGAAGAAGGGCAUGAACUCCACGCUCUUGGUUUUGAUCACUAAUCUCUGCACAUAGUUUUAAAUCCACAAUUAACACACACCCACAGCGAAUCCUGCACUAUCACUAUUACAAAUAGCACUUUUCUUCCUUGGUAGUGUUUACCGAUAAUAAAGAAAAUAUUACUCGGCAUGAAAAGUUUCGCAAACAAAUAACUCCUUUGAAUAUACAAAAAAUUAUCAAGUUGUUAAAAUUUACUUAGUUGAUUUUGAAUCAAGAACUACCAGCAGCAUUCAAUUUGAUGGAAAAUUAGCUUACCAUAAUUGAGAGUGGAGAGCCAUACAUGAUUAUGGAAAAUAUUGCAGCAGCAAAGCCGCAGAAGAGCUUUCUGGAAUUGCCAUGAAGCGCAAAAAGGGACACAAAAACAACAGCAGAGAACACAGAGAGCACGAAGGUGAAGAGACCAAGAAUUUUAACCUUCUCCUUCUUGGGAGCCAAUACGAUGAAGAUCAACACGUACACGAUCUCAAUCAAAGAUCCAGUGCCAUUCACUGUUGACACUAAUAUAUUGUGGGGAGACACAAAAGGUAGACCAUACCUGUGGAUUUUAAAAAUUACGAUAUAGCAUUUAGUAGCUAGCCAGAUAAGGAUAUAGUUUUCUUCGCAAAGAUUUAUUCAGCAAUUGAAAGCGAAAAUUCAACCACUGUUUGAAUUCUAAUCCGACAAAUUAUUGACCUCUCCAAAAAACAAAAUUUAUCCGUCAUUCAAAACACUUUAAUGAUUAACCAAUAGACAAACAACUUUUCUGAAUUAAAAAGCAGUGUACGAAAACACUAUUAUCCAGGUAUAAGAAUUGACAUUUUACAAUUUACAUCAGGGAAAAAGUGAGGAAUAAAUAAAGACAAUUGGAGAAAGUAGCGAAAAUGAGCACCACAAAAUUUAAAGUAAGUACACGUGAUUUGAUAGAAGAUUUGGGGGAGGAGACCAUAAAGGCAUGCAGUAAAAAGAAAGAACAUGCGAGAAGCUCACCAAGCUGAAAGCAGACAAUUGAGCAGUGUCAUGACAUAUGGAAUUCCCGAGAACUUCUCUGUUGAUCUGUUCUUUAUAAUCCUCUUGAAUGUGAUCCUGCCAACCCCAAUUCCUCACAAAUUUCACUCAAACUUGCACUAUUUUUCAUAUCAAUAAACAAUAUAAAAAAAAUGCUACUUUUAUAUGCACAGAUGAUUGAAUUGCUCAAAUUGGUAAACCAUCUUCAUGAUUUAGAAUUUGAGUUUGCUUUAGCUCCACAAAACUAAGUUCCUAAGACAAGGGUUACAUUACAUAUACUAUUUUUUUUACAUCAAUGGUCAAAGAUAGAUCUUUAAAACUCCCAACAGAUUCUCUCACAACAAAAAUUAUAUAUUUUGAACAUGAAACAUAUAAUACUAAACAGCAGUCCAAUAUAAACUAUAAUAGGUAGUCCAACAAAUUAAACGAGUACAAUAAUAAGUUUUAAUAUCAUUUAGCUUCAUAACUCAACCCAAAAGGUAUCUAAAGAUGUGAGUCAUAAGAGUUGUUUUAUAUAUACAUGUUACCAAUAAUAUAGUACAGGUGACACCUCUAACAUAAUUUAACAGGAUCCAUGGGGGAAAAAAAGUAAAGGCACAACAACUUAAAAAGAGAGAUAACGAAGAGGGGAGGAGACAGCAAUGUAAUGCAUACACAGGAGCCAAGAAGAGGAACAGAGCGGAAACAUUCCCUGUACCAGAAAGAAGAACAAUGAGAAACAGAGAAACUAAAAGUUCAGAAGCCAAGACUUUCAUCAGGGUAACAAGAGAAAAUGAGAGAAACAAGGGUCUUAAACCUACCAAAUAUUCCAAACAAAAAAUGUGCAAUAUCCAUGACCUUUGAACUUUUGUUAUCCUUUCUUUCUUCUUUCUGCCUAAUCUGCAGAAGAGAGUGGAGAAAAAACCUUGGGAGUUUGGAGACCCAAGGAGCUGAAAUAAAACCUGUUUCUUUAGAGAUGGUAAGGAGAUACAAUGAGAGGAGAGUACAAGUUAGUGGGUAUAUAUAGGAAAGGGUAACGAGUGCAAGGUAAAAUACAGUAUAAUACUGUAUUUUAGUCUUAUCCUUGGGAUUCGAUGUUGAGAACUGUUUUCCUUCAGAACCAUGAUCAUAACAUAACCAUGUAUUAUAGGGUCUUUGUCAUGUGUCUGAUUUACGCCAACCCGAAAUAAUGCAGAUGCUUAUGCUAUACAUAUCAUUGUCAUACUCUUACAUAACUCACGGGAUGAGGAAAAGGAAAAUAUAUAUAUAGUAGUUCCACAUGACAUCAACACGAGACAUGUGUGCAGUGCAACAGUGCUUCUUCUGCCAUUAAGGAACUGUUGCAGUCAGAUUUUAACGUAACUUGGAAAUAAAAGUAAAUAUAAUUAACCACUGGGUAGGUUUAUCCCGUGGAUCAUUUUGUAACUAGACAAGAACCAAGCACAAAAGGACCUUGCUGGGUUUCUCAAAAUGUUUUUGUUUUUUAUAAAUAACCAAAACAUUAAACUAGCCCUGUGAUAGAAUAGAACGUGAGUUCAAUUGUUGGGACUUUAGAAAUUUAUGUUUGUCUUUUGGGAACAAACUGGGGGGUAGAAGAAUAGCAAGUAAGAACUUGAUUCUAAUGCUCCAAAACAUGUAUUUCUUGGGGAAUUGUUGUUCUUAGUUUCAUUAGAUUUCCCCUAGACAAUCAUGAUAUUUCUUAAUCCUUUGGUGGAUCACAAAGGCCUCGAUUAUGCAAUUUGCUGUGGUUAAUCUGGAGCUGGAUAAAGUUUGUCUGUAUAAGCCUCGGAUUUAGAUCCUCUGUAGUUUAAAUAUCAAACUGCAUUCAAAUGAUGUUUUAUUAAUUCCACAAAUAUUAUAUUACUGGUUUAAUUAAGUAUUUAUAGGGACUAAAAUUUUAAAAAAAUGAUAUAUCCACAAUUCACCUUUUUUUAUACAUUCACUCACAACUCUCAAAUGUUAUUAUUUUAAUAUCUUCAUAUUAUUUAAUUAUAAAUUUAUCUUUUAUUAUAUAUUUUUUAAAACUAUUAUAUCAAAGGUUAUAAACAACUUCUGAAUAUCAAAGGUCAUGCUGGCUUUUCCCUGAAAUAUAGGGACUAAAAUUACCGUGAAACUAUAUUUUAUAGUUAAUUUUUUAAAAAAUAACUAGCUAAUGUUGCCAAAUGGUUAUAUUUUCUUAAAUGUCUGUAUAAAAUCUUUUACACAUAUACAAUACUUACACUGUUUUACCAUCAAUUGUACAAAAUAAACAUGGAUCACUUUGAUAAUAAAUCUUUAAAUCCUUAGUUAGCCUUUCCAUUUAGUUUUCAAAAAAAUUCAUUUAUAAUAACUUUUUAUAAAUUCAAGGAUUAAAAAUGAUGAUUAAAAAGUUAAAGUGAUUCACUCUUGGGGAACGUUUAUUUCAAAGUAUAACAUUAUAUUUUUUUCAGAAAUGGCAUUUUCAAUAAUAUUAUGUUUAGAAACAUAUUUCCAUGAACAUGACUAGUUGAUAUUUAGAAAUUUAAAAAAAAAAAAAUCCUUUUGUUAAAAAAUUAAAAUGUAAAAAUAGAAUAAAACGAAAAUAUAUAUUUAUUAUAAAAAAAUCAUUUUAUUUCCAUGGGAAUGUGAAAUACUAAUAAGAGUUAAGACAUAUAUAUAUAUAUAUGUGUGUGAAUAUUGUACACUUGAGAAUAAAAAAAAUAUAUUGUAAAUGUUUUCAAAAAUAAAACUUGGAAAAACAUAUCUAGUGAGAGAUAUAAAAGAGAUCAAAGGUAAGUAUAUAUCAUACAUGAUAUAAUGCUAUAAGAAGAAUGAAGAAAGAAAUUAUAGAUUUUAAUUAGGUGUUUAGAAAAAAUAAAUAAAGUGUUUAAUAAUUAUUGAGACAUAGAAAAUGCAAAAGGAAGAAGACGAAGGCAAGAAGAAAAAGACCGUAAUCACUAAAAACAAGAAUAAAUAAACCAAAAAAAGAAUUAGGCUAAAGUCUAAGAAAAGAGUUGGUCCCUCCAACUAAAUCGCCUAAUAUAAUUUAAAGCACACUACACGGUAUCAUCUAAUAAAAAAUUUAAUACAAAAUCAUUAUAUAUUUUUCCAAAACUUAUAUCAAACAUUAAAGUGUAAUAUUUUCAAACUCAGUUUCUUUAAAAUCCUUCUUAUACUUUUGAAUAAUGUCAAAUAAGGUCAUAGUUUCAAAGACCAAUGUAUGUCCAUGCUGGCAGCCAUACGCAUGUUUUGUUUCUUUGUUUUAAAUUCAUUGGUCAUGCAUUGUAUAGCUAGUUACGUGAUAAGAAAGUUUAAGACCUUUCAUAUCCACGAAACAAAAUGCUUCUACACAUAAUCCAAAUAUGAAAAAUUAUUUAAUAUAUAUAGAUGAAUAAGAACAAAAAGGAUUACAAAAGAAAAUGAAAAAAAAAAAUAGAAGGAAUACGAUAAUUAAUUGCGUUGUUUAAUUAACACGAGAAGUUUGAUGAAGGUGAAAUGAUUGAUUAUUCUGAUUUUUUUUUUUCAACUAAAGGUUUGAUCCUGGAUUACAACUAAAUCUGUUUUUGCUUGUUUUUUUUUUCUUAUUAAUAUCUUGAUCUGGUGAAUUGUUUGUUUUUAUUUAGUUAUCUCUGUUGGUUUGAGUAAGAUUGGACUACUUUUGAUGUGAAUUUAUUUUUUUUUUAUUUUUUUUUUCUGAUAAUGUUUUGUAAUUAUUUUUUUACGUCUAAUAUAGAACUUAGAAAUUGAGUUUCAAGAUAUUUUAUAUACAUUUUUUUUUUAACUCAAGACACUUAUUACUGAUAGAACCAUGACAGAUAGAAUCAUGACAGAAUUUCAAGUUUCAAAAUGGACAAUUUUUUAAUCAAAACAUUGAUAUUAUUUGUGAAAAUAUUUACCUAUUAAUUAUAUCAAUUAUUUUGUUGGUUGAAGUUGAGUUUAGAAGGCAUCAAAACAUCAUGUUGUAUGAGAAUAAAUGAGGAAAUAGAAAGAAAGGAGCUAAGGUUUAUUUGGAUGGAUGGGGCCAUUGCUGAAAUGGAAAACCUAACAAAAUGAUUGAAUGAUGUAUGUGUAUGUAUGUAUAGUGUAAGUAUGAAAGGUGGGAUGUUAGAUAGGCAUAGGUAUGCCCUUUGGAGGAGGGCUCUUCCUAUAAAAUUGUGUGGCUUAGAAACUGAGUUCAGCAUUAAUGAUAAUGAAACAUAACACCAUAUAUUGACGCAAACUUCAUGCCCAUACCAACACCCCUAGCUUCUUCUAUUUCUUUCUAUCUUAUUCAUAUGAAAUCAAACAAGUGCACGCAAUUUCACUUGUCAUUAUUUAAUUAUCACUCUCUUGUUUAGGACAAUCUUGAUUUGAUAACUCACUUUCUCUUACUACUAACUUUCUCUCUCAAACACACUUUUUAUUCAACAAAAUUAGCUUCCAUCUUACAAUCUAUUCAACUAUAAAUGUAUAUUUUUAAAUAAUUAUAUAUUAACAAUACAAUUUAAAAAAAAAUACAUGUUUGUGUAUUAGUAAGUAAUAAGAAUUGAGCCAUAAUCAGCAAGUGCAUAUUUACUUCAAUUAAUAAUAAGGAGAUUCAUUAAAAGCGAGGUAACAAGUUUUAUUUUUAGAAACACGUAGACUUUGGUAGGGUAUUGGUGAAAGAUAUAGAUCUUUUUUAACUACAUUUAAAAUAAUUAAAAAAAAGUAGGUAAGUUGUACUUUAAAUCACAAUUUUGUUAUAAAGAAGUUAUGUUUACUUAAAAAAAACAUAAAUAGAAGUUGCACAAAGAAUUUAAUGUUUACUAAAAAAUCUACUUACAUAAUUUUCUAAAGAAAAUGAUGAUAUUGUAUAUAAAAAAGAAGUGUUAUCUUUAAAUAAAACAGGAAGCUUAUGUUAAAGUAUAUACGAUAUUGCAAUCGAUCAAUUUGACUUUUUUUAACCAAAAUUAUUUGCUCAGAUUAAAAUAUUACAUUAAUAAUAAUAUGUGUUAUUUAAUAAUUAAAAAUUACAUUUGAAAGCACAAUUUAUAAAAAAAAACAAUGAAAAGUACGAUCUUUUUAUAAAAAAAAUUAAAAAAAAGUCGUCGAAAUAAUACUUCUUUAUACUAAAAUUGUGUUUUUACGUACCACUUAUCUAUUUUCGUAAAUUUUUUAAAUAUAUUUAUUUUUGUAAACAUUAAACUUGUUGUUUUGAAUCUAAAAGAUCAUUACUUGUUAUAUGACCGAAAAUAAUGCGUUGUAUAUUAGAAAUUUUGAAAGUAUUUUUGUAACAUUAUUUUGCUUUUUUUUGCAUCACUAUUUAUUUUAUCUUACCCUUUUUCUAUAUUAUCUUCUUUAUAUUAUAAAAUUUAUCAUGAAAAUACCUGUUCUCACAAACUGUUAAAAAUUCGUGUUGAAUUUUUAUUAUUUACGAAAACUCGUGAGAUUAAUAGAUUACCAUAAAUAAGAAUGUCGGUAAUAAACUGGACUCGUGGCCAAAAAACUUUAUCAGGAAAAAGUAUUGUUGGCUCUAUAGGAAAUUAUUUUAUUAAAAAUUAUUCUUUAUUAUAUAUUUUUUUAAAAACUGUGACAGGGUUGUAUAAACACCCAGAAUUAAAGUAUAAUUUUUCUUGUUUGUUAUGAAAAAAGUAAAACAUAUAUACUUAUUUUUAUUUUUAUAUAAAAAAUUUUAUGUUAGACAUCACUAUGCUACUUGACAUCUCAGUUAGGCUGAGUAAUAACAAUCAUUUGCCAUCACAUAAAAAAAUAUUAUUAAAAAAAAUACAAAAAUAUAGGAGAAUAGAUCAAAAUUCAUAUGUUAAAAAAAACGAUAUAUAGGUAGACUAUAAUUAUUAAUAAAUAAUUCUAAAAAUAGACUAGAUAAAAACCUAUUAUACCAAUAAAAGAAUUUUUUAUGGAAAAAAUCAUAAAUUAGUUAACCUAGCAUUUUUUUUACGAAAAAUAUAAGUAAUUAUAGUAAAAUAUGUAUACUUGAAUAAUAUAAUAAUAUUUUAAAUUAAAAAAUAAAACAUUAAUUUAUGGGAUUUUUAACUAAAUAUUUAAGAUAUCACCAUUCUCUAUAAUAUGUAAUAAAGCACAGGUGUCAGUAACAUGCUUUAACUCAUUGCUCUGUACAGUGGUUAACUACGCAAUCCCCAACAACAUGCCGCAGAAAAGCCAUAUUUAAUCUUUCAAGAGGGCAAAAUAAUCAAUUUCGUAAGAAAAGCAAGAUUAAGUAAAGAAAACGUAACAAUAACAUUUUAUUUAGUAUUGUGUCAAAUUAAUGGAAUCAGAACAAAAUUGGUUCAGAUUUGUUUUUAUAUACUAAAUAGUAAAAAGAUUCUAAUCAAAAUAGCUUCCCUUUUUUUGCUGUUUCAGCUGUAAUUACUACAUUUGAGCUAAGAAUUUGUACAAGGACACAUUGUGAAGAAAGACAAGAAGACAAAAACUCUAGAAGAAAUCCGUGUAAAUGAACUUGUGAUAUUGCAGAUUCAAUAACAUAAACUACCUAAUGUUCUGAAGGCAACAACAAGUAUAUAUAAUUCUCAAGCUAAGCAACAGAUCAAUAACUUAACUACAACAAAAUUAUGAAGCCAUCCGACAAGAAGAAAUUAUUAGUGGAUUAAGCCUAAUUUGAUGGUGAAGAAAUUAAUAUUUCCAACCUUCCCUUCAAGAGAUUAGCUUUCUUUUCCAAGCUUUUUUGUCUCCACCGAAAGUGAUAAGACUUUUAUAUCUCCACGUCUUUUGUGCUCCUUAUACCCUUUUCCAAAACUAAGCGUUUUCCAGAGUUUCUAGCUUCUUUUCAGUUUACCUUGUUGCAGAACUUCACAAGAGAAAAUGACAAAAAAAGUAAAGCCUAAGGGAGGAAGUUUUUAUUAAAUUAGGAUACUUUCCUAAGAGUAGAUAUAUGUUUCCUAAUCUAUAAAGGAAGUAUGGUUAAGCUUUUCAUAUGCAUCAAUCAUUCUGACUUUCUCAAUGAAAUUGAGAUGCAGUUAAGUUGUAAAAGCACCUCAUCGCUAUAUAAUUUCAUUUAUGAUUCUCACUUUCUCACUUUCUCACUUCCUCCCUGUAUCAGUCCUUUUCAUUCUUUGAACAUGUUGGCCAUUGAACCUAUUUUUGGAUCACCCCAAAUGACUUCAAUCCCAUCAAUACCUUCUCUUAGUAUGGGCAUGUUACCAAAUAUUCCUUGACUUAAAUGGUUAAAUAGUUUACUUGGACUUGUGAAGCUUUCCACUUCAGCCUCAAGCAGACACAAAAUAACCAUCAAAUCCAGAAUUUUAUUAUGCCAUCAGACAAGAAGGGUCAACCAAAUAGCCAUAUAAAGUAUCAUCCUACUCCACAUUGAUCUCUUCAGCUAAAGCUUUGGGACUUUAUUUUUUGGAAACUGUAUAAGGAAGACUAUUUUCCUGAGAUCACCACAUGUAUUGUCCUCUUCACGUAUCCAACAAUGAUUGGUUAUGUAUCUGCUCUCAUCUUUAUUGAAAGCAAUCUGCACUUCAUAAGGUAAACCCACAAAACGAGAAUCAUUGCCUUAAGAAAGGACAUUGAGAAUUUAAAACACGUCCCAUCACAAGGUUCCAUAGUUUGUACCAUUGCUGGUACGUGUUCCUUCAGAAUUAGUUUCCUUUAUAAUUGAGUUUACAGUUUACCCAUUACCAACAGUUAAACCAAUAUUAUGGACAGAUGUUCGUAGUGGAUCAGUGAGAAAUUCUUUACAACAGUACAAAAAUAUAUAUUAAAUAUAUAGAGAGAACCAGAAUAUUUGUUUCAUCAAGAGGGUGGUGAAAAACAUAAAAGCAAGAAUUCAGGAAAAGAUAAGGGUAUAAAUAUAUAUAGGUAGAAUAGGAACACUUUAUAUGCUAAUUAGUGAAUAGUUGUGGAACUUGGUGGUUAUAAUUUAAGAAUAUAUAUGUGAGGGAAUUCGCAUUAGUAAUUAUGGGUAGCAGUUGUUAAUUGCUGAUUUGAUGUGAAUUUUGGGUUGCCAUGAUGGCAUGGGAACCCAACAAGGUUAGUUGGAUUUGAUGCUGCAAUGGAUUAAUGCCAUGAUGUUGUAGACAUGGUGAUAUUGAUGCAUUAUUGAAAGGAGAAAAGAGGAAGGGAUAAUGGGUUCUAGAAGAGAUCAAACUCCAUCCUUCUCUGUAGGUAGAAUCUGUUUAAAGGAGAUUGCAGCUUUAUUAAAUUAGGCGUAAUUAUUAAAUUUGAUUUAGAAAUGAAAUAGUGAAGUUUAAAUGUAAUUAAUGCAGUAGCAAAAUCAAAUUUAAUUAUGUAUGAACCAAGAUCGUGUCAAUAACAGUUUUUGCAAUCAAUUUGGAAGAGGUCUGAUUUUGCAUGCAACAUUUAUCGUUUUUAUCCGGUUGCAUUCAAUUCGUAUUGAAAUGUGAACAAAAUGGUUACAUAAAGUAAUACUCAUUUUGAGGAUAAAUAAAUCACCUCAAAUACUCUAAUUCAAACAAAAUUGAUUCACGCCUCUCUUUCUCCACAACUAGUAAAUCAAUGGAAACAGACACGGUUAAAGAUUGUGAAUGGGAAGUAACUUCAAGUCUUUUAUCUAUUAUGCAGGUUUGGUUCAUGGUUGUCCUUUAAGUUGUUUGGAGUUCACAUAGAGAAAGAGGUUCUUUAAAUUAUAAUGUAAAGAAAGAGGUUAUUUAAAAUACAAUUUUUACAUUAGAUUUCUCUGGCCAUGUCAUCAAAAAACACACAGUAGUAAUUUUGAAAAUAAAACAAAAAAUUUAUGUCGAACCUUGUGUGUUUCAAUAUAAAACUAUUUAUAUUCAUUAUGCGAACUUUUUAUUCACUAAGAAAAAAAAUUUAACAGAGGUUCUUUAGUGGAGGUUAAUAUACUCUAAGAAUUGAUUUAAUUAACGAAGGUUUUUUUUAACUUUCAUUAAGUUUCAAAAGUUAUUCUAAAACUUCAGCAAACUAACGGAGGUUUUUUUUAACCUUUGUUAAAUUUCAAAGGUUUAUUUUAAAACCUUAGUAAAAUAAUAAAAGGAUUUUUAACCUUUGUUAAAUUUCAAAGGUUUAAUUUAAAAUCUUAACAAAAUAACAUGCAGGAUGACAUAAAUCCUCGUUCGAGUAAGUUGUUAGGCCCAAAUGUUUCUAAGUUUAGUAUCUAUUUAGAAUUACUAAUUCGAUGACAUGUAUCUAUUAUCAUUCCAUUACGAGAUGAGUUUGAAAAGAUAGACAAAAACCUCAUGUGACAAAAUAUUCAAGUAUUACAUCACUUUGUGUUAACACCUUAUUAGUUAAUUUUGUUAUUAUCUGACAUUCUUAAUUUAUUAACGUUUUAAAUGUUUUUACAACAAAUUUUUGACAUUCCAAAUACUGAGGUGGGCAGAAAGAAAGUCUUAUCAAACAUUGUCACCAAGUGGACGGGUUUGAAGACUUUCUUGACACGAGAGGACGUGUUCAAAAAGCAUAAAGAUGAAAGUCCUUAUGUCAAGUACCAUAUAACUAAGGAGGAAUUGGAUGCAGUUUUGUGUUAGUCGAUUAAACACAUCUUGACAGGUUAGUUUUUUACAAUUUUUAUACUUAAACAAAUUUCUACCAAUAAUUUUUUUUUGUCUCGUUUUUAUUUGCAUUGCAUGAAAAAAGAAUAGCCACCCAGAAGCGACAGAAGUUGAACGAUGCCCCCCAUCUUCUAUCAUAAGGGGGUACACAUUGUUGCAACAACGCCUCAUGAAGGCUCGAGUAAAGGCAACAUGGGUAUAAUUUGUUGACCUUGUAUCUCCACCUCCAUGCUAUUAAAUGUGGAAGAUUGCUCGCAUGAAAUCAAACAGGAAAAUAACUUUACAGUUUACCCAAAUCAUUGCACAAACAAUUGUAAGUUCAAAAGCACAUAAUAUCAUUAUCAUUUCCCCUUGUUCAUAUGUUAGUAAGUGAAUUAGUAUUGUUUAUGCUUAAUUAUUGUUUAUAUGUUGCAUGAUUCCUUAGUUGAUCAAUAAACACAUGGUUCAUUUGUUCCCUAUGGUCGAGAUGGUAUUUUUGAAGACGACGCUAGAGCACCCUGGACAUGUGUGUGGUAUUGGUGGUUCAUGAGGACUCCAAUACUACUUCAGUCCACUACCAUGCAGAAUUGUCGACUCUUUGAUAAGUGUCUAAUUGCAGUAAUAUUUCAUAUUAAAAUAUAGGCACUUAUGAGGAUUUAUUGCUAAUUUACAUAUAAAAUAAUCCCUAAUUUAUGAAUUUAUACCUUUUUACAUUUUUAUGAUCUUUAUUUGAAUAAGAGUAUUUUAUUCCCAAAUUUGGUGUUAAUUGCAGAUUUUUAAGGAAGAUUGGAGAUUUGGAUUAAAGAUGAAUGAUUUGAGCUAAAAAGAUAAAGAUAGAAGGUCCCAUAAUGGAAAAAGAUGCAAAGGAAGAUUGGGCAUUUUUUAUGUUUUAUCAUUUAGCCCAUUAGCGCGACACAAUAAACAACCUUACCCUAGAAAACUAGGAUAAAUAGAGAGCUAGAGGCUCAACCUUAGGGUGCCAGAUUGAGAGGAAAACACCAUAGAGUGAAUUGUAACCCAAUUGGGAGAAUGGAAGGUGAUAGAAGUAUGCGUGGCUAAUUCUACCCUUUGGGAUUGGGAGUAAUUACUCAAACUCUUAUGUAUUAAGGUGAUAUUUUAUAUAUUAAUAUUCAGUUCUUGAUUGAUUAUUGGUAUUGUUGUUUUACUUUUAAUUUUCCGUGACAAAUUGAGAAUCUUAAAUCUGACCGGGAGGUAUUUUAGGGUUCGGACCUAAACAACAAUACUUAACAUAUUUGAGUGCUAGGAAUAGACUUGAAAUGUUAAUUGCUAUUAAACGUCUGAGCUUCGUUCUAAGUUGUUCUUAUAAUUAUGCGAGGGAUCGAUAGUUAGGGGACAUUCUUAAGGAUUUUAUAUGCGAGGAAUCGAUAUAAAUGAUUUUUAUACGGGCAUCAAUUUCAAUCAAAGAACUUAAUAUUGACAUGCUAAUCAAAAUACUUGAGAGUGAGAGAGAUGAAACUAAUCCUUAUUUUUCCAAUUGAAACAACUAAUUCUUUGUUUGUUUUCUUAUUGAUCAGUGCCAACACAAUUAAUUCAAAAAUCUUUUAAUUGUUCUGUUUUUAUAUUUAGCGAUUAUUGUACUCGAUAAUUCACUGUUCCUUGUGGGAUUGAUAUCCGUCCUUAGGGACAAUUAUUACUUUUGACAAACGCGGUGCAUUUGCCGUAAAAAGUCAUCACUCUUGCAGUCUGAAAGCCUUGCAGAGGAUGAAGAUGCAGUUUAAAGAUAAACUGAAUACAAUUCAAUAAUUCUUACACACAAGAGUUUGAUGAGAAGUUAGAGUCACUUUGUUCUCAAUAAUAGACUCAAGAAACAUCUACAUUUUCUGAG
rnacentral:lncRNA from 1 species